GUGCAAAUCUGGGCAAGCAAUAAGAUACACCAGGAGGAAAGGUCAUCAAUGGGAAAAUGGGAUGUCCAAUCCCUCAUCACAUCUUCUUCAGAUUUGUAUGGUCCAGAAAAGUCUGCUAGUGUUGAAAAAUUACCUAGGCAUGUAAAAUUUACUUUUAAGAAUCCUGUUAGGUGCCGCAUUAUUUGGAUCACAUUACGUCUUCAGAGACCUGGUUCGGCUUCAGUUAAUUUCGGGAAGGACCUCAGUCUUUUGUCUCUUGAUGAAGAUGAAAACCCCUUUGCACAAGUAGACAGACGUGCUUCAUUUGGAGGAGCAGUUGAAAAUGAACCAUGUAUUCAUGCCAAAAGAAUUCUUGUAGUCGGAAGCCCAGUAAAAAGGGAGGGGCUUACCACAUCACAGAGCUCUGAGCAGCUAAGUAUUAGAAACUGGUUGGAUAGAGCUCCACAAAUGAGUAGAUUCAAGGUAUUAGUUGCUUUCACUCUUUGUUCAUUCAUAAUUCCAGCUUUCUGCUUCACUGAUAAACCUCUUUUUUCUCUUCAGGUCCCAAUUGAGGCCGAGAGAUUGAUGGACUACGAUCUCGUCUUGGAACAGUAUCUACCUCCAGCGUCACCUUCGCUUGCCGGAUUCUGUCUAGACGCUUUCAGUGCAAUAAAACCUAGGGUUACCCAUUCACCUUCCUCAGAUUCAGAUAUCUGGGACAAAUCAGUAACAUUUUUAGAAGACAGGUACAUCUCUCAAGCUGUAUUGUAUUUACAAGUAUCCGCACUCCAGGAACCACAUAACAUGGUAACUAUUGCGGAAUAUCGACUGCCGGAGGCUAGAGCCGGAACGCCAAUGUACUUUGAAUUCCCACGACCGAUACAGUCCCGACGAGUUUCAUUCAAGCUUCUUGGAGAUGUUACAGCAUUUGCAGAUGAACCUUCAGAACAAGAUGAUUCAGGAUUGAGAGCUCCACUUGUGGCCACAGGUUUGUCUUUGUCAAACAGAAUCAAGUUAUAUUAUUAUUGUGAUCCUUAUGAGCUUGGAAAAUGGGCAAGCCUUUCUGGAGUUUGAUCGUUAUUUAUAUGUCAGAGAAAGAGUUUUGGGUUUGAUUUUGAUUUUGAUUUGUAAUUUUUGUCAGUUUAUUGAAAUUUUUUUGUUGUAUAAAAGCAGAAUGUAAAGGUAUAAAAAUUCAUUGAUGCUGCAAUGUCUGUGCUUUUGAGAAAGAAGAAUUCAAUGUCUUUUCUAUGCCAUUGGAUUUUCCCACUGCUUGUAAACUUGGGCUGUCGAGUGCUCUGUGAACCUUAAGGGCUAUAAAGUAAUUUUUUAGACUGAAGGAUUUAUUAAUCGAGUUCAAAAGAUUGCAAGUUGGUGAGCGUUGGCAUUUAAAAAUCAAUUGUUAUUCUCUCAAUAAUCUCUCUCUUCUGCCGACACCCCAAGCUCAGAAACCCAUUGUUCCGACGGACGUGUAACACUUCCAGAAAUUAGCCUUUUCUUCUAUAUGAAGGUUGAUCUCUCCUCGUGAAGUGAAGGUGGUUUUCCAAUUACAUACGUCGGGGGUCUUAUGAUAUCUAAUGUGUGAAAUUUCUUUCUCAUUUUACCAUAAAGAAAAGUUCUGUAAUGAUCUAAAGUUGGGAGUCUUAAAUUAUCUUAAAUUUAUAUUUAGAGUGGAGUUAUUGGCACCCUACAUUAUUCUUACAAAAUUCUAUUUUAAAUAAAAUUAUAAUUAAAGACAAUUGAAAAUUAUAGAUUUUUUUACAGCAAAUUACUUAAGUCAUAAUUAAUCCUUAAAAAAAAAUCUAUAUGUUACUUCUUAUUUAAUUAAAAUAAAUUGUACAAAUUUAAAAUAAUUUAUUGUUUUCUUUUGAUUUUUUAUUGAUUAAAUAUUUUUAUACUUAAAAUUACUUUGAAAUUAUAAUUUAAAAUAUGUGUUAUAUGCAAUAGUUCGAUUUACCGAACCACAAAGGGAGCCAAUGUGGUUUUGCCAAAAUCACAUACUGUAGCAUAAUAACAGAUAUUAUUAUUGUAUAAUAGAUGGGUUUAGAAAAAUUGAAGAACCAAGUAAGUUAUUUGAAAAAUGUCGAUUCUCGUACCAAACCCAUGUUUUAUGCCAAUUGUUUUUGGAUUGGAGUGCAGGCAUUAACAAUGAUGGAGAUGGAGGAACUGUAGCAUUAGUCAUAUGAAGAGUACGUGUCAGGUUUGAUUUUCAUGUGAUUUGGUUAGUGACGACGAAAACGACGACGUCGUAGUUGAAAAGCGUUUGAAUUAAUGUUGCGUUAAAAAAAAAAUUUAACUUGUUCCACUAAUUAAGUCAACAUUACUGAUGUCUUAUCACCCUCGGCCAACUUAACAAUUGGUGUCCUUUGGACAAUUAAAUAUGAUUUAUUCAAAAAAAAUAAAACUAUUAAAUAUUAAAAAUUAGGUCCAUUAAUAAUAAUAAUAAUAAUACUAAGAAUUAAGAAGAUCUAAUUACAUAUCAAAAUGACUCAAACAAAUUAAUUAAUUUCAUAUUAGCUAGCCAAGUAGGUUGUCCAUCCCACUCAGACAUGCACGAAAGCUAAAUUCAUCAAAUGAAUUACUUAAGGAGUAUUUGAUAAUUUUGAAAUUAUAAUUUCAAAUUAAAAUAGUAGUAGCAAAAUCGUAGUGCACAUUCAAUUAACCAACUAAUAGUCUAAGAAGCAAAGAGAGGAUUACAAGUUCACAACACCAUUAAAAAGGAUUCAAAAUUCCCACACGAAAACAUCAAUGUACAGAUUAUAAACAAUCCGAAUUGGACACAAGAAAAAACCCUUCAAUGGAUUGCUUGCCUUCCCAAUGCUAUAUACUGUGCAAACUGCGCACUGGCCAAGAAAAUAUUUUCAAUUUAGUGUAUUUUCAAAAUGCUUAUUUUCUCAGAAUAUAAAAAAAAAAAAAACAAAAAAAGAAUUCUUACAUGUUUCAUCAGCAUGAUUAAAAUCAAAGAAGAAAGCGAAGACAUAAUGUCUCUGACAUAAUAAAAUUACAAUUUCAUGCAGCAGAGAUUGAAGAGUUGAAUUCCACUUAUAGACACCGACCUCUUGUUUUGUCUAAUGUUAAUAACGAAAACAACAACAGAGGAUUAACUGAUGCUUUGACUUAUUAUCAGGUUGCAAUGAAUUAUUAACUGAUGCUUUGACUUAUUAGUUCUGCUGCUAAGUUAAAUAAAAUAAGGUAUUUUCAAAAGCAAAAUGGAAUACAUAGAUAAAACAUCAUCUUAAACAAAUCAUAAUCUAGAAUUGGAGACAUACCCAAGGAGAAAGAAUACGUGAAAAUGGGUGAUUCAUUUGUUAAGGAGUGUUGAUUUGGUCGUCUCUGCAAAUUCUUUAGGGACUCGGUUCCAGUUCCUCUUCAUCAAAACUGUAAUAUAAUUCCCCUUCAUCAGAACUCGAAUCGAUGCAAUAAAAUUCCCCUUCAUCAGAACUCGAAUCAAAUUCACUUGCAGCAGUUCCACUCGCGCUUGGCAAAUCAUCCAAUUUCCAAACUUCGGUAGCAAAAUUGAGAGUAAAAGUGUUGGCUUUGGUCUCUCUGGGAUUUGCAUAUACUGGACAUACUCCGCAACGUUUUAGCUUAGUGAAGAACUUAAAUGAGGCAGUUGUAUGAUGGUAACCAUCAGGAAACCCAACAUUCAAGCAAGGUUUAAAACCAAGUAUGACAUGAUCUGAAUCAAGGGAGCCAGUGCACACCAUGAAACCCAGAUCAACAUGUUUGGUUUCAGAGAGAGUCUUUAUUUCUAAGUCGAGUUGAAAGCGGACGUAAAUAUUGCAGCAAUAACAAGAAUGAAGGUGCUUAAAAUCAAGAACAGCACAAAAAGCAAACCCGAUUAAGUUUCUGCAAGAAGACUGCGGUGGCAGUUGAAUACAUAUCGAAGAUCCUGAACUUUGAUUGCUGAACCAGUCAGGAAUUUCGCUUCCAGGUAAAACAAUUAGGGAUCCCCUCAGUUCAGAAAGUUUCUGUGAAAUGACAUUUAAAAAAAAAAAUUGUAAAAUGAAAACCAUGAUUUCAGAUAUAACAAAGAGGGACAGAGUAAACAAGAGAGGGAAUUUGAUACCUCGUUGAUUGCCUUUUCAUAGCCCAGUCUCAGUGAUGCAAUUGCCACAUGCCGAAUUCUUAGUUGUGAAUCUGCCAAAAUCUUGUUGUUUGCUUUUCCAUUCAGUUUCAAGCAGUUAGUAAACCCAAAAUAAAUUGGUUGUGACUCCAGAAGUCCGGUUGCCCAUUGACGAAGGUCAGGAGAGGGUUUCGAUAGCUUUUCUAGUACGGAUGCAUCUAGUUCUUGCAGACAUGACGGAAUCUCUGGCAAAGAUUGAAGCCGGUUGCAGUUCGUUGCAUCUAGUUCUUGUAGACACAAUGGAAGUUCUGGUAAUGACCGAAGCAUGUUACAACCCGUCAAGUGAAGAUAUUUUAGACACAAUGGAAGUGCUGGUAAUGACUGAAGCAUGUUACAACGCCUCAAGUCAAGAGAACACAGCCGCGACAGUUGCUUGAUACUUGCAGGUAAACUCUCAAAGUUAUUUCCACGUAGAUCCAAGCUUUUCAGUGAGGAUAGAUAGGCAAUCUCUUGUGGAAUUUCCAUUACAGCACAGUUCAUUAUGUAUAGAAGUCCCAAAGAAGAUAAACCUAAUAAUAAUGAUCGAGGCAAUGAUACCAAACCUUUGCAGCGAGAGAAAUCAAGAAUUAAAAGUGCGUUUGAAUCUGCAACAGAGGAUGGUAGUUGACUAAUAGCUGAUCCAGCUGCUGAGAUGUGACGCAAAGAUUCUAAAUUGCCAAUGUUAUCCGGCAACUUAUCAAGUUUAGAGCAAUCACUUACGAACAAUUCUUCAAGCCCCGGUAGAUUUUCAAAUGACGAUGGCAGCUCUGUAAUUGCCGUCCCGUCUAAAUUGAUGCGUUUUAAAUGUUCCAUUUUCUCCAAGAUUUCUGGGAAGCGCUCAAGGUUCAAGCAGCCAUUAACAAAAAGAUCAACCAAAGAUCUCAAUUUACAAAACCUAGUUGAAAUCCUCUUCAGCCGUUUGCAAUCCCUCAAAUCCAACACUUCAAGAUCAGUUAGGCACUCUAUUGAUGAUGGAACUUCUUCUAUUGCAGACUGGUCUAAGUAUAGCCGUGUAAUUUUCCCAGAAAUCUGUGGAAACUCUAUGAGAGUAACACAAUAGGAGAAAUUAAUAGUUACUGGACAAACAAAAUGAAGAUUGCUUGGAAAAGACCUAAGACUUUUGCAGCCCUCAAAAGACAGCGCACUGAGAUACUUGAAAUUCUGGAUAGAUGAGGGAACACAAGCCUUUUCUCCUUCCCAAGGUUGCUCAACUUUACUAAAACGCAAAUUCAGUUCAACAAGGUUCUUUGGCUUGAAAUUUGAUGGCAGUAUCCUUAAUGGAUAUGUGUCCCAAUGAAGAUAUCUCAAUUUUUCAGGAAGAUAUUCUAGGCCAUUUGGAAGCUGCACUUCAGAGUAUGAAAGUUGCUCUUCAAUGCUCAUACUUAGAAACCUUUCAAUCUCAUAAAACUUACUUGGAAACCUUUCAAUCUCAUAAAACUUAGGUACAUAAAAUUUGAGCAAUCUCAGAUUAGACAUAUUUGUGAAGGCUCCGGGGUCUAAAUUGAUGCAUUUUAUUUUGGACAAAUCCAGAAAUAUGCCUUCAAUUGCAUCGGUCCCCUUAUAAAAAAAAAAAAACAAAGAAUGAGUAAGCCAAAAAUAAAAAAGCAACAUGCGUAAACUUUAUUAACUAAGAGCUCCUUAAACAAAAACAAAUUCUGCAAUCUUUGAUUUUAUUUUUUUAAUAUAUUAAAUAUCUAUAUGCGAGAAAAGAAAAUUUUGGGGACCAUUGCAAAAUUAAACUAACCGAAAAAAAAUUCAAAAUUUCUCUAAUUUACAAUCCUAUUAUCUUAAUAUCUAGAAGUUGAGAAGAGAGUGCCUAUUUGAUUGGUAUAAGAUUUCGAAAUUUUUUUUUUUUAGUCGAUAGAAUCCAAAAUGUUAGUUCAAAAUUAGGGAAAAAAAUAAAAGUCAUUUUUUUUCCACUAGUUAAAACUGUAUCCAAGUCAAAUUAAGAUACGACCCUUUUUAAAAAGAUUUAACCAUCUUACAGCCUCCUUAAGGUACAUUUAAGCUAAAAGGAGUAAUUUGAGGCAGAACUAGGUGGUCCAAUCAGUCCAUUUUAUUAGUGUCUGUUGCUUAAAAAAUUUAUACUCUAAAACACACUUUUUUGGAAAAAAAAAUAUAAUUACAUUGAAGUAGAAUCAGGUGGGCCAAUCCUCAUGGCACUCACUUUAUUUUGACACUCUUCACUAAAUUUGAAGAAAAAUAAAAUUAUACUCUUCACACUCUUAUUCAACAUUCCAAAAUUGAUAAAAUCUGGAGUUUUCUUUAAAAAUUUAAAAUUUGAAGACUUGUUCUCUUGACACCCUCAGUCAUUAAUUUUACCUAAUUAUGGUUUUUAUGAUUUUGGUUGUUUUGUUCAUAAAAAUGAUUUUACUAAAGGAUGCUCUGGUAAUAAUAAAAUUUAUAAAAAAAAAUGGGUGUGCUGGUAUGAUUGGAAAAAUAUGAGUGCAUAACUCCAAACAAAUAAAAGAUAUAUAAAAUAAAUGGAGGAUUCUUACCUUUUUAUGCUUGAGUACGCGGCGGAUUUCCUUAGGAUCCCACAACCUGCUGCGUUUGCCAGGCUCUUUCUCAGAUUCUUGGCGAACAAUCUGUCGCCCCAUUUCUUGCAAUAAAUCAUGCAUUUGCAAGCAAUUACCUGAUAUUGAUAUGAGUGACUUAUCAAUAAGGACAUCCAGUCCAUCAGACUCAGAAUCAUCAAGAAUCCUUGCCACAAAAUCUUUAUCCUCUCCCUCAAAGAAACACGCAAUAUCUAGAAACAAACUCUUCACCCUAGGAAUUAAUUCAUUAAAACUAAUCUUUAAUAUUUCAUAAAUAUUAUGAAUAUCAGAUUCACAAAUCCGAUUUAAGUCGUGCAAUACAUUUUCCCAAUGGCUUUUCCUCUUGAGGCACAGGGAGGAACCCAACACUUUAAGAACUAAGGGAUUGCCUUUGGCAUACUCUACAACCCUCCGUGAGUGCCAGUUGAGAUUUGUAGGACAAUGAUUUUCUUUAAAAGCGAAGUUACAAAAAUGCUCGAAAGCCUCUUCAAAUUCCAAUCCAUUAACCCUAUGUAUUUUCUUCUCCUCCCCUCUAAAUUUUUCGAGGACUCCUUUAUCCCUGGUGGUUACAACAAUUCUACUUCCUGGACCAAAUUGAUCAAGCUCUCCAAUCAGACCCUCUAAUUGUCCAACUUCAUUCACAUCAUCGAGUACUAUCAACACCUUCAUACGCCAGACCCUCUCUUUAGUAAAAUGUGGAAUAUUGGCACCAGCUACUUCAAGUUUUUCGCUUAAUAUUGUGGAAAGCAUUUCCUUUUGGAGAUGUUCUAAUCCACCUCCUGUUUCAGAAUUUCUCCUAACAUCUGACAUAAAGCAGCUACCAUCAAACUCACCAGUGAAUUGAUCGAAAAUAGCUUCAGCAAGGGUGGUUUUGCCUAUACCGCCCAUGCCCCAAAUUCCAACAAUUUGGACAGUAUCCGACAAAUCCAUACACAAAAAUGGUUUAAUCUGCUCAAUUCGUGAAUUUAAUCCAACUAGGCCAUUGGAUGAGUCCGUUGCGACUGUUAUUUUUUCCAAAUUCUUCAAAACAUCUUCGACAAUUUUGUUUACAAGUUCCGCAUCGUGCCUAAUAUAAAGGUGCAAAGAUGCAAAAACAUUGAGUCAAAUCGGGCCAAGACAGAAACAGAGAUAAGAUGAAUUAGGAAAGAGAGUUACCUGAAUUUCGUGGAUUCGUGGCCAGCAAGACCGGAUGUUUCUCUCAGUGCAUCCCUCCACCUCUGAACCAUUUCUGGCUUCUCUUCGAAGUGUUGUUUCAGCUGAUCAAAACCGUGCUUAAAAAUUCCAGUUUGAUGCCGCACAUCGGAUGGACUUACUCCAUAGAAAACCGGAAUAAUGAUUUGGCGGUUUGUGUGCUUGCAUUCAAGAAUCUUGACAAGUUCAUUCAGGCACCAUUUUGAAGAACCGUAGUCCUUUGAGAAAAUGACCACCGAAAUUUUUGAACCUUGGAUUGCGUUCAAAAGGGCAUCUGAAAUCUCAUCUCCUCGCCUAAGCUUUUCAUCAUCCAUAAAUGUUUUGAUUUUCUUUUUGUCAUACAAAUCAUCAUAGAGAUGGCAAGUAAAGAUCCUACGAGUGUCCUCCCCUCUAAAAUUGAGGAAGACUUCAUAAAUGCAAGAAGAAGAAGAAGAAGAAGAAGCAGCCAUGAAGGAAAUUUUAGAAAAUUGGUGACAGAAACAGAGAAUUAAUCUUGAGAGUUGAGAGAGGAGAUGUAAGAAUGAACAUGUGUGAAGAUUCUUGCAAGCACACAGAAAAUAAUUGAAUGGCUGGAGCUUUCUUAGUUUCCUGGAAAUUUCCUGGAGCUUUCAUAUACAUGAUUUGUCAAGUCAAGAAACAUAAUCAUGAUAAUGGGGCAGACCAGGAAGAAAAGAAAACUUGAUUCAACCAAUAAAGGAAGGAAAAGCAAAGAAAGAAAAUUUGAAAGUAGAUUCAGAGAAUUAUAAAAAGCUAAAGGAAAUUGGAAUUUUGUACAAUUUCUCCAGCGAAAAUUAAGCAUAGAAUAAUCCUAAAAUUUAAACUCUAAUAUCUUAUAAUGUAUUGAUUAAAAAUAAUCCUAAGAGUUCCCAAUUGAAACUUUCAUAAGUAUUUUAAUUGUUUUGGAUAAACAAAUUGUACUAGGAUAAAAAUUUGGCAAAUUCAGAGGAUAAUGGAAAAUAGUUAUGCUUCAAUAGGCCAAAGAUUAGAGAACAAACAAGAAUUAGUUAUUGAUACACAAAAGAGAAACACUCCAAAAUUUCAAGCAAAAAUAGUUUCAUAUACCAUUUCGAUUUUGGAAGGGGUGAGGUUUUGAACUUCAAUAGUUUCCUCUAAAAUUAAAAGGCAGCAAUUAAACUAGAAAGAGCAAUGAAGACUUAUUGGUACUUUAUUGAAGGUAAACAUUAUGAAACUUUCAAUGUCAUUACCUCAUUGUUCAAUUUUUAUUGAGAUUUGUGUAAGCAUUUAGCUAAAUCUUACCUCCGCCUUUAAAUUCAUUAGUUUUGAUUAAUUAUGAGACCUGGGAGAUAUUAUAAUCGAACUAAAACUUAAAAUUUCAAUAUCAUUAUUCUUUAAAAAGAAAUUGAGAUUUCAGAGUAAUAUCACAUAGAAAAACUUGCCCACGGACGGUAAGCCAAAAGUCUAGUCAACCACACGCAUAAAGCUAACUAGAACAAGAGAACAGAGAAACGCGUGGGUCCCUAAAAGAAAAGGCGUGGGUCCCAAAAGUCUAGUCAACCAUACCGAUGAAAAUCACUGAUUAAGAAUAAUAUAUUAUGUGGUUGAAGAUUUCUUUUUAUCAAUCUUCUUUCUACCCAUUAAUUUUCCCACGACUUUCCGGUUUCAUUUCUUGAAUCUCCAUGGAUUAACUUUCAAUAAACCAUAAAAUAAACUAAGGAAUCAUUUUCUCGAACACAGCUAUGAUUUUAAUAAAUGGGCGGACCAUCUAGAAUAGUAUAUAUAAUUCUGUUUAAUUAAUAAGUUGAAAAAACCAUAAAGAGAAAUUCUAAUAUUAUGAGCUUGACACGAAUUCUUCACUAAUUCCAAAACAAGGAGCUGUUUUAUAAGAACUGUGGUUGGAUUAUUAAGUUUUACAAUUUGAAUAUAAAUAAGAAAAUAAAAUCAGUCGCGUCGAUGUUUUCGAUACAUUUCGAUGCUAACUUAAUUAAUUACUUUACUUCAACUUUAUUUCCUGACGGACACUAUAUGGUGGGUCCAAGAUGGGACCUACAAUAAUCAAUCCUAGAAUUUAGUAUGGUUACCAAAUAGCUAGUGUUAUUUUGUGUUUGGUGGAAGAGAUUGAAUAUUUAGUUUUAACAUAACCAUUCAACUAAUUAGAAAAUAAAUAAAGUUAAAUGAAAUGUUUAGAUAUCAAUUUAAAUAUUAAUAUCCGGGAUAUAAAUUAGUUAUAAUAUAGUUCAUUACAUAAAAUUGAUUAAAUUAAUAAUUACACAUGAACAUAGAUGUAUAUGCUUUCCAAUUUCCAAAGUGCUCAAAGCACUUUUCUCACCAAACUUUCCUCUGAAUUUCCCGUAGCUGACUCCAUUGUUUGCGUUUUGUGAAAUUUCUAGGAACUUUUUCUAUUUAGAAUAUUGUACAUUUUUCUUUUCAGCUGAGAUUAAUUUAACUUAUAGAAAAUCUUAUCCUUUUUUUAAUAUUAUUUAAAUAAAAUUUGUCUAUCUUUCAUUUUAUCAGUCUACUUUUUACCCAUUAAUUAAGACUUUUCGAUUUCUUUUUUUCCUGAGGUUUUCAGUGACUAUCUUUCAAUAAACCAUAAAAAUUAAUGAGUCAUUUAUCGAACAAUUAGAUGACCAUAUUUCAAAAUAUCAACUAGAAGUUGCCCUGAAAUAUUUAAUUAAUAGUUGAAGAAUUGUGAUUAGUGUGGGCAUCUACAUAAAAAUUAUAUUAAAACACCGCUAAAAGAUAAAAAUAAAAUAAAAUAGUACAAACAUACACCCAUAGGUUAAAACAAAGAAAAAACACGAACCAAUACACUAAAAUGUUUUAGCUGUAGUUAGUUUUCAGUUUCAUUACUUAAGUCCCACGUGCAUGUCACGUGACUGAGGUCAAAAAAUGAUUGUCAGAUUAAAGUUCAAAGUACGGAGCAGGGUAAUUAAGGAGUGGAGCUAUUGGCACCCCUCCAUUAUUCUUACAAAACCCCACUUUAAAUCAAAUUAUAAUUAAGAAUAAUUGAAAAUUAAACACUUAUAGAUUUCUUUACAACAUGUUUAGUGAUAAAAAAGCACCAGUCGGGCAUGUCCCCAUUUCUUACCCGGGGCCGAAUCUCCUCGGCCGAAUGGUAUGAGUAGACUCUUGGUGAUGUGUUCUAUGUGGAGCACGUAAAACAGACCAGGAACUAGUACCAACCAGAAACGAGUACUGAUCAGAAACAAGCAUGACCAGAAACGCAUACCGACUAGAGACUUGUGGGUCCCUAAAAGAAAAGGCAAGCACAUAAACGAAAAAGCCAUUACAUUUCUAUUUUACAUGUCAUUCCUAAUUUUUGUAACACGGUGUGGCAGCAUAUGCACAAUCAAAUGAGGCAAAAGGGAUUCGACUAUCGUGGCAGAACAUGGACGAGGAUGCGUGAUGAAUAAUUCCUUCGAUAAAACGAAAAACAAAUGCAGAGAAAAGAAUUUCUUAUAUGACAAGAAAUUAAAGUAAUGUGACGGAACAUGAUGAAGAAAUUGCAGAUCGAUCAAUUAUCCCCAUGGACUCCUAUAAAUUCAACCAAAAUAACAAUUCCAAUAUUACCAAAUUCUUGAGUUAAAUUUAUUCAAUGCUUUUUUUUUUUAGAGAAAUUUUUUCCAAUGCUACUUUCCCUUUUUUGGGGAAAUUAGAACUGCGGCAUGUAUAGAAGACAUUGAGGUAUAAAGCAACAUUAAUUUCAUGGGUUAUGCGUUAUACGCAUAAUAUAUUGUCAGUCCAAAUUCAACUAUACAAAGAGGCUUGAGAACUUAAAAUUAAGCACAAACUAAACAGACGAAGUAAAUACAUGAUUAUGCAACAUAACAUUAAUUCUCUUAAUUUAUAACUGUUUUUGCCACAUGAAUCUUGCACAGUUAAUCCUAAUUGAAGACUAAAAAAGAACAAUUGGAACAAGGUUUUGAAAUAGAAUGAUAUACAAUCGAUAUGAUCCAUUUCCAGUCGUCAACGCUAAUUAACUGCAGUUUCUAGACUCCUAAUUAUACUAGCCAUAAGAAACUGUUUAGAAAACUGGUGAUCAGAUUAGAUUUUGAAAAGAAAUAAUUUUCAUUUUCCCUUCGCUACCUUUUUUUUUUAAUUAUUUUUAUACCAAAGAAUUCUAUCAUGAAAAGAAUCAAUUUAAUCACCUUUUCCAGCAGCACAAUUUUUCUUUUAUAAAAUUUGACCACAGAGACAAAGAAGAAUUAUUCAUACCUUCAUCAGUAAGGAAAUACUUUUCAUUAUGGCUAGGGUGAGAAAAGGCUUUCCACAACACUUGUACUUUGUAUUCCUGUAAAUUUUCUUUAAAGUCAAUAAAAACCAUAAGUUCUUUACAAUAACCAUCUCUUUGAUAAAAAAGUGCCGUAUUCCUUUAGAAUUUAAAACCGGAAAAAUUGAAUCAGUGUCUUUGAAGAGACAUAAUGGUCGUAAUUCUUUAAAUGAGUUGGCUAUGGAAAUCCUUAUCCAAGAUUCUUUUACGCCAUAUUCUUUCGUAAACCAAAAUUCAUUUUGGAAUACUCUGUUGAGAAUGUCAAAUAAAACGGCAUUGAAGGAAGUUUUCAAAGGCAGAAUCCGCACUUGUCAAAGGGAUGAUCUGCACUUGUCAAAGACACGAUCCGCGUCGAAUGAAUCGACACAUUUCCUUUCGUAUUCGCAUAUGUAAUCUUUGAAAAAAUGUAGCUUCUGCAUCUAUAAAUAACGCUUAGUGUAUAAUGUUUUAUUCAAGAAAAGAAAACAAGUUUCUUCAUACUCGUCGUCCGAACAUACAGAGACCGUCUCUUAUAACUUCAGCCGAAUACUUAUGAUGAUGAUCAUUUGUGAUUUCAUCAGGCAAAGGGUUGAUGGUGAAAAAAUUUGUAUGUGUGAAGAAUUGAGCUGUGGAUAUAGGGGACUUAAGUGUAAUCGAAAGAGAGUUAUUAGGCCAUAGUGCAGAUUGCAUUCAGUUUAUGAGUCGAUAUGCAAAUAAUUUGUUGACGUGGCGAAAUUUGUUAUGGUCGUUACUAUUGUUUCUGGAAAUUUUCUAGAAACCUCAGCAUAAAAGGGGCUUUUGCAUAGCCUCUGGUGUGCGUGUGAUUUCUCUUUCGUUUCCUCAUCAAAUUCUGUAAUUCUUGCUUUGAUAAAAAGCUUGUAAUCUCUUCUGUAAUGUGUGAUCAGUGCGUAAUCAUUUUGAGCAAUAAGAGCUUGUGGGUUUUUCCUUCAAACAGUGUCGUUUUGGUCAGUUUGUUAGUUUGAUCUGUUGGUGGAAUUUUCUUUGGUUAUUUGUUCUCAAAUUUCAACCGUAUAUAAAGUUUGAACUCUAAUGGCUUAUAAUGUAUUGAUUAAGAAUAAUCCUAAGAGUUCCCGAUUGAAAUUUUUAAUGACUAUUUUUAUUGUUUUGGAUAUACAAAUUGCAUUAAGAAAAAAUAUUGUCAAAUUCAGAGGAUAACGGGAAAUAAUUAUGCUUCAAAAGGCCAGAGAUUAGAGAACAAAGAAGCAUUCAUUACUGAUAAACAAAAGAGAAACACUCCAAAAUUGCAAGCAAACUAGUUUCAUAUACUAUUUGGAUUUUGGAAGGGGUGAAGUUUUGAACUUCAGUUGUUCCUCUAAAAUCAAAAGCAUCAAUUAAGCGUUCUCAAUUAGAAAUAGCAAAGAAGACUUAUUGGUACCUUACUGAAGUUAACAUUGUGGCACGGUUGUUCAUAUGUAAUGGCUGCUCUGUUAUGCUAGCUUCUCUGUUUUUGCUUACAGUUUUGAACAUAAAUUCUUGCUCAAAUAACCCAUAAUUAAAUAACACUAAUAUGGCUCGUGAAGUCCCAUAAUAGCUAAUUACGCAACUUUCUCCUCCUCCUCAAUUAUGUCUUCCCCUGCUCGGACACUAACUUCAAAAUUCAAUGCCCCGAAAAACAACACAAGAAAUCUUUGAGUUAGUUCGUGACCAGUUUAUAUAUAGUAGCAAUUGAAAAAAGAAAAAGAAGAAAAAAGUUAAUUAUUAUUCAGACCUUCACUUAUUAGGAAGUUUGUUCUGCUAUUGGGUGAGAUCAAGCUCUCAGCAUAUACUUCCACAUGAUACUUUCUAACAUUUUCUUGAAAGCCAUCAAUCAUAAAAUCUUCAUACUUUUUUCCAUCCUUUGGAUCAAUAAGUACAAUUUUUUCAUCUAAAACAGACAAAAUAAAAUCACUGUCCUUCAUGGAACACAAUGGCUGCAAUGCCUGAACUGAAUUGGCUAAUGAAAUUUGAGUCCAGGAUUCUCUCAGCCCAUAUUCUUUCAUAAUCCAAAAUUCUUUUCUUUCUCGACAUGGAACAUAGUCUUCUUUUCUUUCUCGACACAUGUCUCUGUACUUUUCUCUCUCUACUGAUCCACACUUUUUCAUACUUCUAACUAUCAUUUUGUUUUUUUUUUUUUUUGAGUUGUGAUUUAUUCAAUUAUUUUGUAUUUUUAAUGACAAUUGUUUAAUAUUUAGUUAGUUUUGAUAUUGAUUAGUGAUUGAAAGUGUAUUUUAGAAGACUUCCGGUCUCUUGAAAAAAGGAAAAAUGGAGAAGAAGAAGAAGUGUUCUUGAUUUUUUUGUAGGCAUUAAAGUUAAACGGUUUGAAAUGAUAUUUUGUUUUUAUUUCACUCAUUAAUCUCAUUCAGGAUAAAAUUAUAAAUGCAAAUAAAUGGGGUUUCAUAAGUAUUUUUAAUAGUGUUAAAAGGUCUACUCACUAAAUAAACAUGUUUUACCCAAACCAAUCCGAUUAAUAAGUUAUUAGGUUGGGUUGAUCAGGUUAAAAAUCAAAAUUAAAAAUUAAAUAAAUAAAAGGCAUAAAAACUAUCUGUUACUUGAAAAUAAAAAGAAUUUCUAAUAGUUAGUUCUAAUGUCCCAUAUCCAAAACAUGCAUAUUGUGAGGUUUGCUGGUGAAUCAAACUCAUCAGAACCAAAUGAUGACGUUUUGGCAAUUGAAGGAGCACUUAAAAGACACGUGAAACGCACGUCUGUUGUCACUUAAGAUUAAAGCUUGAAACGGCAGUUCAACCAUGUCGUUUAAAGGAAGCUUAGAAGUGAUGCACGUGACAGAUGUGUGAAGCAGCUCAUCUCAGUUCGUUAAGUUUGUUAUGCUACGUGUAAGCAAUCAGUUCGAUCUGGGUUUAGCUGGUUAGUUGCUCUGUUAGUUAUAAGAGCAGGCUGAUGAAACGAUUUGGGUUAAGCUUGUGAAUUCAUAUCAGAGAGAGAGAGAUUUCAGUGAAAGGGUUAAGAGUUCUCUGAAAUCUUGUAAACCAUUCUCUGUAAGAAAGAUCCUCCAUUGUUGAAUAAUAAAAGCUCUGCAGAAAACUUUUCCUGUGGAUGUAGAUUGUACCAAUUUGGUACAACUGAACCACGUAAUUGAUUCUUGUGUUGUCUGUGAUUUGUUUGUUUCUUGAUUCUCUAUUCUUUCUAGUUCUUGGGUACAUUGUUUUCACUUGGCUAGAUUCAUUCCUCAAUCUGUGCAUCUUGUAUAGUUCUUUAUCAAAGGUCCUGGGAAGUGUUUUAUUUGUCUUGCAUGUUAUAUAGCAAAUUAAAACACUACACAUAUUAAAUAAUAUAUUAUAAGUUAGAAAUACAAUAUCUAAAGAAAGAAUUAAUGAAAUAACAUAUUCUUGUUGAGAAUUAAGAGUGUGAUUUUAAUUUUGAUAUUGGAGUCUAAAGCAAUAGAUAGUACAAUGAAAUCAUGAAUGCUACGUUUAAAUAAUCUCUUUUAUAAAAUAAUAAAAAGAGGUUAAAAAUUAGGUUAACAUUUAGGGUUUAGCAGUUAAGGAUGAAUAUAUUAUUAUUGUUGUUGUUGUUAUUAUUAUAAUAAUAAUUAUUAUAAUAAUAAUUAUUAUUUAUAUGUUAAUUAAUUCAAUCCAACUUAAUUAUUAAUGAAUUUGAAAAAAUUGACCCAAUUAAUCCACAAUAAUUCAUUCAACUCGUCUAAAUUAGAUUAAGUUGAACUUAAUUUGCUACCCCACAUUGAGCAACAAACCUCAACGUCAUUCUACGAGCUCUUUGAUUGUUUAUAAAAUUGAUUUAGAGUACAUAAAGUGUAUCGACAAUGAAAGUGCAAAACAAAUUAUUGUACAUAUUAAAAUGUGCAAAAACAAUGAAUUAUAUGUACAAACGAGUGCAAACACAUUUUUCAAUAAGAAGUUGGAAGAUAUUUAUGCAUGAAAAAGCCUACGUUUGUAGUUAUUCUAAAUUUUAAAAACAAAAUUUACAUUUAGAUUCCUAAAAUUUACAUAUAAGUAUAAAAGUUUCAAAUAUUGUCUAUUAUUUUUUUAACAUGCCUAUUCCUUGUGGAUAAUUUUGUCUCAUCACUAAUGUUGUUUCUUGCUUACAAAAACCAAAAGCCACCUCCUUUUUGCAAUUUUUAUAGCGUCUCAAAAUAGACAAUAGGGGGAUUUUGAAUUUUUUAAGUCUCAAUAUAGUCUCUAAUCUUGUGAGAAAUAUUUUCUUUCAAUAAUUUGGAGGUAAACAUAACAUAACUUUUUGGACUAAAGCCUAACUCUGCUAAUAAGUAAUUGGUGGUAUCCUUUUCAAGACUUGAGUCUUUAGAUUCGAGUUUUAUAUAGUGUGCAUGUGUAUUUAAUUAAUAUUUUUUUUCAAAAAAAAUUACAUCAAAUACUAAUAUUCAUGACAUAAUUUAGUUCAUAAUUUUUUUAAAUACAUCGAAAAAUAUAAUUUUUUAACAACUUAAAGGCAUGACAAAUUUCAAGAUAUAAAUAUCAGUCAAAAUAAGUGAAAGAAAUAAUGGUGUCAAUUCUAAUUUCUUAACUAAAUUAAUUACUGCAUGAGCCCCGAAUAUGACACGAGAGUUUGAUGGGCUAACUUGGCACAAGAACGUGAAUAGUUAACUCAUUUAAGAAAUAAUUCAACAAAAAAUAUAAUUGAUAAGAAUGCAAUAUUGAAAUGAAUUUUUUACGAAACAUUGAAUUAAUGAUUAUUAAGCAAGAACAAUAAAAAAAUAAAAUAAAAAUAAAGAUUAACCAUUGAUAAGCUUCAACAAGAACUUAACACAACCCUCAAUCCUAAUUCAAAUUAUAAAUGUCAUUCAUAUAUUCAUUAUAAAUCAAUAACAAAGGUUAUAAAUGUUUAGAAAUUCUAGAGGGAAGGAAGCUAUCGCCGGGGAAUCAACAACUAAAAUUGAUGUAAUUGUGGCACGAGAUGGAAUAUGGAAACUACACCAUAAUUUUAAAUGCCGCCAUAGACAUUGACUUAUCUACAAUAACAAUGAUCUAAUUAAAAUAAAAAUAGAGUUUAUGGGCAUUUAUUAUUUUGACAUUCCUCAUUUGCAAAUAGGGAUACAAUUAUAAUUUAUUUAGUCAAAGCAAACAGUAAUUUUCUUCAUUAUAGGAGUGAAGUAAAAACAUUUAGAUUUUAAUGUAUGUAAGGAAAAAUUUAUCUUUAAAAAUACUUUCUUAAUGUGUGUAUGCAUAUUGAAAUACUCAAACCAAUUUUGGUUAUAUAUAAUUAAACAAAUUUUAAAAUAUGAAAAAUAUAAUGUAGUUAUAGUGGAUAAACAAUAAGUGAGCACAAUAUAAUUAAUCAAAUAUUGUGCUAUCAAAAGUUAAUUUUAGAAAUUCCAAAUCCAAUAGCUAACACAAUUCUUUAAAGAAAAAAAAAAGGUUGACACAAUUAAUAAAAUUAGCGACAUGAAUUUCACGCCAUUGAUAAUCAGCAAUUAGUAUUACUUUCUAAACUUGCUUCAACUGGUCGUUGAUGUCCGGGUCACCAAAAGUAUAAGCGAUAAUAAGGGGCAUUGGGCAAGAGUGAUGAAUGUUUAGUGGGUGCAUUUGAUUGAUAGAUAUAUAAAGGGCCGAAACUUGAGAUUAUAUUACUUUUACAAAUUUUAAUCCAAUCACAUAUUUAAUGAAAACAAAAUGAGUUAGGAUACUUUAUUUAAAAUACACAUUUUAAUAAGGCUUCAUUUAAUUAAAUAAAAUUAUAAAAGUAAAAUAUAUUUUAGAUAUUUUAAUAUUUAAGAAAAAAUUUUCAAUCUUUACUUUCAGAAGCUCAAAUUUUUAAUUUUUAGUUGUAGAGACAAAAUAUCUUAUUUAAUGUUUAAAAGUUCUGCUAAAAACAAUCAAAUAACUACAAAAAUUUUAAUAAGAGCAUAUAAAAUUAAAUAAGCAUUUAUUAAUAAUCACUUUAGUGUACUUAUCUAAUAACAAUAAGUGUUUAUUUAAUCUAAUAAGUUUUUAUUUAAUCUAAUGAGCUCUUUUUAAUUUUUUUUUAGUAGAGCUUUUGAAAAUUAAAUAAACUAUUUUGUCUCUAUUAAGAAAAACUUAAAAUUUAGGUUUUUGUAAGUAAAUGUUUAAAUUUUUUUUAAAAAUAUUAAAAUAUUAAAAUAUCUUUUCUUUAUUUCAUAAUCUUAUUUCAUUCUUCACAACAUAACUUUAAAUAACUUACCUAUUAAAAUAAUUUCACAAUUUCUAAUAAAAACUCCGAUUAACAAUCAAGCAAUAAUUUUUUUUUUUUUUUUGUAAAAAUUCUAUUUGUAAAAACUCUAAUAAUAAAAAUUCUACUUAAAUAAAUUUUAUUUGAAAAGGUAUACUAAACGAACCUAAGAUAAAAACAAAAAUUUUUAGAUCCAGACAAUUAAGCUUAAAACAAUUUCAAAUGAAUUUUAGACUAAUCAAAGUACAAUACGUACCAAGUUUGGUAAUUUAUUGACAUCUUCUUAUAUACCUUCGAUCAAGUCGAUUCUCACUUGACGACUAAUUGGUAGUUUGGUACAUCACCGUUGUUCCCUAUACUCGCAUGCAUCCGAUCACAAAUCUCACUCCAAUUGUUGUCUUUCUUCGGCGUUUUAGCGCAUCCUUCUUGAAUUUCUCGCAUUUCGUUCCCUUACAAGUCUCCGGUCAGGUCAGUUCACUUGACGAUUAAUUCGGCAAAUCUUGAAUCUCUUCUCUAUCCCUCUCGUUUUCUCGUGUCUCCUUUCAGUUAAAGCGAUUGAAUCAAUUUUAUCGCAGUCUAAGAGAAAUUAAGUAAUGCUCUUGGAUUUAAAAUUUUUUUGCUUUCGACUUUAGAUCUCGAAAGUCAAACUCUUCUACGAAUCCAUAGAUUCUCAAUGUUUAUAAUCUUAUUUGUGUUUGACCAGGUAACUGGAUCGUGAAAUUCGUCGUUUUGUAUCAAUUCAAGCUUUCGCGAGCUCAUGGAAUCACCUGGUGAGUUGUGGUGAAACGUUACCGUUUCAAUUUUCGCUUAAUUCUUUAUUGCAUAUUUUUUUCUCUAAUAUUUCAGUUUAAUUAGAAAAGAAAGAGGACCCAAAAAGAGAGAGAGAGAGAGAGACUCUACCAUACUCAAUUCCUUGCUCAUUCUGAUUUGGCCUGAAUGUUGGCAUUGACUAUUAUUUGUUUUCAUUUCGAUUUAAUUCUCAUUUAGACAGUCUUUACUAACGGUCAAUAAUAGUUUAAGGAAAAUGAUAAUAGGGAUUCUGCAAUAAUCUUUCUGCAUUGUUCAAGUUAGUAGACAAUGAAUAGGAUGUUUACGUUUACCUCAUUUUGAACCCCGAGGGCUUAGUUGAGUAGUUGAUUGAUUCAAUCUUGCAAUGUGUUCCCACAAGGUUUUGAGUUUGAUUCCUAAUUAUGUGGACCUUAGUUUCGAAUUUGAGUUUGUUAGGUGGGUUGAUGGGGUUUUUGGGUAUUAAAAAGGGAGAAGAAAAAAGUUGCUUGCUUCAUUUUGUACAAACCUGUUGACUUUUUAUUUUUUUCUUUUUAUUUUUGUACUAUUUUGUUUUACAGUUGGUGGUUCAAGACAGACAUCUGUUAUUGUUGUAACUUUGGAUACUGGUGAAGUAUAUAUUGUAACCAGCUUGUAUUCUAGGACUGACACUCAAGUGAUAUAUAUUGAUCCAACUACUGGUGCACUUCGCUACCAUGGGAAAUGGGGCUAUGAUGUUUUUGGAUCUGAAAAUGAAGCAGUAGAUUACAUAACAAAUGGAUCACGAUGGAUGUGCAAGAGUACAACUUUUGCCAAGGCGAUAUUGGGUUAUACUGCCCUGGGAAGCUUUGGGCUGCUUCUUGUUGCCACAAGGUUAACUGCCAGCAUUCCAAAUCUUCCUGGUGGAGGAACUGUAUGCACGGUUACAGAGAGCCAAUGGAUCAAAAUUCCACUUCAAAAUCCUCAACCCCAGGGUAAAGGAGAAGUAAAGAAUGUUCAAGAGUUGCCUGAUCUUGACAUUGAUGGGAAGCACUACUUUUGUGAGACAAGAGAUAUCACUCGACCUUUCCCCAGCCGCAUGCCUUUGCAAAAUCCUGACGAGGAAUUUGUUUGGAAUGAAUGGCUUUCGAUGCCUUUUAAAAGCAUUGGUUUACCUCAGCAUUGUGUCAUUCUUCUGCAGGUUUUGCUUCAUACUCGGUAUCUUCAAAAUUUAUGCUCAUUAAACUUCUUUCAUUCCCCACCCUCUCACUAUCCCUCCACCUAAUUUUGUUUCCAAAAGUUUGUUUGAUAGUCUAUUGCCACUAUAUGUAAAUGUAUCAUUUCCAUUCUGAGCAUGAUAUUUUAUUCAUCAUCACUUGUUAUUCUAAUCUUUAGAUGAAAGAAUAUUUCGUAUUAACAUUUUUCAUGGGCCAGUACCUAUUUUAUGGUCCAUUGUAGAUACUAAAAUGACCAACUUUAUUUCUUGGUCAUAAAAAGUUGCGACAGAAAUUUUAAACAUGUGAAUAUUUAAAUCUGAUAAUUCAUUAAAGAUUUCAACCUAAUAGAUUGAAAACUUAGAUUCAUUCCAUGAAUGAAAGAUAAUAAAGCAUCAGCCGAUGGAAUAUGGGAAAUAGAAACACUUUCCCUUCUAUUAAGAAGAGCCUGCUUCAGAUGAUCCUCAUUUUCUUCAUCCACAGGCCAACCUAGAACAUACCACACCAAGGUAAGAAAGAAAAGGGGUAGCAGGAUUGCCUAGUUUGACAAUUAGCAAAGCCCCAAAUGUUCCUCUUUUACUUUUCUUUUAGAAAGGUAGACAUGUUUGACAGAUUUGGGACAUUGCAUCAUCCCUUUCUGCUGCACAUGGUUGCAAUGUUUUACUUCUCACGUGAAAGCCUAGAAAUCCCAAUCCAAUAAUAAAAGGCCAUUUUAGAGUCAAUGUACAAAAACUUCCUUCCUUGUCUCUAUAUCCUCUUUUACAAUCCAUUCUUAGUUGAAUUGAGAUUAUGCUACAGCUGCUUCUUCAAGUUAACAUUGUUAUGCAAUUCAAUGGUGAUUUACGUGUGUACUUGUCCUAAGCAUGUGAUUUGAAAAUAAUAUGUUAAUAUUGUUUUCACUGGAUAUUAAUGUAUAGGGAUUUGCAGAAUGUCGAAAUUUUGGAAGAUCAGGUCAGCUAGAAGGGGUUGUUGCUCUUAUAGCUCGUCGUAGUAGGCUGCAUCCUGGUACUCGAUACUUGGCUAGGGGGAUUAAUUCUUGUUUUAGUACAGGUAAGAUAAUCUUUAACAUCUCCAGACCUGGAAAUUACAUUUUUGUUGUUGAGAUUCACUUGGUUCUUCUAUACAAUCAAAAAAAUUAAGGAUUUAGUUUUUUUUUUUUUUAAACGGAAUUUUCUUUUCCUUUCAGUACUCUUUGCAUUCUGUGUAUGCUGUUUAUUCUGAUUGUCAUUGAUCUCAUGCCUUUACAAGGAAACAGGUAAUAGUUUCAGUGGUAAAUUCAAGUGGAAUUGGUUUUGAUUCUGUUGUUUAGAAAGAUGGAUUGUAGAACUACAGAACAUUAAUCGUGCCACCUCAUGGCUCAUGCAUGCUUUUGGAGUAUUCUUUACCUGUAGAAUUUUUGUUUUUGUAGUUGACUUGGAAUAUAACUUUACCAUUUUUUUCAAAUAAUAAGAAUCAAUGAGUCUCAUCAAUAUUAAUCAAUAAUGAGCUAAAGAUAUAUAACUUGUGUCUCAGAACUAUAUAUGAUAUGCUUGUGAAGGUGUAUUAUUUUAAGUAGAGAUACCAAAUGCUACAGGGAGAAGCAAAAAAGAACAUUCUCCAGUGAAAACCUUCUGACAGAUUACAUUUUUGGGAUAAAAAAGAAACAUUGAGAUCAUCAGCCACACUUUUUCUUCUUGUACUGUUUAAUUAGUUUAGAGGCCUUUUAGUUGGUUUUGCUUGCCUGGAGGUGUCAUACAGUUCACUUUUUGAAUACCCUGGUUUUCUACAGAUUAGAACUUGGUUUCCUUUCACUCCACAGCUUUUGCUUUCCUACAUCACGUCCUUUGGGAUAAUUGAAUAAUGAAUGAAUGAAAACAAUCAAAUAAUUUCUGACAAUUAGUUAAUAACUUUUAUUUUGUAUGACCCUUUUGAUAUGUGUGGUCCUUUAAUUUACGGUUGAAAUAUAAAUAUGAAAAAAGUCUGCCAAUUAGUUUUACAAAUGACUUUUGUGCCAUAGAAUAUAUAUAUUUUUUUUUUGCCGAAAAACAAAACAAAUUCAUAAACAACAUUGUAUUUCACCAAUUAACAGUGCAAGUGUCAUUAUAGUUUCCACAUAUUAGUUCUGUUUUCGUUAGUUUCAUUUUCAUUCUGUUAUGUAACUGAUGUUUCAUUGCUAUAAAAUUAAUUGUCUGUUUCUCUUCACAACUGUUAUUUUGAAUGAUUUUUUCUGAAUUUUAUAAAGAAUUUGUAUAUGACAGGAAAUGAAGCAGAGUGCGAGCAACUUGUAUGGAUUCCUAAAAGGUCUGGUCAGAGUGUUCCUUUCAAUGCAUACAUCUGGCGGCGAGGGACUAUUCCAAUAUGGUGGGGUGCAGAAUUAAAGCUUACUGCUGCUGAAGCAGAAAUUUAUGUUGCAGAUCGGGAUCCUUAUAAAGGAAGUCUGAAGUAUUAUCAGAGGUUGAGUAAUCGAUAUGAUGCUCGAAACUUUGACUUAGCUGUUGGGGAAAAUCAGAAGAAAAAGCCUUUUAUUCCAAUUGUAUGCAUUAACUUGCUUAGGAAUGCGGAAGGGAAAUCAGAAUCUAUUUUAGUUCAGCAUUUUGAGGAAUCUUUGAACUAUGUCAGAUCAACUGGAAAACUUCCUUAUACUCGAAUAAUUUUAAUAAAUUAUGACUGGCAUGCCAGUACAAAAUUAAAAGGUGAACAACUUACAAUUGAAGGAUUAUGGAAGCAUCUAAAAGCACCCACUCAGGCCGUAGGCAUUUCUGAAGGGGACUAUUUGCCAUCACGGCAACGACUUAAUGAUUGCCGAGGUGAAGUCAUCUGCAAUGGUGACUUUGUGGGUGCCUUUUGCUUAAGAUCCCAUCAGAAUGGAGUGAUACGCUUUAACUGUGCAGACUCUCUUGAUCGGACCAAUGCUGCUAGUUAUUUUGGUGCUCUGCAAGUAUUUGUGGAGCAAUGUAGGCGGCUUGGGUUCUCCCUUGACAGUGAUUUUGCAUAUGGCUAUCAGUCAGCUAAUAACUAUGGUGGAUAUACUGCUCCUUUGCCACGAGGAUGGGAGAAACGAGCUGAUGCAGUGACAGGAAAAACAUAUUAUAUCGAUCACAACACUAGGACCACAACAUGGAUUCAUCCAUGCCCAGACAAACCUUGGAAGAGAUUUGAUAUGACAUUUGAGGAGUUCAAGCAAUCAACAAUUUUAUCACCAGUGUCUCAGCUAGCAGAUCUUUUUCUGCUUUCUGGUGAUAUCCAUGCAACCCUUUAUACUGGUUCAAAAGCAAUGCAUAGCCAAAUUCUUAAUAUAUUCAAUGAAGAACCAGGAAAGUUCAAACAAUUUUCUGCAGCACAAAAUAUGAAAAUUACCCUGCAGAGAAGAUACAAAAAUGCAGUUGUCGAUAGCUCUCGUCAGAAACAGCUGGAGAUGUUUCUUGGAUUGAGGCUUUUCAAGCAUCUUCCAUCUGUUUCAGUUCAACCUCUACAUGUAUGAUACUGUAGAACUUCAGAUUACCUAUUCAUACAAUCUGAGUUCAAUGAUUAUCAAUUUUCAUGAGGGAUGGAGACAAUAUUACACUAGCUACUUGUUUCUAACCUAAGCAUCCCUAACUUCUGCACAUAAAUAAAUGAUGCGCAAAGCAUACCAUAGCUAUAUCAAUGCCCAUUUCCUGUUUGAUGUUGACCAAUAAUGUUUGGAAGUUAGCUAUUGCAUGGUAAGAUGAUUUGAAGCUUCAUUUAAAGCUUCUAAGCCAGAGCUUCUAAGUCAUCUGGCUUAGAGAAUUUAAAUGUCCUCCAAAAGUCUGGAAUCACUGUUGCAUCUCAGCCUGAUUGAUAUUUGUUAUUGUUAACUUGGAAAUAUUUUGUUAAUCUUUCGGAUUGAACAACGUCGUGCUAUGAUCAUUAUUCAAGAAAUGACCUCAAGAACUUGUUGCAGUUGAGUGAUUUUUUGGUAAUGAUGAAAAUUAUUCAUGUUUAGGAACAGCUCUUUAGGGGAAAAGCAUAUAUGGGCUGGCUGGCCCUUUUUGGUGUAUUUGAUGAACCAUUUCAUAUCAUGCUGGUAACUGCAGGUUCUUUCUCGACCAUCUGGUUUCUUUCUCAAGCCAGUUCCCAACAUGUUCCCAAGUUCUGAUGGUGGAGCUAGUCUUCUAAGCUUCAAAAGAAAAGACAUGAUCUGGGUAUGGGUUGCAGCUAAACUUAGUCCUUUGUAGCAUUCCUAAUUCUCUGAUUGUCUUUUCUUUGUAGCAUUCUUAAUUCUCUGAUUGUCUUUUCUGUCCUUAAUGGAAUUCAUGCAUUUUUGGUUCUUUAGGUAUGUCCACAAGGCACAGAUGUGGUUGAACUUUUCAUCUACCUUGGUGAACCUUGUCAUGUCUGUCAGCUUCUUCUCACCAUAUCCCAUGGUGCAGAUGAUUCAACAUAUCCAGCAACAGUUGAUGUGAGAACAGGACGCCACUUAGAUGGGCUUAAACUGAUUUUGGAGGUUUGUAUUGGUUCUAUUGUACACCUUGCUUACAAAUUUUUUAUUUUUAAUUUUUAAUUUUGUAUGAUAUGCUCUUUGUUGGUAAAUUUCAUUUGACUUAGAAGAGAUAGUUUUAUCCCAACAGUGGGAUACAUCAUUGAGAUGCAUGGCAGAGUGAAUAUAGUAGACAAAAUCAUUGAGACCCAUGGUGGUGUGAACAUAGUAAACUUUGUCAAACACAGCUAAGAUGAGCAAAUUGUUUCAUUAGCCUUUAUCUUAUCUGCUGUGAUGAUUCAAAUUAAUGCUGUUUGGUAGGUUGCAAAAAAACGAAAUGAGCUGACUGUUCGUAUUAUUUAGUCAGAUCUCUAGCAAUAAGUUGAAGUUCAUUGUCACAUGGGUUGGGAGUAUCGUGGGCUGUGAGUAGUAGAAUGGAUUUAUGGAGUUGAUACAAGUGCCCACAAUCUCUCAUGUCAUUCUAGGAUUAAAUGGAUUGCACAUUACUGUAAAAAUGGAGGUUAAAUUUAUAUAAUUCGGAUUGAUUGUAAAAUGGAAGACAGAGAUGAGUUAGAAAAAGAAUGACCCGUGUCCUUUUUGAGCUGUUUCUAAAUGUCCCUGGUGUGCCUCAUGCUUAACACGUGCCUUUCCAAAUAAUUUUGCUUAACCUGUGCUUGUCUACUUCUUGUGCUAUUCUGUGCCUGGUCCUGAGCUGUAUUGGUAGAUUGACAUCCAGCUUGAACUUUUAGGUAUAUCUUUUGUACAUAAAUUCUGAAUACCCAUGGACUUAGCGUGAUAUAAAGUCAAGGAUCCAUUUAGCUGAGUCCUUCAAGUUUUGUUAGUAUGUCUUCGGAUUAUAAAUAUGUAACAAAAUGAGGUGUAGAAUACAUUUAAAAAGAAAAGGAUAAAAAAACAAAAGAAAUGAAAAGAGGUGUUUAGAAGUAAUAGCUAAACUAGAUACACUCUCACUAAUUAGCGAUUCUGAUGAACAGUGCCCAUAGCUUCUUUUAUACCUUGAAGUUGCAGAAAUUGAUUCUUGGUGAAUUAAGUCACUUACAGACAUAACUUUUUCUUCCAUCUAAUUUUUAUUAGGUUAGAUAGGAGAAGACUUGUUUCAGGGUGUCCUGACCCUAGUAUUAGUUUUCUUGUCAGAUUUUUCAUGAAAAUUUACAAUGCACGUGACAUACAACUUCUAGUAAUCCUAGGACUUUGUUCACAGGGUGCUUCUAUUCCUCGUUGUGGAAAUGGGACAAACCUUUUGAUACCUUUACCAGGAUCAGUUAGUGCUGAGGAUAUGGCUAUUACUGGAGCUGGUGCACGACUUCAUGAUCAAGAUGCACCAACCCUUCCACUGUUGUAUGAUUUUGAAGAAUUAGAGGGAGAAUUGGAUUUUCUUACUCGUUUUGUGGCAGUUACCUUUUAUCCUGCUAUUUCUGGAACAAGUUCCAUGACUCUUGGUGAGGUAGAAAAUAUUUUCAUAAAAUGUUAAUUGAUUUAUCUACGCACUUUAUUCUUAAAUUAGUAUUUUAGACCAUGAGCUUUGUGGAGUGGGUUUGCUGUAACUGCUGCUGGUGACAACAUAAUUGUUAAUAUUAUUACAGAUAGAGAUUCUUGGAGUUUCUCUUCCAUGGAGGGGGGUAUUCAAUAAUGAAGGCCCUGGUGCUAGAUUAAUUGAGCUUGGCAAAAAGUUUCAGAAGGAAACCGAUCCAUUUUUGUCAAAUUCAGUUACAAAUACGGUUCUGUUUUCCAAUGAAAAUGUGUCAACAUCAAUGCAAACAGAAGCUGCUUCCAAUCCUUGGGUUGACCUGUUGUCUGGAGGGGACACAUUUUCUGAUCCUCUUUCAGAGCCGUUUUCUAACCCUCUUUCUGAGCCGUUCUCUGAUCCUCUUUCUGAGUCGUUCUCUGAUCCUCUUUCUGAGCCAGUGACAAGAAAUGUUGCAUCUGGAGGGGCUGAUUUGCUUGAUUUCUUGGACCAGCCUAUAGUUGAAGAUCAUGGUGUGGAAACUUAUAAAAGAUCUUCAACACAGGAUGGCUGUUCUCUGGCUAGUGGUGCCCAGCAGUACAUAAGCUGUCUAAAAUCCCUUGCAGGGCCACGCGAGGUAUAGUACUGCUCUCUUGUGUUUUUUGCAGCUCUACAUCUUAGUAACCUCAUCUUUUUAAUGGAGUAAAUUCUAGAAGUUCAACAAAUUUUGCUUUGCUAAAUGUAUAACUUAUUAAUCAGAGUCCUGUUAUUAUGGUUUGACACUACUGACAUAUUGUGUUGGUAAUUUAUUUGUACGUCCCUUGGUUGAAUUAUUUGCUGUCUCCAUGCCAUUCGAUAUGGUGCUACUUGGUUUUUGAUCAUCCAUGACACUAUAUAUAUAUAUAUGUAAAGGAUGAAUUGAUUGUUUUGGCUUGUAUUCUCACAUUUUAUGAUUGAUCGAUGGAAAGGUCUUCCUGUAUUAAAUUCAACCUCACAAGCAUAAGAUUGACAAAUUCUGGGCAAAUUUUCAGGAAAAGAAACUAGACUUCAUGGAAGCAAUGAAGCUUGAAAUUGAACGUCUGCAGCUGAAUCUUUCUGCAGCUGAAAGGGAUAGAGCUUUAUUGUCAAUUGGAACUGAUCCUGCCUCUAUAAAUCCAAAUGUAUUGCUUGAUGAAUCUUACAUGGGAAGACUGUGUCGAGUAGCAAACACUCUUGCAUUACUUGGCCAAGCUUCCCUAGAAGACAAAAUUGUUGGUGCAAUUGGCCUUGAGAAUAGUGAUGAUAGUGUUUUAGACUUCUGGAAUAUUACUAGAAUCGGAGAGAGUUGUUCUGGUGGUGGGUGCGAGGUUCGUGCCGAAACUAAGGUGCCUGCUCUUGCUUCCUCAACUGCAACAUCUGUUGGAUCUUCACAAUCCCCUUUGUUGUGUUCUCAAUGUGAAAGAAAAGUUUGCAAAGUUUGUUGUGCAGGAAGAGGAGCUCUACUGUUUUCAAAUUAUAAAUCAAGGGAUGUGACCAACUACAAUGGCUUCUCAAGUCAGAGUGGAUCAAGCCAUGGAAGCCAAGUUGAUGUAUCUACCAGUCGUUCACUAACACUGGAUGGCGUUAUCUGUAAACACUGCUGCCAUGAGAUUGUGCUUGAUGCAUUGAUGUUGGACUAUGUUAGGGUCUUGAUUAGCUUGCGAAGAAGUUCCCGUGCAGACAACGCAGCAUACAAUGCUUUGAAUGAGGUUGUUGGAUCCUGCUUAAAGGAUAGUCUUUCUGAGAGGAUUCAGUCUUCCGAUAACGUGCAAGCAGCUGAAGUCCUUCACCAAUUAUGUGGUGGACAGGAAGCACUUGCUGAAUUUCCAUUUGCUAGCUUUUUGCACUCGGUAUGUUCUUGGUUUGUAUUCAGUUCUCAUCAUAUUAUGUUUUCCUUUUAAAUUUCUUUUCUUGAUUAAAAUUUUUAGAAAUAUGUUUUAGCAUUUAUUCUUAUGAUAUAUGCCCAGAACAUUCAUCCCACUUAUCCAUGAGAAUCCUUGUCUGGUUUGAUUUUCAAUUGAGACAUUUUUGGGAACCCUGAGCAGGUUCCAUAUGCUAAUAAUCUUUGAGGUAAGGUGUUGUAGGAUGCCUUGAGAAGCUAAAAACCUAUUACAAGUAAAAGCUCUUGCAUUGUUUUGUGCAAUCUGUGUGCGAGCAAGUCAUGUCUCUAAUAAUUUCAUAGUUUGCUUGAUUGGAAUUUUUUAUCUUGAUAUGGAUUGUUUAUUCUAGAUUCCUUGGUGCCACUGUAGGUUGAAACAGCAAAAGAUUCAGCACCGAUUUUGUCACUGCUUGCUCCAUUAAAUUCUGGAUCAAGGCACUCAUAUUGGAGAGCUCCACCUAGUAUUACUUCUGUUGAAUUUGUUAUUGUUCUCGGUUCUGUUUCUGAUGUCAGUGGGGUUAUCUUGCUUGUUAGUCCUUGCGGCUAUUCUGUGGCUGACACUCCGAUGGUAAGUGCCAUAUUUAUUCCCUUAUUUCCUUGUUGUUCAAUAAAUUUGGUGAUAAGCCAAGUGGCCUUAAUAAUGAAGCCCAGUACCAGGGGUGGUGGGUAAUAGAUAUUCAACUUGUGAAUAUUCCUAAGCAAACACUGAAUCAACAUAUACCUCGGCAAAAGUUCUCUAUGCUAUGAUAAUGGAAGUCAUAUUUUGAAAUGAUUAAAAGAGUCCCUGUGUAGUGCCAUUUCCAACGAAAUUGCAGCUGGGGGUUUAGUUUCAUGUAGGUUAGUUUCCGAUAAUAAACUUUCCAUUUCAUUAAUUGCUGAUGAAAAAACCAAGUAAGAACAGUUUUGUUGCUCAUCAUUUUUGUAUAUUUUGGUAAACUGUAAUUUUAAAUUCUCAACGAUCUUCCCUUUGUAGGUAAGAAGAUGGUCCACUCACUUGAUAUUUAUGAUUGUAGAUCAGGUUUCUAUUGGUUUGCCUUUAUCAUUUGGAACCCAUGUUUGAUAUUAACAGAGAUCACAUCAAUAAUAUCCUAUUUGGGUAGAUGUGGGUGAGGAUUUAAAAUCAAAUUUGAAAUUGAGGGGAAAGAAGAGAAAAGGAACCACAAUAAUUAAACAAAAUAAUAGGAACUAUUCUGAUGAGUUUUAAUCUCGAGAGGAACAAUUUUCAAAUGCACUGCUAGAGAAAUUGUAGCUUUUUGUCAUUAGUUAAAAGGAAAAAGAAUAAGAACUAUCCGGCCCUUUCCUUCAUGAAUGUGUGUUGAGGUUGCUGUAUUAUUUAGUCAGUAUUUGUAAUUUUCUUCCCUGCAGUGCUCUCUGCCUCCUGAAUUUGCUUCCUAUUGCUGUUACAGGUGCAAAUCUGGGCAAGCAAUAAGAUACACCGGGAGGAAAGGUCAUCAAUGGGAAAAUGGGAUGUCCAAUCCCUCACCACAUCUUCUUCAGAUUUGUAUGGUCCAGAAAAGUCUGCUAGUGUUGAAAAAUUACCUAGGCAUGUAAAAUUUACGUUUAAGAAUCCUGUUAGGUGCCGCAUUAUUUGGAUCACAUUACGUCUUCAGAGACCUGGUUCGGCUUCAGUUAAUUUCGGGAAGGACCUCAGUCUUUUGUCUCUUGAUGAAGAUGAAAACCCCUUUGCACAAGUAGACAGACGUGCUUCAUUUGGAGGAGCAGUUGAAAAUGAACCAUGUAUUCAUGCCAAAAGAAUUCUUGUAGUCGGAAGCCCAGUAAAAAGGGAGGGGCUUACCACAUCACAGAGCUCUGAGCAGCUAAGUAUUAGAAACUGGUUGGAUAGAGCUCCACAAAUGAGUAGAUUCAAGGUAUUAGUUGCUUUCACUCUUUGUUCAUUCAUAAUUCCAGCUUUCUGCUUCACUGAUAAACCUCUUUUUUCUCUUCAGGUCCCAAUUGAGGCCGAGAGAUUGAUGGACUACGAUCUCGUCUUGGAACAGUAUCUACCUCCAGUGUCACCUUCACUUGCUGGAUUCCGUCUAGACGCUUUCAGUGCAAUAAAACCUAGGGUUACCCAUUCACCUUCCUCAGAUUCAGAUAUCUGGGACAAAUCAGUAACAUUUUUAGAAGAUAGGUACAUCUCUCAAGCUGUGUUGUAUUUACAAGUAUCCGCACUCCAGGAACCACAUAACAUGGUAACUAUUGCGGAAUAUCGACUGCCGGAGGCUAGAGCCGGAACGCCAAUGUACUUUGAUUUCCCACGACCGAUACAGUCCCGACGAGUUUCAUUCAAGCUUCUUGGAGAUGUUACAGCAUUUGCAGAUGAACCUUCAGAACAAGAUGAUUCAGGAUUGAGAGCUCUACUUGUGGCCACAGGUUUGUCUUUGUCAAACAGAAUCAAGUUAUAUUAUUAUUGUGAUCCUUAUGAGCUCGGAAAAUGGGCAAGCCUUUCUGGAGUUUGAUCAUUAUUUAUAUGUCAGAGAAAGAGUUUUGGGUUUGAUUUUGAUUUUGAUUUGCAUUUUUUGUCAGUUUAUUGAAAUUUUUUCGUGGUAUAAAAUCAGAAUGUAAAGGUAUAAAAAUUCAUUGAUGCUGCAAUGUCUGCUUUUGAGAAAGAAGAAUUCAACGUCUUUUCUAUGCCAUUGUAUUUUCCACUGCUUGUAAACUUGGGCUGUCGAAUGCUCUGUGAACCUUAAGGGCUAAAGUAAUUUUCAAGACUGAAGGAUUUAUUAAUCGAGUUCAAAAGAUUGCAAGUUGGUGAGCGUUGGCAUUUAAAAAUCAAUUGUUAUUCUCUCAAUAAUCUCUCUCUUCUGCCGACACCCCAAGCUCAGAAACCCGUUGUUCCGACGGACGUGUAACACUUCUAGAAAUUAGCAUUUUCUUCUACAUGAAGGUUGGUCUCUCCUCGUGAAGUGUUUUCUUUUUUGAGUGAAGGUGGUUUUCUACUUACAUAUGUCGAGGGUCUUACGAUAUCUAAUGUGUGAAAUUUCUCUCUCAUUUUACCAUAAAGAAAAUGUUUGUAAUGAUCUGAAGCUUGAGUCUUAAAUUAUCUUAAAUUUAUAUUUAGGGUGGAGCUAUUGGCAUCCCUACAUUAUUCUUACAAAAUUCCACUUUAAAUAAAAUUACAAUUAAGAACAAUUAAAAAUUAAACACUUAUAAUUUUUUGUACAGCAAAUUACUUAAUUUAUAAUCAAUUCUUUUAAAAUAUAUAUAUAUAUUUGUUACUUCUUAUCUAACUAAAAUAAAUUGUACAAAUUUAGAAUAAUCUAUUGUUCUUUUUUGAUUUCUUAUUGAUUUAAUAUUUUUAUACUUAAAAUUACUUUGAAAUUAUAAUUUGAAAUAUGUGUUAUUUUAGCCAAUAAUUAACACUUAAAAACUUAUCACCCAUAUAACUUUUUAAUUUGUGUGUAGGGUAAUAAUAAAAUUGAAAAUAAUUAAAAAUAGCACAAUAAUGAGUUUUAACAAUAAAACAAAUCAAAUGAAUAUUUAAAAUUUUAAAAAGUAUAUCUAGAAAAAGAGGUAUUUUCGGAAAUAGUUUGCAUAUAACUAAAAAAAAGUUUUAUGAGGAGAUCAGAUGGGUGCCAAUAGUCCACCUCGUAAUUAAGAAUCUCCCAUUAUAUUGUGAACCAAAAAGACACUUGCAUAAGAAGAAGAAUUUUUCUGUUUGAUUUUAUUUGUGGAUCCAACAUUUCUCAUAUCUUGAGCGCCUUUCCGUAUCAAAUUAAAAUAGUAGUAGCAAAAUUGUAGUGCACAUUCAAUUAAUCAACUAAUAGUCUAAGAAGCAAAGAGAGGAUUACAAGUUCACAACACCAUUACAAAGGAUUCAAAAUUCCCACACGAAAACAUCAAUGUACAGAUAUAAACAAUCCUAAUUGGACACAAGAAAAACCCUUAAAUGGAUUGCUUGCCUUCCCAAUGCUACAUACCCUGCAAACUGCUUACUGGCCAAGAAAAUGUUUUCAAUUUAGUGUAUUUUCAAAAUGCUUAUUUUCUCAUAAUAUUAAAAAAAUAAAAUAAAAAAGAAUUCUUACAUGUUUCAUCAGCAUGAUUAAAAUCAAAGAAGAAAGAGAGACAUAAUGUCUCUGACAUAAUAAAAUUAUAAAAAUUUCAAGAAAAAAAAAGGUUAAAACAUGUAAGGUGGAUGAUUGAAAACAAUUGUAUGAUGGUAACCAUCAUCUUAAACAAAUAAAAUAAGGUAUGUUCAAAAGUAAUAAGGAAUACAUAGACAAAACAUCAUCUUAAACAAAUCAUAAUCUAGAAUUGGAGCAUUUUCGACAUACCUAAGGAGAAAGAAUACGUGAAAAUAGGUGAUUCAUUUGUUAAGGAGUGUUGAUUUGGUCGUCUCUGCAAAUUCUUUAGGGACUCGGUUCCAGUUCCUCUUCAUCAAAACUGUAAUAUAAUUCCCCUUCAUCAGAACUCGAAUCAAAUUCACUUGCAGCAGUUCCACUCGCGCUUGGCAAAUCAUCCAAUUUCCAAACUUCGGUACCAAAAUUGAGAGUAAAAGUGUUGGCUUUGAUCUCGCUGCGAUUUGCAUAUACCGGACAUACUCCGUAACGUUUUAUCUUGUGACCCUUUUGGUUUCGGUAACACUCAUUGAAGAACUUAAGUGAGACAGUUGUAUGAUGGUAACCAUCAGGAAAGCCAACAUUCAAGCAAGGUUUAAAACAAAGUAUGACAUGAUCUGAAUCAAGGGAGUAUUUAGAAUAGGUAGAAAAACCCAGAUCAACAUAUUUGGUUUCAGAGAGAGUCUUUAUUUCUAAGUCGGAUUGAAAGAUGACGUACCAAUCGCACUUGCAACGAGAACAAACUUUCUUAGAAUCAAGAACAGCACAAAAAGCAAACCCGAUUAAGUUUCCGCAAAAAGAUUGCGGUGGCAGUUGAAUACAUAUCGAAGAUUCUGAACUUUGAUGGCUGAACCAGUCAGGAAUUUCGCUCCCAGGUAAAACAAUUAGGGAUCCCCAGAGUUCAGAAAGUUUCUGUGAAAUGACAUUUAAAAAAAGAAAAUUGUAAAUUGAAAACCAUGAUUUCAGAUAUAACAAAGAGGGACAGAGUAAACAAGAGAGGGAAUUUGAUACCUCGUUGAUUGCCUUUUCAUAGCCCAAUCUCAGUGAUGCAAUUGCCAUAUGCCGAAUUCUUAGUCGUGAAUCUGCCAAAAUCUUGUUGUUUGCUUUUCCAUCAAGUUUCAAGCAGUUAGUAAACUCAAAACAAAUUGCUGCUGACUCCAGAGAUUGAAUAAGGUCAGGAGAGGGUUUCGAUAACUUUUCGAGUACGGAUGCAUCUAGUUCUUGUAGACAUGACGGAAUCUCUGGCAAAGAUUGAAGCCGCUUGCAGUUCCUUGCUUUUAGUGAUUGUAGACACAAUGGAAGUUCUGGUAAUGACCGAAGCAUGUUACAACCCGUCAAGUCAAGAGAUUCAAGACACAAUGGAAGUUCUGGUAAUGACUGAAGCAUCUUACAACGCUCCAAGUGAAGAGACCUCAGCCGCGACAGUUGCUUGAUACUUGCAGGUAAACUCUCAAAGUUAUUUCCACUUAGAUGCAAGCCUGUCAGUGAGGAUAGACAGGCAAUCUCUUGUGGAAUUUCCAUUACAGCACAGUUCCUUAUAUUUAGACGUCCCAAAGAAGAUAAACCUAAUAAUAAUGAUCGAGGCAAUGAUACCAAACCUUUGCAUCUAGAGAACUCAAGAAUUCUAAGUACGUUUGAAUCUGCAACAGAGGAUGGUAGUUGACUAAUAGCUGAUCCAGCUGCACAGAUGUAACGCAAAGAUUUUAAAUUGCCAAUGUUAUCCGGCAACUUAUCAAGUUUAGAGCAAUCUUCUACGAACAAUACUUCAAGUCCCGGUAGAUUUUCAAAUGACGAUGGCAGCUCUGUAAUUGCCGUAUGGCCUAAAUAGAUGCGUUUUAAAUGUUCCAUUUUCUCCAAGAUUUCUGGGAAACGCUCAAGGUUCACGCAGCCAUUAAGAAAAAGAUCAACCAACGAUCUCAAUUUACAAAACCCAGUUGAAAUCAUCUUCAGCCGUUUGCAAUCCCUCAAAUCCAACACUAUAAGAUCAGUUAGGCACUCUAUUGAUGAUGGAACUUCUUCUAUUGCAGACUGGAUUAAGUAUAGCCGUGUAAUUUUCCCAGAAAUCUGUGGAAACUCUACGAGAUUAACACAAUAGGAGAAAUUAAUAGUUACUGGACAAACAAAAUGAAGAUUGGUUGGAAAAGACCUAAGACUUUUGCAGCCCAUAAAAUCCAACCUACUGAGAUACUUGAAAUUCUGGAUAGAUGAGGGAACACAAGCCUUUUCUCCUUCCCAAAGUUGCUCAACUUUACUUAAACGCAAAUUCAGUUGAACGAGGUUCUUUGGCUUGAAAUUUGAUGGCAGUGUCCUUAAUGGAUAUGUGUCCCAAUGAAGAUAUCUCAAUUUUUUAGGAAGAUAAUCUAGACCAUUUGGAAGCUGCACUUUAGAGUAUGAAAGUUGCUCUUCAAUGAUCAUACUUAGAAACCUUUCAAUCCCAUAAAACUUAGGUACAUAAAAUUUGAGCAAUCUCAUACUAGACAUAUUUGUGAAGGUUCCGGGGUCUAAAUUAAUGCCUUUUAUUUUGGACAAAUCCAGAAAUAUGCCUUCAAUUGCAUCGGUCCCCUUAUUAAAAAAAAAACAAAGAAUGAGUAAUCCUAAAACAGAAAAGAAACAUUCGUAAACUUUAUUAACUAAGAGCUCCUUAAACAAAAACAAAUUCUGCAAUCUUUGAUUUUAUUUUUUUAAUAUAUUAAAUAUCUAUAUGCGAGAAAAGAAAAUUUUGGGGGCCAUUGCAAAAUUAAACUAACCGAAAAAAAAAAUUCAAAAUUUCUCUAAUUUACAAACCUGUUAUCUUAAUAUCUAGAAGUUGAGAAGACAAGGCCUAUUUGAUUGGUAUAAGAUUUCAAUUUUUUUUUUUUUUUUUUUUUUUUUUUGUCGAUAGAAUCCAAAAUGUUAGUUCAAAAUUAGGGAAAAAAAUGAAAGUCAUUUUUUUUUCCACUAGCUGUAAUUGUAUCCAAGUCAAAUUGAGAUACAACCCUUUUUGAAAGAAUUUAACCAUCUUACAACCUCCUUAAGGUACAUUUAAGAUAAAAGGAGUGAUUGGAGGCAGAACUAGGUGGGCCAAUCAGUCCAUUUUAUUAGCGACUGUUGCUUAAAAAAAAUUAUACUCUAAAACACACUUACAUUUUUGAAAAAAUAUAUAAUUAUAUUGAAGUAGAACCAGGUGGGCCAACCCUCAUGGCACUCACUUUGUUCUGACACUUUUCACUAAAUUUGAAGAAAAAUAAAAUUAUACUCUUCACACUCUUAUUCAACAUUCCAAAUUUGAUAAAAUCGGGAGUUUUCUUUAAAAAUUUAAAAUUUGAAGACUUGUUCUCUUGACACCCUCAGUCAUUAAUUUUACCUAAUUAUGGGUUUUAUGAUUUUGGUUGUUUUGUUCAUAAAAAUGCUUUUACUAAAGGAUGUUCUGGUAAUAAUAAAAUUUAUAAAAAAAACAUGGGUGUGCUGGUAUGGUUGGAAAAAUAUGAGUGCAUAACUCCAAACAAAUAAAAGAUAUAUAUAAAAAAAAAUGGAGGAUUCUUACCUUAUUAUGCUUGAGUACGCGGCGGAUUUCCUUAGGAUCCCACAACCUGCUGCGUUUGCCUGGCUCUUUCUCAGAUUCUUGGCGAACAAUCCGUCGCCCCAUUUCUUGCAAUAAAAUCAUGCAUUUGCAAGCAAUUCCCUGAUACUGAUAUGAGUGACUUAUCAAUAAGGACAUUCACGUCAUUCAGUCCAUAAGACUUAGAAUCAUCAAGUAUCCUUAUCACAAAAUCUUUAUCCUCUCCCUCAAAGAAACAAGCAAUAUCUAGAAAUACACUCUUGACAUUGGGCGUUAAUUCAUUAAAACUAAUCUUUAAUAUAUCAUACAUAUUAUGAAUAUCAGAUUCACAAAUCCGAUUUAAGUCGUCCAAUACGUUUCCCCAAUGGCUUUUCCUCUUGAGGGAGGAACCCAACACUUUAAGAACUAAUGGAUUGCCAUCAGCAUACUUUACAACUCUCCGUGACUCACGUUUGAAAUCUUCAGGACAAUGCUUUUCUUUAAAAGCGAAGUUACAAAAAUGCUCGAAAGCCUCAUCAAAUUUCAAUCCAUUAACCCUAUAUAUUUUCUCCACUGGAAACGUCUCGAGGACAUGUUUAUUCCUAGUGGUGAUGACAAUUCUACUUCCUGGACCAUACUGAUCAAGCCCUCCAAUCAAACCCUCUAAUUGUCCAUCUUUACUCACAUCAUCAAGCACAAUCAACACCUUCAUGCGUCGGACCCUCUCUUUAGUAAAUUGUGGAAUAUUGGGACCAUCUACUUUAAGUUUUUCUCUUAAUAUCCUUGAAAGAAUUUGCUUUUGUAGAUCUUCUAAUCCAUCCCCUCGUUCUAUAUUUCUCCUAACAUCUGACAUAAAGCACCUACCUUCAAACUCUCUGGAGAAUUGAUUGAAAAUAGCUGUGGCAAGGGUGGUUUUGCCUAUACCACCCAUGCCCCAAAUUCCAACAAUUUGGACAGUAUCCCACAAAUCCAUGCACAGAAAUGGUUUAAUCUGCUCAAUUCGUGAAUUUAAUCCAACUAGGCCAUUGGAUGAGUCCGUUGAGACUGUUAUUUUUUCCAUCUUCUUCAAAACAUCUUCGACAAUUUUGCUUACAAGUUGCGCAUCAUGCCUAAUAUGAAGGUGCAAAGAUGCAAAAACAUUGAGUCAAAUCGGGCCAACACAGAAACAGAGAUAAGAUGAAUUAGGAAAGAGAGUUACCUGAAUUUCGUGGAUUCGUGGCCAGCUAGAUGGGAUGUUUCUUUCAGUGCAUCCCUCCACUUCUGAACCAUUUCUGGCUUCUCUUUGAACUGUUGUUCGAGCUUAUCAAAACCGUGCCCAAAAAUUCCAGCUUGAUGCCGAACAUCGGACGGACUUACGCUAUAGAAAACUGGAAUAACGAUUUGGCCGUUUGUGUGCUUGCAUUCAAGAAUCUUGACAAGUUCAUUCAGGCACCAUUUUGAAGAAGCGUAGUCCUUUGAGAAAAUGACGACCGAAAUUUUCGAACCUUCGAUUGCGUUCAAAAGAGCAGGUGAAAUCUCAUCUCCUCGCCUAAGCUCUUCAUCAUCAAUAAACGUUUUGAUUUUCGUUCUUUCAUUCAAAUUAUAAUAGAGAUGGCAUGUAAAGCUCACGCGAGUGUCCUCUCCUCUGAAACUGAGGAAUACAUCAUAAUUGCAACAAGAAGAAGAGGAAGCCAUGAAGGAAAUUUUAGAAAUUUGGUGACAGAAACAGAGAAUUAAUCUUGAGAGUUGAGAGGGGAUAUGUAAGAAUGAAAAUGCGUAAAUAGUAAAUGAUUGAAUUAAUCUGGCGAGUAAAUAGUAAAUAAUUGAAUGGCCGGAGCUUUCUUAGUUUCCUGGAAAUUUCCUGGAGCUUUCGUAUACAUGAUUUGUCAAGUCAAGAAACAUAAUCAUGAUAAUGGGGCAGACCAGGAAGGAAAGAAAAUUUGAUCCAACCAAUAAAGGAAGGAAAAGUAAAGAAAGAAAAUUUGAAAGUAGAUUCAGAGAAUUAUAAAAAGCUAAAGGAUAUUGGAAUUUUGUACAAUUUCUCUAUUACAGUUUGGAUUAAGAUUUGAGCAAGCGGCCAAAACUACAUUGCGUCAGGGCUUUGGUGCCACACUCGUUUGUCUGUUAGUAGCAUUGGAUUUGAUCUGACGGCUGCAGAAGAGACACAAACAUAAAGAGGAGUAACCUGAGGAAAAGGUAAUAAGCCGGUUACCUGCAGAAAAUAAGUGCAUGAUAAAAUAACACAAGUAAUGAACACAAUGGAAGCGUAUAUGCAAGUAAUGGUUGGAAACAACUUGCUGGAAGCGUGCAAGUAUUGGUUGGGCACAGACCGACAUUAAAUUUCGCAAAUAGUGUCUGAAACAUUUGCAAAUACUUAAUUCAAAACGUCAAUAAAUGCUGGAAAAAAUACAUAUUUUUUUAUUUUUUAUUAAGAAUACAUUUAAAAAAAGAAUAAUUAUUAAUGGUACAUAUUUGUAACAAUUAUACCAAAAACAAUUAUCCAUAUAUUUAAAAAAAAUGUUAACAAUACAUAUUUUUUAGAAGUAUACAUAUUAUAUCAUAAAAAAAUUGAGUUGGAGCUUCGACAAGUAGAUCUUAAAAAACUAAGGUUGAAUUUUGGAGGAGCAGAUUCGGUCGUGGAGUAACAUUUGUUUAUUAUUAUUAAUUUAUUUUGGUAGUCCUAGUGAAACAUCGUUGUUUCACAUAGAUGAUGUCGCAGUUUGAUAGACGGGAUGACAUGUGAUUUUUUAUCAAAUAUAUCGGGCCACAUGGCAUUUUUGACUAGGUGAAUGGAGUGACAUGUUAAUUUUUUUUUUUUUUAAUCAAAGGUUCUUCUAUCUUAGAAGACUAGAUUAGCCUUAUGAUGUCAAGACUUGGAAACGACAACUAACUGACUAGUGGAUAGCAGACACAUGUUGUCAACUUAGGGUAUACAAGGAUACAUGUUAAAAGUAUUGUAGUAUAUGUGAUACAAGUGUCAUGGAAGGCUAUAUGAGUGAUAAUUACUCAUUAAACUAUAAGUUGCAAUAAUUUAACACAACAAGUGCCAAUUAAAAUGUAAUAAUUUAAAAAAAAUUAGGUAUUCUCCGUCUGUCUCCCUCUCAAUCAAUGUGUCCUACUUUGAAUGUUAAUAUUUAUUAUCAAACAUAAAAAAAUUCUAAAAUAUUAAAAAAAAAAAACAGAGUCUUCUAGGCACAUAAAUUAGAGUAGUUUCGUGAACAAAGAACUUGAGAAAGAUAAUGGUGGCACUCUCUUAGAAGGAAUCUAUGGGGUUAAUGUUUUCUUCCCUAUGUCUAUUUUAUGUAUCUUAGUUUCAAAAACAAGAUGUACACAAUUAGGGGUUGGUUAAUGCAGUUAAAACGGUGGAAAAAGGCUUAUAGAAAUAAAAUAUAAUUGUAAUGCAGUGUUUGGUAUGAAUAAGUAAACUAAAAAUAAGACAAUUGGGUAUACGAAUUUAUAAUGCGAUAAUAAUAUUUUUUCCCUAAGACGACCCGUAGGGUAAGAUUAUAGACUAAAUUGUUGUGUUAUGUUAAUGAUACGAUAUAAAAGUGUUGUUUUAGAAGCUGUAAAAGUUAGUUAAUGUGAAAUUUGUUUUUAAAGGUAAUUGUCUUGUAACCCCUUGUUUUUAAGGGUAAGAUUAUAGACGCAAUUUGUUUGUUUUGAAAAAAAGUCCCUUAUGUUGAGCUGGACUUUUUUUCGUCUUCACAAGUCCCUUUUGCCGAGCUGGAAUUUUUCUGACAGAGUCUCCGUUUGUUCCCAUAAUAGCGGCGAGAAUCUGGCCGAGCCUCGAUGAUAGCUCGUUGCUACGACACGUGACUGUGUCCAUUGAGUCUCUAUUCGAAAUCCAAAUGUCGACGACAACGGCCGCCUCCACUAACGGUUCUCAAAUCACGCCGUGCGUUGAUGACGUGGCGGUGGCAAUUAACAACAAUAACUUCAACUCGAAGGAGAGAUUCAACGACCGUGAUUUUUUGUUGAAGCAGUCGUAUUCGUUUGGAUUCGAGCGGAGUCUUGCAUCGAAGAGGAUGGUGAUGGAGGCGGUAAUGGCGUUGCCGUGGAAGUACAAGAGGGGGAGUUACUGGAGCAAACAGUCGUCUCCGUUUGGCUCAUUGACGAAGUCUAGAGUCUUCUGGAGCAAAGGAUUAUAUACUUAUCCUCUUUGUUUUCCUUUUACUGAUACUGUAGCUUUAGCCGAUUACCCAUUUUCCAAGUGUUAAACAUGAGCCGUUGUUACCUUUCUUUACUAUCUAAAUGGUCAUUCGCAAAAGGACAAAUGACUAGGGUAUCAAACCCCUUACGCAAUGUAGCUGGACCCUUAGCAAAGCAUUCACCUAAAUCUUACCUCCGCUGUAAAUUCUUAAGUUUUGAAAAUUAUGAGACCUUUAUAUUGGGAGAUAUUAUAAUCAAAUGAAAAGUUAAAAUUUUAAUAUUGUUAAUAAAUGACAAAGCCAUUUCAUUUCUCUUUUACAUGUUAUUAAUUUUUGUAACACGGGGUGGCAACAUAAGCAUAAUCAAGUAAAGCAAAAGGGUUUCAAAUUAUGGUGGUAAAACGUGAAGAAGGAUGCCAACUGAAUAAUUCCUUCCACAAAACGAAAAAUAAUCACAGAAAAAGGAAUCUCUUAUAAAAUGUUUGCGUAUUUUUUAUAAGGUUUGAAACUUUAGGUGGUCGGUAAAUGAUUUCUUAAUUGAAUAAUAUAUAAAAAAGCUAAUUAUUUAUAAUUUUAAAUAAUCUGAAUUUGUAUGUUAGAAAUUUCAUCUCUUUUAUUUUUGAGAAUUUUUCAUAAAGAAUAGAGAACAUAAUGUUAACAUUUAAAGUAACACAUCUCAAUCGUCGAAAUUAUUUUUCUAUUAAAUCCAACGAUAACGAAUUAAUGUCAGAAAAGGACAAAAUUAGUGGUGGCUUGCAAUAAUUGCAAGGUAGCUUUUGUAAAGACAGAAAUGUGAUGGAUUCAAAAAGAAAUUGAAGUGAUAAUGUACGUGGAUCCUUAAAAUAAAAAGCCGAAUCGCUUGGUGGCCCAGUAAAAUUACGAUUUGAAUUUUUUUUUUUUUUUUUUUUACACAAUGUGUCAAGCACAUAAAUGACGAAAGCCAUUUCAUUUCCCUUUCACACGUCAUUAACUUUUGUAACACGGUGUGUUCAUCGUCAAGUGAGGCAAAAGGGUUUCCAUUACAGUGGGAAAACAUGAACAAGAAUGCAUAAUGAAUAAUUCCUUCGAUAAAGCGAAAAUUAAACAUAAAAUAAUCCUAAAAUUUAAACUCUAAUAUCCUUCGAUAAUGUAUUGAUUAAAAAUAAUCCUAAGAGUUUCCAAUUGAAACUUCCGUAAGUAUUUUUAUUGUUUUGGAUAAACAAAUUGCACUAGGAUAAAAAUUUGGUAAAUUCAGAGGAUAAUAGAAAAUAGCUAUGGUUCAAUAGGCCAAAGAUUAGAGAACAAACAAGAAUUAGUUAUUGAUAUACAAAAGAGAAACACUCCAAAAUUUCAAGCAAAAAUAGUUUCAUAUACCAUUUCGAUUUUGGAAGGGGUGAGGUUUUGAAAUUCAAUAGUUUCCUCUAAAAUCAAAAGGCAGCAAUUAAGUUAGAAAGAGCAAAGAAGACUUAUUGGUACCUUAUUGAAGCUGAACAUUAUGGAACUUUCAAUGUCAUUACCUCACUGUUCAAUUUUUAUUGAGAUUUGUGCAAGCAUUUACCUAAAUUUUACCUCCGCCUGUAAAUUCAUAAGUUUUGAAAAUUUUGAGACGUUAUAUUGGGAGAUAUUAUAAUCGAACUAAAACUUAAAAUUUCAAUAUUAUUAUUCUUUGAAAAAAAAAUGAGAUAUCAGAGUAAUAUCACAUAGAAUGGUAAGCCAAAAGUCUAAUCAACCACAUGCAUAAAGCUAACUAGAACAAGUGAACAGAGAAACGCGUGGGUCCCUAAAAGAAAAGGCAAGCACAUAAAGAAAACGGAAAACAAACGCCAGAGAAAAGAAUUUCUUAUAUGCCUUGAUAUUGAUUAAUAUUCAGCGAUAGCUUAAUGCUUACCAUCAAGCAACUUUGAAAGCAGGAAGCUAUAUAUGACAAGAAAUCAAAGUAAUGUGAAGGAACAUGAUGAUGAAAUUGCAGGCCAGCACAAAAACACCCAUACCCCUGAUUUGUUUAAAUGUACACGAAGACCUUAAGGUUUGGUAAAAGAAAAUUGAAUUUAUAUUGUAUUAUAAUACAAUUUUUUUUAAACCAUCAAUGAUAAAAUCUUCUUACUUUUUUCCAUCCUUUGGAUCAAUAAGUACAAAUUUCUCAUCUAAAUCUUCAUACUUUUUACAAAUGACUUUUGUGCCAUAGAUUUUUUUUUUCUUUUUUUGGUUUUGCCGAAAAAACAAAACAAAUUCAUAAACAACAUUGUAUUUCACCAAUUAACAGUGCAAGUGUCAUUAUAGUUUCCACAUUUUAGUUCUGUUUUUUUUAGUUUCAUUUUCUUUCUGUUAUGUAACUGAUGUUUCAUUGCUAUAAAAUUAAUUGUCUGUUUCUCUUCACAACUGUUAUUUUGAAUGAUUUUUUCUGAAUUUUAUAAACAAUUUGUAUAUGACAGGAAAUGAAGCAGAGUGCGAGCAACUUGUAUGGAUUCCUAAAAGGUCUGGUCAGAGUGUUCCUUUCAAUGCAUACAUCUGGCGGCGAGGGACUAUUCCAAUAUGGUGGGGUGCAGAAUUAAAGCUUACUGCUGCUGAAGCAGAAAUUUAUGUUGCAGAUCGGGAUCCUUAUAAAGGAAGUCUGCAGUAUUAUCAGAGGUUGAGUAAUCGAUAUGAUGCUCGAAACUUUGACUUAGCUGUUGGGGAAAAUCAGAAGAAAAAGCCUUUUAUUCCAAUUGUAUGCAUUAACUUGCUUAGGAAUGCGGAAGGGAAAUCAGAAUCUAUUUUAGUUCAGCAUUUUGAGGAAUCUUUGAACUAUGUCAGAUCAACUGGAAAACUUCCUUAUACUCGAAUUAUUUUAAUAAAUUAUGACUGGCAUGCCAGUACAAAAUUAAAAGGUGAACAACUUACAAUUGAAGGAUUAUGGAAGCAUCUAAAAGCACCCACUCAGGCCGUAGGCAUUUCUGAAGGGGACUAUUUGCCAUCACGGCAACGACUUAAUGAUUGCCGAGGUGAAGUCAUCUGCAAUGAUGACUUUGUGGGUGCCUUUUGCUUAAGAUCCCAUCAGAAUGGAGUGAUACGCUUUAACUGUGCAGACUCUCUUGAUCGGACCAAUGCUGCUAGUUAUUUUGGUGCUCUGCAAGUAUUUGUGGAGCAAUGUAGGCGGCUUGGGGUCUCCCUUGACAGUGAUUUUGCAUAUGGCUAUCAGUCAGCUAAUAACUAUGGUGGAUAUACUGCUCCUUUGCCACGAGGAUGGGAGAAACGAGCUGAUGCAGUGACAGGAAAAACAUAUUAUAUCGAUCACAACACUAGGACCACAACAUGGAUUCAUCCAUGCCCAGACAAACCUUGGAAGAGAUUUGAUAUGACAUUUGAGGAGUUCAAGCAUUCAACAAUUUUAUCACCAGUGUCUCAGCUAGCAGAUCUUUUUCUGCUUUCUGGUGAUAUCCAUGCAACCCUUUAUACUGGUUCAAAAGCAAUGCAUAGCCAAAUUCUUAAUAUAUUCAAUGAAGAACCAGGAAAGUUCAAACAAUUUUCUGCAGCACAAAAUAUGAAAAUUACUCUGCAGAGAAGAUACAAAAAUGCAGUUGUCGAUAGCUCUCGUCAGAAACAGCUGGAGAUGUUUCUUGGAUUUAGGCUGUUCAGUUCAUUUUUUUGUGGUAGAAAUGUCGUCAUUUUAAAUUUAGUGUAUUUUCAAAAAGCUUAUUUUCUCAGAAUAUAAAAAAUAAAAAAAUAAAAAAAGAAUUCUUACAUGUUUCAUCAGCAUGAUUAAAAUCGAAGAAGAAAGCGAGACAUAAUGUCUCUGACAUAAUAAAAUUACAAAAAUUUCAAGGAAAAAAAAGAAGUUAAAACAUGUAAUCUUCAGAAGCAUAUAAUAAAAGAGCACUUCCACAAAUUACUACAAUUUCAUGCAGUAGAGAUUGAAGAGUUGAAUUCCACUUAUAGACACCGACCUCUUGUUUUGUCUAAUGUUAAAAUUACAACCUCUUGCUUUGACUUAUUAGCAGGUUUCAAAAGUAAUAAGGAAUACAUAGAUAAAACAUCAUCUUAAACAAAUCACAAUCUAGAAUUAGAGCAUUUUCGACAUACCUAAGGACCACGAAUACGUGAAAACGGGUGACUCAUUUGUUAAGAAGUGUUGAUUUGAUCGGCUCUGCAAAUUCUCUUGGGACUCGGUUCCAAUUCCUCUUCAUCCGAAGUUCCACUCGCGCUUGGAAAAUCAUCCAAUUUCCAAACUUCGGUAGCAAAAUUGAGAGUAAAAGUGUUGGCUUUGAUCUCGCUGGGAUUUGCAUAUACUGGACAUACUCCGUAACGUUUUAUCUUGCAAUCCUUUUGGCUUCGGUAACACUUAUUGAAGAACUUAAGUGAGACAGUUGUAUGAUGGUAACCAUCGGGAAAGCCAACAUUCAAGCAAGGUUUAAAACCAAGUAUGACAUGAUCGGAAUCAAGGGAGUAUCUAGUGGGCAAAUCGAAACCCAGAUCAACAUGUUUGGUUUCAGAGAGAGUCUUUAUUUCUAAGUCGAAUUGACGGUAGAAGUAAAAAUCACACAUACAACGAGAAUAAACUUUCUUAAAAUCAAGAACAGCACAAAAAGCAAACCCGAUUAAGUUUCUGAAAAAAGAGUGCGGUGGCAGUUGAAUAUAUAUCGAAGAUCCUGAACUUUGAUUGCUGAACCAGUCAGGAAUUUCGCCCCCAGGUAAAACAAUUAGGGAUCCCCUGAGUUCUGAAAGUUUCUGUGAAAUGACAUUUAAAAAAAGAAAAUUGUAAAAUGAAAACCAUGAUUUCAGAUAGGGAUAUUAUCAUUUUUCCACCAAAGGUAUUCUGACACAUCAUGUCAGUACCACGGUUUGGUAAAACUAUCAAUUUACCACCAAACGUUUAAACUGUUAGGAUUUUCCCACUAUUCCGUUAAAACUCAGUUAAUAUGUAACGGAAAAUUUCUAAAAAGUCAAUUUUACCCCUGGAGCAUAAAAGACCAUAUAAUUAACUUUUUAUGAAUUUUGUAAUUAAAUCAUCAUUUGUUGUUCUUCCUUCUUAAAGGACAAAAAUUACCCUUUAUAAAUUUUAUAAAAUUGGCCGUGUAGUGCUAGGUACUUCAUAAAUUAAUUUAAUUUUUAAAGGGCAAAUUUAUUUAUUAAAUUGAUGAGCUCAAGACAAUUUAUUCUACUACUAAAAAUCAAUUUAUGAAAGGGAAAAAAAAAAGAAUGUGCAAACGAAGUAAUUUAAUCUUUGAUAUGAUGAUAAUAAUUUUACACAAAAAAUUAAAUAAAUAAAUUUUCCCUUUAAAAAUUAAAUAAAUUAAAUCAAUUUAUGAAGUACCAAAUACCACACGGUCAAUUUUACAAAAUUCAUAAAUGGUAAUUUUUGUCGUUUAAGAAUAAAGAAUAACAAAUGAUGAUUUAAUUACAAAAUUCAUAAAAGGUUAAUUAUAUGGUCUUUUAUGCUCAGGGGUAAAAUUGACCUUUUAGGAAUUUUCCGUUAGAUAUUAACUGAGUUUUAACGGAAUGGUGGGAAAAUGCUAACAGUUUAAACGUUUGGUGGUAAAUUGAUAGUUUUACCAAACCGUGGUACUGACAUGAUGUGUCAGAAUACCUUAGGUGGGAAAAUGAUAAUAUCCCUUUCAGAUAUAACAAAGAGGGACAGAGUAAACAAGAGAGGGAAUUUGAUACCUCGUUGAUUGCCUUUUCAUAGCCCAGUCUCAGUGAUGCAAUUGCCAUAUGCCGAAUUCUUAGUUGUGAAUCUGCCAAAAUCUUGUUGUUUGCUUUUCCAUUCAGUUUCAAGCAGUUAGUAAACCCAAAAUAAAUUGGUUGUGACUCCAGACAUCCCGGUGCCCAUUGACGAAGGUCAGGAGAGGGUUUCGAUAGCUUUUCGAGUACGGAUGCAUCUAGUUCUUGUAGACAUGACGGAAUCUCUGGCAAAGAUUGGAGCCGGUUGCAGUUCCUUGCAUUUAGUGAUUGUAGACACAAUGAAAGUUCUGGUAAUGACCGAAGCAUGUUACAAUCCUCCAAGUUAAGAUAUUUUAGACACAAUGGAAGUUCUGGUAUUGACCGAAGCAUGUUACAACCCGUCAAGGCAAGAGAUUCUAGACACAAUGGAAGUGCUGGUAAUGACUGAAGCAUCUUACAAUCCGUCAAGUCAAGAGAUGUUAGGCACAAUGGAAGUUCUGGUAAUGACUGAAGCAUCUUACAAUUCUUCAAGUCAAGAGAACUCAACUGCGACAGUUGCUUGAUACUUGCAGGUAAACUCUCAAAGUUAUUUCCACUUAGAUGCAAGCCUGUCAGUGAGGAUAGACAGGCAAUCUCUUGUGGAAUUUCCAUUACAGCACAGUCACUUAUAUCUAGAAGUCCCAAAGAAGAUAAACCUAAUAAUAAUGAUCGAGGCAAUGAUGCCAAACCUUUGCAGCUAGAGAAAGAAAGAAUUCCAAGUACGUUUGAAUCUGUAACAGAGGAUGGUAGUUGACUAAUAGCUGAUUUAGCUGCUGAGAUGUAAUACAAAGAUUCUAAAUUGCCAAUGUUAUCCGGCAACUUAUCAAGUUUAGAGCAACCAUUUAUGAACAAUGAUUCAAGCCCCGGUAGAUUUUCAAAUGACGAUGGCAGCUCUGUAAUUGCCGUCCGGUCUAAAUAGAUGCGUUUUAAAUGUUCCAUUUUCUCCAAGAUUUCUGGGAAACGCUCAAGAUUCAAGCAGCCAAGAAGAAUAAGCCGAACCAAAGAUCUCAAUUUACAAAACCUAGUUGAAAUCCUCUUCAGCCGUUUGCAACCCAUCAAAUCCAACACUUCAAGAUCAGUUAGGCACUCUAUUGAUGAUGGAACUUCUUCUAUUGCAGACUGGUCUAAGUAUAGCCGUGUAAUUUUCCCAGAAAUCUGUGGAAACUCUAUGAGAUUAACACAAGAGGAGAAAUUAAUAGUUACUGGACAAACAAAAUGAAGAUUGCUUGGAAAAGACCUAAGACUUUUGCAGCCCUUAAAAGACAACGCACUGAGAAACUUGAAAUUCUGGAUAGAUGAGGGAACACAAGCCUUUUCUCCUUCCCAAGGUUGCUCAACUUUACUAAAACGCAAAUUCAGUUCAACAAGGUUCUUUGGCUUGAAAUUUGAUGGCAGUGUCCUUAAUGGAUAUGUGUCCCAAUGAAGAUAUCUCAAUUUUUUAGGAAGAUAAUAUAGGCCUUUUGGAAGCUGCACUUUAGAGUAUGAAAGUUGCUCUUCAAUACUCAUACUUAGAAGCUUUUCAAUCCCAUAAAACUUAGGUACAUAAAAUUUGAGCAAUCUCAUAUUAGACAUAUUUGUGAAGGCUCCGGGGUCUAAAUUGAUGCCUUUUAUUUUGGACAAAUCCAAAAAUAUGCCUUCAAUUGCAUCAAUCCCCUUAUAUAAAAAAAAAAAAAACAAAGAAUGGGUAAGCUUAAAACUCAAAAGAAACAUUCGUAAACUUUACUAAGAGCUCCUUAAACAAAAACAAAUUCUGCAAUCUUUGAUUUAAUUUUUUUAAUAUAUUAAAUAUCUAUAUGUGAGAAAAGAAAAUUUUGGGGACCAUUGCAAAAUUCAACUAACUGAAAAAAAAAAUUCAAAAUUUCUCUAAUUUACAAACCUGUUAUCUUAAUAUCUAGAAGUUGAGAAGACAGGGCCUAUUUGAUUGGUAUAAGAUUUCGAUUUUUUUUUAGUCCAUAGAAUCCAAAAUGUUAGUUCAAAAUUAGGGAAAAAAGUCAUUUUUUUCCACCAACUGUAAUUGUAUCCAAGUCAAAUUGAGAUACGACCCUUUUCGAAAGGAUUUAACCAUCUUAUAGCCUCCUUAAGGUACAUUUAAGCUAAAAGGAGUGAUUGGAGGCAGUUCUAGGUGGGCCAAUCAGUCCAUUUUAUUAGUGACGUUUGCUUAAAAAAAAAAAUUAUACUCUAAAACACACUUUUUUUUUUUUAAAAAAAUAUAAUUAUAUUGAAGUAAAACCCGGUGGGCCAAUCCUCAUGGCACUCACUUUGUUCCGACACUCUUCACUAAAUUUGAAGAAAAAUAAAAUUAUACUCUUCACACUCUUAAUCAACAUUCCAAAAUUGAUUAAAUCUGGAGUUUUCUUUAAAAAUUUAAAAUUUGAAGAUUUGUUGUCUUGACACCCUCAGUCAUUAAUUUUACCUAAUUAUGGUUUUUAUGAUUUUGAUUGUUUUGUUCAUAAAAAUGCUUUUACUAAAGGAUGUUCUGGUAAUAAUAAAAUUUAUAAAAAACACAUGGGUGUGCUGGUAUGGUUGGAAAAAUAUGAGUGCAUAACUCCAAACAAAUAAAAGAUAUAUAAAAAAAAGAUGGAGGAUUCUUACCUUAUUAUGCUUUAGUACGCGGCGGAUUUCCUUAGGAUCCCACAACCUACUGCGUCUGCCUGGCUCUUCCUCAGAUUCUUGGCGAACAAUCUCUCGACCCAUUUCUUGCAAUAAAUCAUGCAUUUGCAAGCAGUUAUUUGACACUGUUAUGAGUGACUUGUCCACGAGGGCAUCUAGUUUGUGAGACCCAGAAUCAUCAAGUAUCCUCGACACAAAAUCUUUAUCCUCUCCCUCAAGGAAACACGCAAUAUCUAGAAACAUACUCUUCUGCUUGCGUGUUAAUUCAUUAAAACUAAUCUUUAAUAUAUCAUAAAUAUUAUGAAUAUCAGAUUCACAAAUCCGAUUUAAGUCGUUCAAUACAUUUUCCCAACGGCUUUUAUCCUUGAGGGAGGAACCCAACACUUUAAGAACUAAUGGAUUGCCAUCGGCAUACUCUACAACCCUCUGUGAGUGCCAGUUGAGAUCUUCAGCACAAUGCUUUUCUUUAAAAGCGAAGUUACAAAAAUGCUCGAAAGCCUCAUCAAAUUUCAAUCCAUUGACCCUAUAUAUUUUCUCCACUCCAAAUUUUUCGAGGACUCGUUUAUCCCUAGUGGUUACAACAAUUCUACUUCCUGGACCAUAUUGAUCAAGCCCUCCAAUCAAACCCUCUAAUUGUUCAUCUUUAUUCACAUCAUCAAGUGCAAUCAACACCUUCAUGCGUCGGAGCCUCCCUUUAGUAAAUUGUGGAAUGUUGGGACCAUCUACUUCAAGUUUUUCACUUAAUAUUGUCGAAAGCAUUUCCUUUUGUAGCUCUUCUAGGCCACCCCCUGUUUCUGAUUUUCUCCUAACAUUUUUUGCAAAGUAUUUUCCAUCAAACUCACCAGAGAAUUGAUCGAAAAUAGCUUCAGCAAGGGUGGUUUUGCCUAUACCACCCAUGCCCCAAAUUCCAACAAUUUGGACAGUAUCCCACAAAUCCAUGCACAGCAAUGGUUUAAUCUGCUCAAUUCGUGAAUUUAAUCCAACCAGGCCAUUGGAUGAGUCCGUUGAGACUGUUAUUUUUUCCAACUUCUUCAAAACAUCUUCGACAAUUUUGUUUACAAGUUGCGCAUCAUGCCUAAUAUGAAGGUGCAAAGAUGCAAAAACAUUGAGUCAAAUCGGGCCAACACAGAAACAGAGAUAAGAUGAAUUAGGAAAGAGAGUUACCUGAAUUUUGUGGAUUCGUGGCCAGCUAGAUGGGAUGUUUCUUUCAGUGCAUCCCUCCACUUUUGAACCAUUUCUGGUUUCUCUUUGAGCUGCUGUUCUAGCUUGUAAAAACCGUCCCCAAAAACUCCGGUUUGAUGCCGCACAUCAGAUGGACUUACUUCAUAGAAGACUGGAAUAAUAAUUUGGCCGUUUGUGUUCUUGCAUUCAAGAAUCUUGACAAGUUCAUUUAGGCACCAUUUUGAAGAAGCGUAGUCCUUUGAGAAAAUGACCACCGAAAUUUUUGAACCUUCGAUUGCGUUCAAAAGAGCAGGUGAAAUCUCAUCUCCUCGCCUAAGCUCUUCAUCAUCAAUAAACGUUUUGAUUUUCGUUCUUUCAUUCAAAUUAUAAUAGAGAUGGCAUGUAAAGCUCACGCGAGUGUCCUCUCCUCUGAAACUGAGGAAUACAUCAUAAUUGCAACAAGAAGAAGAGGAAGCCAUGAAGGAAAUUUUAGAAAUUUGGUGACAGAAACAGAGAAUUAAUCUUGAGAGUUGAGAGGGGAUAUGUAAGAAUGAAAAUGCGUAAAUAGUAAAUAAUUGAAUUAAUCUGGCGAGUACAUAGUAAAUAAUUGAAUGGCCGGGGCUUUCUUAGUUUCCUGGAAAUUUCCUGGAGCUUUCGUAUACAUGAUUUGUCAAGUCAAGAAACAUAAUCAUGAUAGGAAAUGGGGCAGACCAGGUAGGAAAGAAAAUUUGAUCCAACCAAUAAAGGAAGGAAAAGUAAAGAAAGAAAAUUUGAAAGUAGAUUCAGAGAAUUAUAAAAAGCUAAAGGAAAUUGGAAUUUUGUACCAUUUCUCCAGCCAGGAACUUUCAUUGUCAUUACCUCACUGUUACAGUUUGGAUUAAGAUUUGACUUUUGAGCAAACAUUCGCCAAAAUUUUACCUCUGCCUGUAAAUUCUUAAGUUUUGAAAAUUAUGAGACCUUUAUAUUGGGAUAUAUUAUAAUCGAAUCAAAACAUAAAAUUUUAAUAUUGUUAAUCUUUAAUCUUUUUUUUAAAAAAUUGAACAACAGAGUAAUUUCUAACAUAGAAAAAGUUGUAUAAUUGUCCAAUUAUUUAUAAUUUUAAAUAAUCCGGAUUGGUUUGUUAGAAAAUCAUCUCUUUGAUUUUUGAGAAUUUUUCAUAAAGAAUAGGGAAUAUAAUGUUCAUAUUUAAAGUAAGUAAGUAACACAUCUCAAUUGUUGAAAUUAUUUUUCCAUUAAAUUCAACGAUGACGAAUUAAAGUCAGAAAAUGACAAAAUCAGUGGUGGCUUGCAAUAAUUGCAAGGUCGCUGGACCCUUGCAAAAUGUGUGAAAGUAAAUAAUUGAAUGCACAGAGCUCGCUUUCUUACUUUCGUUCCGGUUUCCUGGAAAUUUCUUGGAGCUUUCAUAUACAGGAUUUGCCAUGUUAAGAAACAGGGUCAUGAUAAUGGGGCAAACAUUUGAUUGAACCAAUAAAGGAAGGGAAAGCAAAGUAAGGAAAAUUUGAAAUUAUAAGAAGCUAAAGAAACAUCCAACGUCAUUACCUCACUGUUACAAUUUUUAUUGAGAUUUGAGCAAGCACUUACCUAAACAUUACCUCCGCCUGUAAAUUUAUAACUUUUGAAAAUUAUGAGAUCUUAGAUUGCGAGAUAUUAAAAUUUAGAAUUUCAAUAUUAUUAUUCUUUUAAAAUGAAAUUUGAGAUAACAGAGUGAUUGAUAAUAUAGGAGAACUUGACCACGGUAGGCCAAAAAUCUAGGCAAGCACAUGCAUACACAGAAAUGUGAUGGAUUCUGAAAGAAAUUAAAGUAAUAAUGUACGUAGGUCCUUAAAAUAAAAAGCAAAAUCGCUUGGUGGCCCAGUAUAAUAUAUAUAUAUUAUAAUACAAUAUAAUACAAUAUAAAUUCAAUCCUUACCUGAGGCAUGGAUGCACAACGAGUUACCUGCCACGCUGGAGCACCUUGAGGUCAAUUGUUGCUCGAAUCUUGCUUUCUUGUCACGGAAUGGAAAUCUACCUCAGGCUCUUAAGUACCUUCGUGUUGAAGACUGUUCAAAGCUGGAGUCGUUAGCAGAAAGGUUGGACAACACAUCCCUUGAAGAAAUUGAUAUUUCAGGGCUUGAAAAUCUUAAAUCAUUACCUGCCGGUUUGCAUAAUCUCCACGAUCUUCAAAAGAUUUGGAUAUCUGAAUGUCCAAAUCUUGAGUCAUUUCCCGAAGAAGGAUUGCCUUCUACGAAACUGACUCUGCUCACGAUAUGUGAUUGUGAGAAUCUGAAGGCUUUACCCAACUACAUGCACAAUCUCACUUCAUUGAAAACUCUGCGUCUCGGUAAUUGUCCGAAGCUCACAUACUUUCCAGAGCAGGGCCUGCCUAAAUCACUUUUGGAACUAAUUGUCUCUAAUUGCCCGUUGAUAGAAGAAAGGUGCAGAAAGGAUGAAGGAAAAUAUUGGCCCAUGAUUUCCCAUAUACCUUGUGUCCAAAUUAAUUUCAGAUCAGUUUUUAAAGGAAGAUCCAUCAAUUAGAUUGUGUAAUCAUAAUUUCUUUUUUUUUUCCACCUGUAAUUUAAUUGUAAUAUGAACUGACUUUAUCAAUAAAAGAAUAAAAUUAUGUUUAGGAUUGUCAGUGAAGUUGAUAAAGUAAGAAGAGCAGAGGAAAGAAGUAAUAAGAGAAGAAGAAACUCCAGUUCAAGGAGGGAUGUUAGUGAAACUGAUUAAAUGAGAAGGAACAGAGAAAUCGUGUACAUGCUGUUAUUGUGCUCUUGACAGCAGCUAAGCAGCUCACUUAAGCUGACGUGGAUUAGUUAGUUAUUUGGUUUAACAAAUUAUCAUUUUAUAUAUAUAAAUGAUAAAAAAUUGAAUUUAUAUUGUAUUAUAAUAUAUAUAUAUAUUAAACCAAACCAAACUUAUGUUAUAUGGUUUUUUAAAAAAAACUUAUUUUAUAUGGUUAAAAGAAAACCUUAUGUUAUACGGUUUCAAAAAAAUAAACUUAUAUUAUAUGGUUUCUUAUUAAUAAUCACACAAACCUUAAGGACUACCAUUUGUUUUUUGAAAAAAAAAAUUGAAUCUAAAGAUUUUUGAGAAAUGACCCAUUAUAAGUUGAACUUAUAUUAUAUAUAUUUUCUCCUUACAUGGACAACCACAGAAAAGACCGACCAGUUAUCUCCAUGAACUCGUAUAAAUUCAACCAAAAUAACAAUUCCAAUCUUACCAAAUUCUUGAGUUAAAUUUAUUCAAUGCUUUUUUUUUAUAGGAAAUUUUUUCCAAUGCUACUUUUCCUUUUUUGGGGAAAUUAGACCGCGGUAUGUGUAGAAGACAUUGAGGUGUAAAGCGACAUUAAUUUCAUGGGUUAUGCGUUAUAGGCAUAAUAUAUUUUCAGUCCAGAUUCAAUUAUGCAAAGAGGCUUGAGAACUUAAAAUUAACCACAAACUAAACAGACGAAGUAAAUACAUGAUUAUGCAACAUAACAUUAAUUCUCUCAAUUUAUAACUGUUUUUGCUACAUGAAUCUUGCACAGUUAGUCCUAAUUGAAGACUAAAAAAGAACAAUUGGAACAAGGUUUUGGAAUAGAAUGAUAUACAAUCAAUAUGAUCCAUUUCUAGUGGCCAAAGCUAAUUAACUGCAAUUUCUAGACUCCUAAGUAUACUAGUCAUAGGAAACUGUUUAGAAAACUAGUGAUCAGAUUAGAUUUUGAAAAGAAAUAAUGUUCAUUUCCCCUUCUCUACCUUUUUUUUUUUUUGUUUUAUUUUUAUAGCAAAGAAUUAUAUCAUGAAAAGAAUCAAUUUAAUCACCUUUUCCAGCAGCCCAAUUUUUCUUUUAUAAAAUUGGACCACGGAGACAAAGAAGAAUUAUUCAUACCUUCAUCACUAAGGAAAUACUUUUCGGUAUGGCUAAGGUGAGAAAAGGCUUUCCACAAACACUAGUAGUUUGUAUUCCUAUAAAUUUUCUUUGAAGUCAAUAAAAACCAUAAGUUUUUUACAAUAACCAUCUCUUUGAUCAAAAAGUGCCGUAUUCCUUUAGAAUUUAAAACCGGCAAAAACCGAAUCGAUCAGUGUCUUUGAAGAGACAUAAUGGUCGUAAUUCUUUAAAUGAGUUGGCUAUGGAAAUCCUUAUCCAAGAUUCUUUUACGCCAUAUUCUUUCGUAAACCAAAAUUCAUUUUGGAAUACUCCUCGUCCCAACAUACAGAGACAGUCUGUCAUAACUUUAGCCGAAUACUUAUGAUAAUGAUCAUUUGUGAUUUCAUCAGGCAUAGGCAAGAACUUGAACUUGUCUACUACCAACCAAAAGCCGAAAUUCGCCUGCCACCCCCAAUGAUUCCUAAUACUAUUUUAAUACCAAGUUUGAUCACAAGAUAAGAAUCAGAUUUAACACUUUUCCAAGUGUUGUUUCUCAAAGAGAAGUCAUACACAUUUUAUUUUCUACCAGGAACUGUUGUACUAUCUAGCCAAAUGUAAAUUUCCGGUCUUGGUAUUCUCUUACCUCUCUAGUGGAAGGAUUGUAUAUCUUAUAUAAAUAGUUAUUAUAAUUACGCUCCGAGUCUCUCUUUAGUCCUCAAGCACAAUAAGCCAUUACAAGAACCCAAUAUCAAAACCGAUUCAUAAAGCUAACCAUUGCUUUAAUUUGCAAGUUAAAGAAAAAAUCACUUCAGGUUUCAGGGAUACUGUACGUAAAAUCGAGGAAGGUAACUGGAAAACACUUGUAUAUAUGUCAAGCAAACUGCAGGAUUUGUGAUUAUAUGUGUAAAAUAGAUAAGACUGAUAAUAUAGCAAUCGCAUAUACAUGCCAAUCCUAGUGGAGUAAAAGCUCUAUUGCCACUAGAAUUCUGUUCGUGGAAUUUGUUCUCAAAUUUCAACCGUAUGUAAAGUUUGAACUCUAAUUGCUUAUAAUGUAUUGAUUAAGAAUAAUCCUAAGAGUUCCUGAUUGAAAUUUUUUAAUGACUUUUUUAUUGUUUUGGAUAUACAAAUUGCAUUAAGAAAAAAUAUUGUCAAUUUCAGAGGAUAACGGGAAAUGAUUAUGCUUCAAAAGGCCAGAGAUUAGAGAAUAAAGAAGCAUUCAUUACUGAUAUACAAAAGAGAAACACUCCAAAAUUGCUAGCAAACUAGUUUCAUUUACUAUUUGGAUUUUGGAAGGGGUGAAGUUUUGAGCUUCAGUUGUUCCUCUAAAAUCAAAAGUAGCAAUUAAGCGUUCUCAUUUAGAAAGAGCAAAGAAGACUUAUUCGUACCUUACUAAAGCUAACAUUAUGGCAUGGUUGUUCAUAUAUAACGGCUGCUCUGUUAUGCUAGCUUCUCUGUUUUUUUUUUUUUUAUAUUACAUGAGACUAUUGCUCAAAUUACAACUCAUAUUACAUGAGAGUAUAACUGAUAUUUACAAAUCAAACUAUCACUGGGACCAAUUUACAUCAAUGCUAAUGGAACUCUGCCCAGAUUUUAACCCUCACAAAUAUUCGAGGGAUGUCUACUCCUUACUUUUAGGUAAGGGAGAAGACUACCUUCACUCAAUUUUAAUUGAGGAAGAAAAUAACCCCACAAUGCAUUUGCUUCUAUUUUUGCUUGCAGUUUUGAACAUAAAUUCUUGCUCAAAUAACCCAUAAUUAAAUAACACUAAUAUGGCUCGUGAAAUCCCAUAAUAGCUAAUUACGCAACUUUCUCCUCCUCCUCAAUUCUGUCUUCCCCUGCUCGUACACUAAAUUCAAAAUUCAAUGCCCCUAAAAACAACACAAGAAAUCUUUGAGAUAAUUCAUGACCAGUUUAUACAUAGUAGCAAUUGAAAAAGGAAAAAGAAUGAAAGAGUUAAUUAUUAUUCAGACCUUCACGUAUUCGGAAGUUUGUUCUGCUAUUGGGUGAGAUCAAGCUCUCAGCAUAUACUUCCAUAUGAUACUUUCCAACAUUUUCUUGAAAGCCAUCAAUCAUAAAAUCUUCAUACUUUUUUUCAUCCUUUGGAUCAAUAAGUACAAAUUUCUCGUCUAAAACAUACAAAAUAAAAUCAUUGUCCUUCUUGGAACAUAAUGGCUGCAAUGCCUGAAUUGAAUUGGCUAAUGAAAUUUAAGUCCAGGAUUCUCUCAGCCCAUAUUCUUUCAUAAUCCAAAAUUCUUUCGACCAUAAUGUUGACUCUGAGAUUAAACAAAGGCAAUUUCCUAUAAUUGAAUAUGAAUAUUUGGAAUGAUAUGGGCAAACAUUUUUCAGGUAAGGCUAAGAAUUUGAACUUGUCUUUUGCCAAAACAAAUGCCGCAAUCAUGUAAUCAGAAUUGAGCUUACAAAAACCGAAGUGGACAGUUCCAUUGAGAUUGGUCACCCGAGAACAAUGAUGAAAAAACUUAAAAUCAGUUUCAAAGGUGUUCCAAAGUAUUUUUCCUUAAAGAGAAGACAUGCACACCUACUACUACUUUGGCAUUUCUAUAAGAGUGAGAAAACCCUAAAACCUUGAACUCAUCUAUUGAUUGAGCAUAACCUAAGCUAACUAACGGUGUAUCUCUAUUAGUGAAGGGUUCAUAGUCGUUUGGUAUUCUCUUGAACUCUCUAGUUGAACAAUUGUAUAUAAAUAAAGUUUCAGUUGCAGUUUCAUCUCGGAGGGAUAAGCACAACAAAGCAUUACAAGGGCAGCAUAUCCUAAGACAAUCAAAAGAGCUUUCUUUAAUUGGAAAAUCAAACUGAUCUUCCGUAAUAAUUUUGCUAUCGAGGUCUAUACGGAGAAGAGAGUUUCUUACCAAGCUCUUGACCAUAUCAACAAGAACCAGCGUUUGUCCUUGUUGGUUUUUAGUUUGGUUGAUCUUGACGAACCGAGGAUUAGUAAUUAAGGCCCUGAAUGACUUGGAUAAACACUUGAAUAGGCAGAGAGACUUGGCGGGGAGUUUUGCAAACACAUCGACGAUGAUAUCUGGAGGAAGAGCCACAUUGCUUCUUCACCAAGUUAAGCAAAGACUUUAGGGUUUCUUGAUCUCAAUUUGGUAGCCGUGAUGUUUGUAAAGAGCAGUCAUUCGCAUAAAAACUAUUAAAUAUAUUAUUUUUUUAUUCUAAAACAAUAUCAAAGCAUUUUUUAAAUACUGCUCCGUUAAUUUUGAAGUAAAGUUUUUGGGCUCCUUUCAAAAUAUUUUGCCUCUACUCCCAAAUGGGGGUUUUUAAUUAAAUACCCUUUAAUAGUUUUAAAAUUAUUUAAAUACCCCAUCCUUUUUUAGUUUUCAUGGAUACCCUAACAAAUGUGAGUAAAGUCAGAAAUACCCUUAAUGAAUGCAUCAAAUUCACUCAAUGAAUUGUCUUCAUAUUUCUUUCCUCAUUUCUUUCACCCAAAUCUAUUUUUGCUGCCGAUUCUCUCAAAGUCUCUUAGAAUCUCUCAAAAUCUCUCAUAACUUCUUACACAAAUACAAUUAUGUAUUCAUUUCUUUAACACCCACUCUUUCUUUAAAGGUGCAUUGCUUAUUAAACAACCCAAUAAGAGAUGUUAAUGUUGUUAGGUUUUAAAUUUUUUAAUUUUUAGGAAAAUUUAGAAAUUUUCCUCACAUUACAAUGUUUUAUUUUCACCAUUUUUUCUUAUAUGUAGAAAUUUAUGCAAUGUAGGUUGUUUGAUUAUUUUUUUCAGCAAUAUAGCUUAUUUAUGGCGAAAAUGUUUCGCGUUAUGCAUUCUUUUGAUAUCGUGUACGUCAUAUAGUUAGUCAUAUAGGUCAUGUAAAUAAUAUAGUCGUGUAAGUCGUGUAGGUCAUGUAAGAAAUAUAGUCAUGUAAGUCGUGUAAGUAAUAGAGUCGUGUAGGUCGUGUAGUUACUUGUAUAUGAAAUUUGAUAUUAUUAUUUUUAUUGUAUCAUCAGAUAUGGGAAGUGGCUCGUUCUCACUUCGAGGGGAGGUGUUAUGGGAUUAUGACAACUAACAUUGCAGAAAGUAUGAAUUCUCUCUUGAAAGAAGCACGAACCUUGCCUAUUCAUAAGUUAAUGGAUUGUAUCAUUGACAAAUUACAAGAAUAGUUUGCAAAAAGGCGAGAUAUGGAAAUGGAUGCAUGUACUCUAAUUUGUUGCAUUAUGAAAUAACUAAAUUUUUUUACAUUCCAAUUUAAUUUCACUUCUUUGUUUUUAUAAUUUCAGUUGACAUUUUCUACAUAGCAGCAAAUAUAAAUUCUUAGCACCAAUUAAGUCUUUAAAGAACUAAAUUAAUCUAAUGAUUAUUGGAAAAAGUCGUGUAAUACAAGAAGUCGUGUAAUACAUGAAGGUGGUGUAAUCGCAUAAUAUAUGAAGGUCGUGUAAUACACGAAUAUAUUACAUGACCUUACACAACCAAAUCGUGUGUUCAUAAAUUACAGCAAAAAAAUAAAUUUGCAUAUUCGACAGUUUGAGAAAUGAUUAGAUUAAUUAUUAUAAACAAACAAAGUUAUUAGUUUACAAUGUCAAUAUUUGGAUAGGAUACACUAAUGGGCAUCGCAAUUAAACAAAUUACAACCAUUUAAAAAGUUUUUUUUAUCUUCAAACUGUUUUCUUCCUCUGCCCAAGCAUACAUGAGGAAUGUCUGCAAAUAAUAAAUUCAUGAAAUCAAUUAGAAACAACUCUUAAUCAAAGGCUGCUUGAAAAAACCACUUUAGUUAAUUCUUCCUAUUAAUAGCCCAGGACCAUUGAUAGUGAUGGCCUAUAAAAUUUCAUUUUACUAAAUCAAACUAUUCCACCAGCAAUGACUUCAUUUAAAAAAACAAUACUCACAUGUUAGUUGUUCUCCGAAAGUAAUGACUGGUCAUAGAAAAGUCUUUCAGCAAGUUGCUUUCAUGAAGGUCGUGUAAUUGCAAUACAUGAAGGUCGUGUAAUCGUGCAAUACAUUAAGGUCGUGUAAUCGUGCAAUACAUGAAGGUCGUGUAAUACACAGCCUUAAAUCCUACAUAACCUUACACGACCAAAUCAUGUGUUACAUGACAAAAUUAUAAUCGGCACAAUCCAUCAAAUUUUCACAAUUUGCAUGCAGCAAGACAACUAGAAAUUUAUUUUUGAACAUGUAAUGAGAGACCCGCAACUAAUUAAUCUAUAUUUUCUAUAGAAACCCUAACUUUUUGUUUUUUUUCCCCGAAUAUCAACAAGAAAACUAAUUAUAGGGAAUUGCUUACCUCAACUAGUUACAUUAUGACCAUUUUAUAGUAAAAGAUCAACUCUCACCGAUGAUUAUGUAGCGACAAACUAGGCUUCUCUUUCUCAGUUGUGGCAGCUUCUCCUUCUCAGGCUCAGUUUGCUCGUGUUGAAGUUCGAUUUAGCAUGUAUGGAAAAUGAAUAUUUGUUUCGGUAGAGGUGAUGCCGGUGAGGGAAUUGCAGAUGUGAUGCUGGUUGAUAUUUGAUUUAACAUGUAUGAGAAUGGAGGAUGAGUGUUUGUUUGUUUGAGUAAAGGUAAUGAAAGGAAUUGCAGCAGAUAUGAGUGUUUGUUUACUUCAGUAGAGGGGGGAGAGGUGUUGUCCGUUGAGUUGAAAUGUUUUAAAAUGAGGAUAACUUAGUAAUUUCCUAUCAAUUUUUAAAAGAUAUUGAUGAAAAUUUUGACAAAAUCAAAUUUUAAGGUAUUGAGAUAAUUUUUGAAGUAUGGAGGUGUACUUGCCGCAAUUAACUUUCCCAAAUGCCCAGCUAAAUACCCAAUGAAUAGCUCCGCCUCGAAUAUCAGAUGAAUAUCUCCAAUGAAAAUCACGUUCAACUCUUUUUUUUUUUUUUUUCCUCCCCAAGAGCUGGUUUUCACAGAGAAAACGUCUACAAUUUUUUCACAAAAACCAAAUUUCACAAUUUUGUAGUCAUCAAUUUGCUCAGCAUAACAAAACCCAUAUAAACUUUUCACUAUUUUACAUAUAGUAUAAUAUAACUCUUCUCCUCAGUCCUCAGUUCCCUCUUAUGAGAAAACUAAAAUUCACGUCUCCUUCUUCGAUAACAAAUUCACGUUAAAACCCUCAAAAACAACAAGACUUGCCAAUAUUUUAUAAUAAAGAAGAGAGAAACAAUGCCUUCAUAUCCUCGAAGUAAAUGAGAACUUGCAAUAAUUAAAGUAAGUAGUAACAUACGGUUUGCGACCCUGUUGAUGAUAGGCGUCUAGGCUAGCAAGUGGCUUUAGUAUGUAAAACUAUCUAGAAUCAAAAUCUAUGUACAUUCGAUAAGCGGGUCGGUCAGCAGAGUAGUAACCUUGGAUCAGGGUAUCAACUUGGAAACCAAAUUUCUUGUAAAGAUUCACAGCGGGAGUUCUCAAAGGAUCAACAUGAAGCGUUAUGCGGAGCACAGUUCUGGUUCUGCAUUUCUUAAUUGUUGCUUCCAGCAGUGCCUCUCCGUGACCUUGUCCCCGAUAAUUCUCCUUCACUAAUUAAGUUCACCCCAAAACCCAUUAAUUUCAUGUCAAUUAAAAAAAGAAAAGAAAAUGAAUAACUAACAAAUAUUUCUUUGAGGACUUUUAUCAAACAGUUGAGAUUACGGGCAUGCAGUGGAAAUUUCAACAAUGUGGACAAAGAUAUGGGACCUGCAAGCUUGGUGAUAGAAGCAGACAAGGAAGUAGGCCACGCGUACAUGACGUAGCCAACGACUUGUCCAUGAAUAUGAAUGUAAAGCAGGCCUGAGUUCUUCUUUUUCAGCUCUUCAUCAAAAGAUCUUGCCAGUGAUUCGUGCUUGGGAAAAAUCUUCUUCUCCAUCUUCACAAUCUCGUCCACUACGACAGUCCAGUUCGUUGAGUUUCUCUGCAGCUCCGUGACGGUUCCAUUACUCCCCAUGGCACGUGGCUUGUUGCGACUUACAGUUGAUCCAGCACGUACAGAAAAUUAGAAAUGAAGCCUCCUAGCAUUCUUUCGAACAGGCAAAAAAGUCAAUGGACAUGGAGGCGCCAUGUGUGGAAAUGUUAAGAGGAUGAUGAAGCCCCCAAGAGGCCAGCGUGGCGUGGCAUUGCACCUCAUCAUUUUUUUAAUGCUAAUCUGUAGAGCGGCCCAAAAUGACGGCACAAUAUAUAGCUGGCAAAGCCCACCCAAGCCCAACUAUUUGGGCCAACAUAUCAUAAAUUAAAACAAAUAUAAAAUGCACUGUACAGCGCAGACAAAGAUGCUUUGUGCAGAGAUGUGUUUUCUUUAUGGGUCCAAUUAUAUUGGUACCGCUCUAAGGUAGAGUAUCAUUUCAUAACUACAUUAUCAAAAUCAUAAUUAUUUUUUUAUUAUUUAUUACUUUGCGUGUGUGACUGAGAUUCGUGAUCCAUCAUAGAUCAGCUCCAACGUAACAGAAGCCUUCUUUUAUUGCUCAUCAUCUUUAGCAAACAUUCAUUGGCUUUGGAUGUUGCUACAAUUUAUUUUGCAUAAUUGAAAAGUAUAGUAGAUGUGCAUAAUGUUAGAAAUUUUAUUAUAAUAUAACAAAAUACGUAAUAACUUAUACUAAGAUGUUAAGAAUUCAUUGUGCCAAAUUCCUAUAUUUGUCUAUAAUAAAUCAAAAUUUCAAAAUAUAAAAUAUGGAUAAAAUUAAAUAGAAAAUGAUUCAAUUUAUAAAAUUAAAAAUGAAAUUUGAUUAAAUCAUAUUUCUAAGUAUGAAUAUUUAGUUAAACAUUUUUGAAAUAAAGAAAAUUAUUAAAAUUGAAAAAACAAAUAAUUAAAAAAUAGAAUUUUAAAAUUGAAAUAAAACUAAUUUUAUUGAUUGAUAAUAUAUUACAAAGAGAGAUGAGAAAAAUAAAUUGAGGUGAAAGAAGAGAAGAGAAGGUGUGUAGAGAUGUGUUCCACCCUCUUCUAUUUAUACUAAUACAUGGUUAAUCCAGACUACGCAAAUAAAUAAAACUAAUUACACCUUAACCGUAUAUUUGUCACACUGAUAAAACACAAACUUAACUUAAUCCACUAAUGCAUAUCCAACACAUUCCGUUAACAAUUACCAUAAAGUAGUGUACUAGGGUAUAUACAUAAUCAUUUUACAUAACUAUACGCUGAAUGUAAUACAUCAGCAAACUUGGAAAUCAUACAUUCAUUACAAAACUGCACCAUAUAAUACCCAGAGGAAAUAAGUCUCAAUACUUACCGAGAUCAUCAUCGCAUGAAUAGAGGAUAGAAAACCUUUCAAUACCUAACAAAACUUAACUACAUCAUACAGGUAAAGUAAUUUAACUCUCAAUACACAAUGCACAUAGCUUAUAAAGAAGACUACAUAUAUGAUGAUUGGCAAUCACAUAUCAUGACUCAAUUAAAUAUAUAAUACGUGUAUAUAAAAUCAUAACAUGAUAUUAAAUCAUAUUAUCAAUCAUAAAUGCUUCAUAGAAUACAUAAUGGUAAUAAUUGUCUCUACUCACAGAUUUUGUUUCACUCGUGGGUUCGUUGGGGCUCCUGUGGGUUUCUAAAUUCUUGAAAUUCUCAUAAAAUGCAGGAUUCAAAAAUUAACUGUUAGAACUGAUAUAAAAAUUAAUACGUACGAUGUAAAUUAAAUCAUAAUUUCUUAUAUUUCACAAAUCUAUUACCCACUGACUCACUUAAUAUAGAUCUAACUGUCCAAUUCUAUUUCUUAUAAUAUUUCUCUCAAUUCCACUUUUCAAAUUCUUUUCCACUCACAACUUUUUAAUUUUCUUUUUCACUCUUUUCUUUCUUUUCCUCAUUUCCCACUCUCGGCUUCUUUCUUUUCUUUUUCUUCUCUUUUAUCUUCUCUACUUUCUUAUUUCUCUCAUGUUUCCUUUAUUCAUUCUCAGUGCUCAAAUUUGAUAAAAUGAAGCAGUGUCAAAAUUUUGCAUUUAUAUAGCCACCAAACAGCCACCGAAUUGAAGCAAGUAGCUCUCACUUUUUAAAUAUAUGUAGGCACCACUUGAAGCAAGUGAAUAUGUAGCUAGCUGCUUCCAAUUGCCUGCACUUGUGCUAUAUAAUUGUAAAAUUGGACUUGGGUUUGAGAGGCCUCUUCAAUGCUUUCUAUUCUCCCGUAAUUAUUGUUAUUAGAAUAUUCCAACCUAGCCUACGUACAACUGCAUUCUUCACUCGUGCUCAUCGUAGGCCUCUUUCAGCCAAUGGUUAAUACUAAAAAACUUAUCACCCAUAUAAUUUUUUAAUUUGUGUGUAGGGUAAUAAUAAAAUUGAAAAUAAUUAAAAAAUAGCACAAUAAUGAGUUUUCACAAUAAAACAAAUCAAAUGAAAAUUGAAAAUUUAGAAAAGUGUAUCUAAAAAAAAGGAGCAUUUUUGGAAAUAAAAUGAAUAUAACUAAAAAGGGGCUUUUAUGAGAAGAUCAUAGGGGUGUCAAUAGUCCAACUCUUAUAUUUAAAGUUAUUUUGACUUUGUAUUUCCGAUGAUAUAUUUAUUAGGUAAUUUUUAAUUGAGUCAUUAUUUGUAGAAAAUUUUUCUGAGACCAGAAGUUUAUAAAAUGAAUCAAUUAAAUCCCUCUAAGUAUAAAUUUAUGUCAUUCAAGUCUUUAACUUAAUUUCUUCGUUAAAAUUAUUAACAACAUCAAGGACAUUUUAGUUAAAAAACAAUUAAGCACCUUCUCAUUCUUUAUUUUUGACAGCCAACAAUAGUUUAAAGUAAACUCAAGUAACCUAAAUUAAUGUUCUUUAAAAAAAAAGAAAAAAGAAAGAAAGAAAAGGUUAGUUAAUGUGUAGGCAAGCAAUAUCACUUCAUCAACUGCACAGAUAUGAUUUCUUUUCAAGCAAGUGGAUUUCUUUUAUAUAUAUUCAUCAUGUUAUCAAAUGAAUUAAUAAAUUGGUGAUCCUAGUGAUGUGUAUGGAACCAAUAGGAUAUCACUAGCUAUACAUGUUUGAUUUGAUUGUGAAAUCCUAUUGAUUAAUUGUUUUUAAUAAAAAGAAAUUGAAGUCUCUUUUUUCUUUUUUCAUUUUUGGACGGCAUGGAAUUAGCCCACAAUCUCAAUAACUAGAUGUCAAUGAAUAAGCAAUUGACAAUAAUUCUAAACAUGCGAAUUAGACUUCAAUCAAUGUCACUCAACCUGUGGGACAACAUACACAACUUUUAUGGGCUGUAUCUCAACCUCAAAAUGAAGAACCAAUGUUAUUGACAAUGAGUAGAAUAGUACAAUAUUCACCUUGAGCUGGCAUUUAAUUCUCCAAAAUAGAAUCUAGAAGACAAUUAACUAUUUCUUGUACUUGAAUUUCAGUUUACCAUAAUGUUGUCAAGGUGUUUCUUAGUUUCAAUUUAAUUGACCUUCAUACUUUUAGUUUUAUUUUUAGACCGAAUGUUAUUGUGGUUUUUCUAAUAUUAUAUUCAAUACAUGUUAUUUAGUUUAACAAUCAUCGUAUAUUUUAUAAAUGUGACGGAAUUACAUUUUCAUGUGUAAUUCCAAGAGUUAUUAUGGUUAUGUUUUUUAGUGGUGCUCUCUUUAUUCGAAUUAGUUUAAAAACUAAAGAUUUUGUUUAAAUUGUUGCAGAAAUUUGUUCCCGAUUACUCAAAUUGGUAAAUAGGCUAUUAGGCUCUGAAAAAAAAAUUAAUGCAUAAGGGUAAAAUUGUACUUUAAAUCACUAAUAUGAUAUAUAUGGGAAUAUAGUUAUCUUUUUAUGUUUAAAUUAACGUUUUCACUAACUUUUAUGGCCAAAGAAUUAGGUGAAGAAUCUGAAAGACAUAAAUUUGUAUUUAAAAGGAUUUAAUUGAUUCAUUUUAUAAACUUUUGGUCUUUGAAUUUUUUUUCUAUAAAUAAUAAUGACUCAAUUAAAGAUCAUCCUAUUUAUUAUUGGCUGUUUAAAAAAACAAAAGAGAUGACUAGAGUUUAUCACUUUGACUAUAACGUGGGUCAUAUUGGUAGUUGCCAUGAUGGCAUGUCGAAUUUGGGAUGAUACGUUGAGGACUUGAGGUUGGAUUUCUUUCAGCUUAAAAAAAAAAAAAGUAUGCGGCCAAAAUUUUGCUUAAAAGGUUAAAUGUACCCCUGUCAAAGGACCAUCUCACCUCUGACCAUUUAACUUCUACCGUUAAAUCUGGUAUAUUUAACUAGUUUUGACCUAUGCAAUGAUUUUUUCUUGCAAGUUGUGUCAUGUGUGGAAGGGUAAAUUUGUUUUUUUUUGGGUGAACUUGUUCUUUUCUUAAAAGUUUCGGGGCUAUAAGUCUCUUAACUUAAAGUUAUAAUUAUAAUUGCACUAAUGAUACAAUAAAUUUUUGAUAAAUAAAUAUUUAAGAAAUUAAUAACUUUGGGUAAAUAACACACUUCUCCCGCCCCAACUUGCACUAUUUAAAUUAAUAAUUUCAUUUAAUGCAUAUGAUAAUAUUUUUUUUAAAUCCAUUAAGGCCCAAUGAAAAUAUAAAUUAAUAAUUAAUUAAAUAUAAAAAUUCAUAACUACUAAAAUAUAAAUUUGUAACAUUAAAGAAUUCUGUUUUUCUUACAACUUCAAUCAUCUAAAUUAAACUCUUUGCAAAUAAAUGCAUAUAGAGUUGUUUGCUUUUUUUUUUAAUAUUUAUUCCUAAAUUGAAUUCAAUCUCCUCUCUUAAUUUUUUUUUUUUUUUUUGUAGAGCAUGCACCACAUUUAUAACUUUUUUUUUCAUGUUUUAGAAAGUAGUUACUUAAUAUUAUUAUUGCUUGAAAGACCUCUUUUGCAGAAAUAUUUGGCAAACACAAUUAUCAUAUGAAUCGUAAUUGUCAUCAGCAUAGUUAUCUAAUACCCUUUUAAUAAUCUGGUUGAAUUAGUGAGUGAUUCCAUCACUACAGCUAUGCUAUUAAAUAUAGUAGUCAUCAGAGGAGAUAUUGUUGACAUGAGGAAGUACGAUAUGUGUUUAUACAUAAGUAAAAAUAUUGAUAAAACUCUUCCUAAAAACAAAAUAACAAAAUUAUGUUUCUAAAUUAAUAAAUAUUCAUUGAUCAAUAAAUUAAUAAAUUAUUAAAAUUUAUAAAUAAAUAAAUUCUCUAAAAUGAUAUUUUUUUCUUAGUCCUAGCAAGUAGCAAUAUUAUUUUAUAGAGGUUUUAUUUUAGUAAUAGCAAUAGUAUAAUUAUAAUUAUUAUUAUCAUUAUAUAUAAUAAUUAGUUAUAAUAUUUACUAUUAUGAUAGUUAUCAUUAUAAUUGUUAUUAUAAUUGUUAAUUAUCACUAUCAUUAUUAUUAGUUAUUUUACUAUUUAUUAUUAUCGUUAGCAUAGUAGUAAGAUAUUAUGUCGCUAUUAUUAUUACUAUUAAUUUUUUUAUUUUGUAAAUGGGGCAAAUUUCAAAUUUUAAAAACUAUAAGAAGAAUUUCAUUAUUUCCACUAGUUUCAUUCUCAUAUAUAUAGAUACACACACAUAAAGAAAUACGAUCAAUUAUUCACAUUUCUCUAUCCCACGAAUAAAUACUGUAAAUUAUUAUUUUUUAAAAGAAAAAUAUCAAAACGGUGUGGGUCCCAGCAUAAGCCUUCUAACCUACCUUCUCCCUGUAGAAAAAAAAGAAAAGAAAGAAAAACUCAACUUUUAGGAAAAUGUUUUGGAAAAUGAGAUUCUUCCCACGUUAAGCACCACAAUAAGCACCAAACGGUGCGUUUUGGGCAUAGUAUAAAAUGAGCCAACUCACGUGAUACACACAUAGCCACCAGUAAACACGCGCAGUAGAUCUCACGCGAUAUACACCUUUUCUCCAUUUGCUCUCACAAAAAUCUCACCGUUUCUCUCGCUGUGUCUCUCUUUGAUCUCCAUUCUCAAACUUUCUCAGGCAGUGGUGCUCGGCGUUGGUCUCUGGCCGUGGGUUUCCGGCUGUGGGUCUCCGGCCGUGGGUCUCUCACCGCUGGUCUCUCACCGUGGGUCUGCUCUCUCUCUUCUCUAUCAUCUCUAUUCUCAAACUUUCUUAGGCAGUGGUGCUCGGCGUUGGUCUCUCACCGUGGGUCUGCUCUCUCUCUUCUCUACCGUCUCUGUUCUCUCGAAUUGUAUAGGUAAUGGCAAAUUUCCGUGAGUUGAUUUUUAAUUUUUGAAAAUCCAGUUGAUAUUGUGAGCUUAAUUACACUUGGAUUGAUGUUGUAGUCGAAUUGUAUAGGUAAUGGCAAAUUUCCGUGAGUUGAUUUUUAAUUUUUGAAAAUCCAGUUGAUAUUGUGAGCAAAUGAGACAAUUAUUUUCAAUAGUCUUAGGAGAUGGCCUUGUGCUGGAGAUGGGAUUUUGAUAGCCUUAAGAGAUGGUCUUGUGCUGGAGAUGUCAUUUUGAUAGUUAUUUACAUGCAGUUUCUUGGUUACAAUUGGCAAUCCGUUAUAUCCUUUGAACUUGACUACUACAAAUAUUCCAAUUGAUGGAUGAGUUGAUUAUUCUUGUGUUCCUCUUAGACAUUUUUGAAAUGAGUGGCAAACAGACCAUAUUUUUCUUCUUUUUGUUUUCUUUGUAAUUGAAAUUGAAUAAUUUUAUUUGAGCUGAAUGAAAUUAGUGUAGACUUUUUGUUGUACUUUUGAGAUGAAUGCAGUAAGAUGUAUUUCUUUUUUUUUGGGGGAGAAAAAAAGAAAAUUAGACCUAGCACAUACUUAUGUAUUUCUUUUUUUUUGUCUUUGCCUAGGUGAAGUUGAAUUGGUGGUCAUUAGCAUAAAGAUGCAAUUGGUAAUUUUGAAGUUGGUUCAGUAAGCUGGUUUUUAAUAAAUUGACUACCAUUUUUUCUUUCUGGAAGGAAUCUGGGUUGUUGUGUAUAUUGAACAGAAUUUGUUCAAUCAUUAUGUCUUCAAGCACAAGCGAAAUGCAAACACAACUAAAAGCUUGUGAUAAAUGCUGCAACAACAAUAAGGUCUUGCAAACUUCACGUACAAAAGAAAAUCCGAAUCGUAGGUUUUGGAAGUGCAAAGGAUGUGGGGCUUUUGAAUGGGAUGAUGAUUGGAAGAGCAGUGAAUGUACUGAUUUUAGAGGGAUGGAAGAUCGUAUUAUAAAUUAGAAUAAAAUUGAGAUGUUGAUAGCAGAAGUCCGCAAGUUGGGCCAUCAAAUCGAAUGCUUAUCUCUUAAAUUUCAGUUGCUUGAGCAAGAACUUCAACGAAGACAACAACCAAGUGUUCUUGUAACAUACAUCCCGCAAAUAAUGAUAACUCUUUUAAUAUGUAUUAUAUUUAAGUUGUGCAAUUAAUUAAUGUAUUGUUAUUUUUCUUUUUCUUUUUGGCGAAUUGUAUCAUGAAUGCUUCAGUGGAUGUAAACAAAAACUAAUGUUUCUGUAAAGGGCAGGAAAGAUUAUGCUUAUGAUUGUUGCUGUCAUUUUAAUUUGCCUUAUCAUUUGCAUCUUUCUGUCAUUUGAUCCCCAUAACUAGUUUGUAAGGGAAUUGUUCCAUGCUUUUUCACAAAAUAUAGAUAAUUGCUGCACAUUAAAAACACAUUUAUUCUUUAGGAAAUAAUUAAAGAAUAACAAAUCUGCAGUUACAGAGGAUCAAUUCCAAUAGCAUACAAUUAAAAAAUAACAUAAUAUCAUUUAUCUCUCCACCAUUUCAGUAGCACACAAUCAAAGAAUAACAUAUUUGCAGCAUCUCCUCAAUUCCAAUAGCAUACAAUUAAAAAAUAUCAGAAUAUCAUAUAUCCUCUCACCAUUCCAGUAGCACACAAUUAAAGAAUAACACAUGCAGCAUAUCCCUCCACCAUUCCACCAGCAUAUAAUUCAAAAAUAACACAUGCAGCAUAUCCCUCCACCAUUCCACCAGCAUAUAAUUCAAAAAUAAAACAUGCAGCAUAUCCCUCCACCAUUCCACCAACAUAUAAUUCAAAAAUAACACAUGUAGCAUAUCCCUCCACCAUUCCAAUCCAAUAGCACACGGCCAAAUAAUAACACAGCUGCAGCAUAUAAAUCUAAUAAAGGAUCAUGCAUAGAUAAAAAACAAUUUCAUGUAUGAAAUCCACAAUCUUACAUAUCAUAGCCAAGGGCUUGUAUCCGAAUAUUAAUGAGAAUAAAACAAAAACAAUGCUAUUCUAGGAAAUCACUUCGAAACUCCUUAUCAACUUCAUAUUCACUAUCUUGCUGAAAGAGUAGCUGCUGAAAAUGUCCAUGCGGCUGGAAUUGUGGUUCCUAUUAAAAAUAAAUAAAUAUUUUGUUAUAAUAAAAGAAAAUAAAGUAGAUAAGAUGAAUAAAUACUAAAUUUAUCACCACUUACCGUACAAGAAUUUUGUGUAGGUGUUGGAUAAACAUUAUCCCCAACCAUAUGAUGUAAGCUCAUAAGACCCUAAAACAAACAUACAUUAAAUGAAGCGAUAAUAAAAAAAAUUCAUAACAUAUACUAUGAAAAACUUACAUUACAAUAGUCCAUAACUCCAUGUGGGUACAUAUUCAUAUCAACACAACUUCCUUCAGGAUUUUGAAAUGCCUAUAGAGGAUCAAUAAUAUAUUAGAAAAAUGUCUAUGAUUAAGUAAUAAAAAUCAACGACAUGCAUAUGAAUUCCAUAAAACCUACCGUAACAACAUUGUUCUCGUGUGUUGGGAUCACAGUCAGCACUUGCUCGUUCACCUGUCCAUCCUGCAAAGUCAACAAAACAUACAUUUGAACAUCAUUUAUCUCAUAAAUUUUUUAACUUUAAUUAAAUUGAAAAUACAUUUUAAAAGUACCUUUGCAUUAGAACGUGAGGAAUUCAUUUUAGAUUUUGAAAAUUUAUUAUAUUUUUUUCUUUGACAAGGUGGCCGACCUUUACGACGCCGAGCUACUGGAUCUCUAACUGUUUCUACUUCCACACUACAACUUCCUUGGCCUGUAACAAUAGUUACUUCAUUAUCUCCGCAAGGAAUUGCCUUUGAUCAAUCCUCCCGUACAUUCUCAAUCCAAUUGAAAACAAGAUUAGAGCUUUCAAUCUUAUGUGCAGCCAUAUUCGCAACCUCCGCGAAAGUAGCACACAUUUUCUCAUAUCGUUUUUGCUCAUCCGUACAGCUAUGAAGCUCAUAACUCGCUUUCACUCUACUAUGGCAUCUCCACACAUCUUUUCUCCAUCUUCGUAAAAUAUACUUUUCUGGAAGUACUUCUACGUCAUUGCGGAUCAUGAUUGUAAUGGCAUGCCUACAAAGAAUACCUCUAAAUUGGAACCUUGAGCAGCUGCAACGUAUUUCACCAUUUUCUUUUUCAAAAUAUACUUCAAAAAAGGUUCUCUUUUUACCCUCUCCAACUUUGACAUCCUCUCUAACUAUAUAUUCACAACCCAUAGAAUUGACAAAUUCGCAAUACAUUUUCCCAAUCAAUUCUUGCUGAAAUUCUUGAAAUUUUGAAAUAGUGUACACAUCUCGGACUUGCCUCUCCAUUGCAUAAGAUGUUACACGUGGCAUUUGUUGGGAAAGACACCUGACAUCUUCUUCAACUUCCUUCUGAACUUUAUUCUUCAACGCACAACUGUAUUGCUCUACAAACUGCUUCAAAGUAGUCUUUAAGUUAACAUAACCAUCAAAAAAUGCAUUCAUACUUUCACUGCGUUGAGUAGAUUACAUUCCUGCCCAAAAAGUAUUGUUUAGAUAACAAGGUACCCAAUGAUGCCUCUCAUCAUAUAAGCCUCGUAACCAUUCGUUAUCCCCCAAAUCAUAUUCUAUAAUCAUGUGGUGCUAAGUUUCCUCAAAUUUUGCAGCACUCUGGGAAUCAUAAACAGCACAAUGCAAGACAUUACUUAUGUUGCGAUAUUCUUUAUAACCCCCUAGCUUCUCUGGAAUUUUCUUCAUUAUAUGUCAUAAACACCACCGAUGUCGAGUAUUGGGGAAGACAUUCUGAAUUGCAACUUUCAUUGCCCUGUCUUGAUCUGUAAUGAUUCCAUUGGGAGCUGAAUUAGACAUGCAGGAUAGCCAUGUUCGAAAUAACCACGUGAAUGUCUCAAUAUCUUCGUGUGAAAUCAAUCCACACCCAAACAAAAUAGAAUGCCCAUGAUGAUUAACUCCUACAAAUGGAGCGAACGGCAUAUCAUACUUAUUUGUAAGAUACGUGGUGUCAAAUGUAACAACGUCUCCAAACUCCUUGUACGCUUCCCUAUUCCUUGGUUAUGCCCAAAAAACAUUUUUUAAUCGUCCCUCAUCAUCCACUUGCACACUAAAGUAAAACCUAUUAUCUUCUGCUUGCACUUUCAUAAAAUAGUUUUGAAGAGCAGCAGCAUCUCCAUCUCCAAGCCGUAAUCUUCUUUCUUUCUGAACAUGAUUUCUACAAUCUCUUUCUAUGAAUGUCACAUUUUCAUGACCGCUAGCCUCAAUAACAAGUGAUUGAUAAUUUUUACACAAUCUGAUUCCUGCUCGAUCAUUCACAUCAAGCAUCUUUUUUGCAUAUGUAUUGAGGCUAAGAUUGCACCGAAAAUACUUGGAUUUGGUUGGAGUUAACAGCACAUGGUUGUGUUCAAGAUUUAAGCUUCGAAUUGUCCACUUUCCAUCAUCCCCUAAACCAGCUCUCAAUCUAGCAUUGCAGCUUGUUUUUGCAUUAGGUUGGGGCUUUAAAAUUUUCACAGAUUUGCUUCUUGUUUCACCACUUCUCCCACAAGCAAAAGUCACAUUUCUAAAUAUCCCAUCACUAUCCUUUCUACUAGUUCUCCUCAAAACCGGAAACCCUUUUCUUUUACCGUACUCUUUUAAGUAAAUAAACAAAUCGACAUCACUAUCAAAUGACAUCCCAAUUAUUGGCUCAUCAUCCUCCUCAUUUUUCUCCAACUCUUCAACUUCGAUGUCCUUUUCCAUAUUAUUUAUUUCUACAAAAUUGAAAUAAUUCACAUUGACAAAAUGAAAGUAACAAAAUACAAAUAAUUCAGCACAACCUUACAAAACUAAACUAACUAAUGAUGCAAAUUGUGAACACAAAUUUAAUAUAUACCAGCUGAAUUUGCAGCAUAUAUUUAUUUAUUUCGUGCUUACUAUUAACUUUGUAAUAGACAAUUAAACAAAUAAGUAUGGAAUAAUUUAUGGCAGUGUAAAUUACUAGCUGAAUCUGCAGCAUAUACUAGAUAAAAUGCCGAUCACUGUCUUGAUUUUUUAUUUUUCCAUUUCAUUAAGUAAUUUGUUUAACUUAAUUUAAAUUAAAAUAAUGGGUUGCAAAUUGAAAUUUAAGUGAAAUGGGCUGCUGCCAUUUCCUGCCUUGAGUUGAUAGAAAGGUGCUUACGGUCUACAACAUAUGAUGCGGGUUUUUGCCCAUGCCUUUUUGUUUAUAGAGAUCGACUAGACAAGUUUUUUACAAGACAAUGCGUCAUUGGAGAGGAUGAAAUGGUUUAGGCUCCUAAGGGCUGCAUUCUUUUUUUUUUUUUCUUUUUCAAUGAAAUUAAAAAAAAAAAGUAUAUCCUGGAUCGCAAUUAGUGCGUCUACGAUUUAACUAGUCGUCUUGAACAAAGAUUCUAUAACUCCUAAUCUGUAGCAUAUACGCAUCCAAUGCAUACCUGCAGAAAUUGAUUGCCGCAAUCGACGAUGAGUGAAGUCAGUCACCAAGAUGCAACUCAAUUCUUCACACAGCUAAGAGGAUGAUAUACCGUGAGAGAGCCAACGGAUUUCACACCGUGAGGAACAGUCCACAAGUAAAACAGAAAAUGCCUUAGGAGAAUUAGUUGUUCAGAUUUCUAGCUUGAAUGAGGAGUGGGUUUGGUGUGAAUGAGAGUGAGAGUGAUGCGUGCGUGAGAUGCACGUGUAAUGUGUUUGUUUGUUCAAACAGUGGCCUUUUAUAUUGCACACAAAACGUACUGUUCGGGACUUAUUGUGGUACUUAUUGUGUGCUGAAUAUCGGUGCUGAAAUGUUUUUAUUAAGAAAAAAACAAAACAGAACGUAGAAAUAGGAGCAAGCAGGCCGCAGGCCAAAACCUUGGGGGUACCACCAUACGACUUCUGACCUCCCUGCGGGCUUGUCCUUUGCAGGGGUGGUGACAUGUCACAUGCGUACCAAAAAAUAAAAUUAUCUUUUUGUAUUUUUGUAUUAUUAUUUUCCUCCGCUCAUUCACAAGUAGUGGAUGUGAAAGAAGAUUUUAUAUAGGACCGCCGCACUAUUUCAGCAUGCCGUAUUGAAUAACAAUAAAUCUUAUAAGCGAAAUUAAUGAAGAAUCUUAUAAUCCUAUUUAUUUUAGAAUCUGCUUUUCUAUUAUAUGUCUUCUUUUUUGCCCCCCCGCCCCUCCCCUCUUUUUUUUUGCUAGUCCCAACGAUUUUGAAAUAUUAACUGAUUCCCACUGGUUGAGAUAAGGAUAAUUUUUAAAAACCUCCCUGAAGUUUGAGGUUGUUGCAAGUAGACCGUCAAAAUUAUUUUAUUUAUAAAAAAUCUCAAACCGUCAGUUAAAUUUUUCUUAACUAGUAGUUGACUUUGAAAAGAUAAAAUUAUCCUUAAUGACAGUGCAAUCCUUGGCGUGAAAAUCACCGUUCUAUUUUUUAACAUUUUUAGUUACAAUGUCUCAAGUAACUAAAAAAUUUAUUUUAUCCUAUUUAAAUUAUCAAGAUUUCCUUAAAAUCCUAAAAAAAAGAAAAAAAUUGAAGAAAUAGCAACUACUACCAAUCCCAUCAUCACCCAUUCAAUUUUUUUUUCUAGUCAAUUUCUUCAAAAUUGAUAAAAAAACAUUCUUCAUCAUAAUCUACAUUCAGCAACAUCAUCAAGCCUAUAACUAUACAUCGCCUAAUCCAAAGCAUUAAAGACGAACAAGAAAAGAGAGUUAUGUGAUAUGUGAUCGUAGAUCACAAUCUAAAGAUCAGAUCAGGCCACUCUCAAACUUCCACGUCAACGUCCUUCUUGACCGGAGAGCAAAUGAGCCAUGUGAAACCACAUGGAUCCUUGACCUUUUCCACGUGCCCAGCCGCCCACAACAAUACGCGCUGUUGCCUUUAGCAAGCUUACCCUCAUCAACAAUUCCAGCACUCACAGCCUUGGCGAGGGCAGCCUCAACAUCAUCAAUCUCCAAGCAGAGGACGCAUCCGAUUCCCAUAUUCUUAGCUGCAGCAGAAUCAUCGGAAAAGUCAGAGACAAGAAAAAUGGAGCCAGCAAUCUCGAGUUGAGCUCUUGUUCAGCCUUUCGUUUGGUUUCCAUGUUGCAGUUGAUCUCCACAGCACCAAACGCUGUCUUGUAGAACUGAACAGCGUCAGCAACCUUCGAUGCUUCCACAAGCAACUGCGGCUUCAUCCCAUGAAGUUGGCCAAGGUAGCAGGAGCAGUCAUCUUCACGGUGCAGUUCAGAACAUCAGCCAUUGAGAGAGUUUUGGUGUCUAGACAAAGGGAAAGAACCUGAACUUAGGAGAGAGAAAAUCAAAGAGAGAGAAGAAAGAUGAAACCAAAGAGACGAAAUAAAAGAAAAUGAACUUCACCCAUUUUGAUACAGUGUUAAAGGCAAUAAAACGAUAACUCUUUGAUAACAAUACAAAAUAUCAAUAAUGCCCUCAAUUAGUCAAACGGCAACCAAACGGAACUAAAAUGUAACGGAUCUUUUACAACUAAAACGAUUUUGGCCAUCUACUUAUAACAGCCUCAAAUUUCAAGAAAUAGGGAUGGCAAUGGGGCAGAUAUGGGUUGGAUCUACUCUGCUCCAGAUCCAAAUCCAUAAUAAAAAUCAAGAUCCGUAUCUGCUCCAGAUCCGUUAUGAAUCCAUAUUUUUCGCUCCAUAUCCAAAUCCAAAAAAGAAAUAAAUAUCUAUAUCUGCUCCAAAUCCGAAAAAAAAUUAAAAUCCAAAUAUGCUCUAGAUCCGUCAUGAAUUCUAAAAUUCCGUAAUAAAAAAGUAAUAAUUUUUUAGAUUGAAAAUUGAAGGCUAAAAUGUAUUGAUAACAAAUAAAUUAUAUAAUUUUUCUCAAAAAUAUAAUAAAUAUUGUAGCUUAUACUUCUAUACCAAAACAACAAACAAGAAUGAUAAUAAAAUAUCAUUCAGAAGUAAUUGCAGGAGUAAGAUCAAUCUAAUAUUCUAUUGUCUCCUUCAUCAUUCUAGUAUCCACGAUACACCUACCCUCAUUUCUACAACAUUAGAUAAUGACAUAUAAAUUAAAUAUGAUUUAUAUUCAGUCCUUUAUUAUUUUUAUUAUGACCAUAUUUGACUAAAUAUAUGAAUAACUAUAUUCCUUAAAAAUUAUUUGGCCAAUAAGAUAAAAUAAAUUACCAGGUUAUAUUACUUGGAUUGCAAUUUGAAUAUUGCAUGUACAUGCUUUGAGGCUGGUUGAUCUUUAAAUUUACAAAACUAACCUUUAAGUUUUAAGAGUUUAAAUUCAUGAUAAAUACUACUAAUAUGCUAUGAAUAAAAUUUAUUAUCAUUAUCAUUCCACAAUUAUUAAGAAACUUUUAAAAUAAAAUAAAAUUAAAAGAUGAGUGGAUAUGGAUAUGGAUUUAGAUAUUAAGAUAGAUCUAUAUCUGCUCCAGAUCCGUCUUAGAUCCGCACAUCGAUAUCCAAAUCCGAUCCAAAUCCAUUUUAAACCGAUCCAAAUCCGAUCCGAUUGGAUUUGGAUCACAUGAAUCUUGGAUCAAAUCCAAUCCAUUGCCAUCCCUAUCCAGAAAGAUUUUUAAAAAUUACCCGUUGAGAUAACGUUCAUUAAUGGUAUUAGAUUCGGAGCAGACUGCAGACUCAGAAUUUUUUUUUUAGAUAACGUUCAUUAAUGGUAUUAGAUUCGGAGCAGACUGCAGACUCAAUAACUUUUUUUAAAAAAAAAAAAAUUCUGGAGAUUAACAACUUUAUUAAUUAUUCUUCGUACAUAAAUUUUUAGCCUGGAUUAGAUUUAUUUCAAUGGAAUCAGCUUUUCAUUGAAGAAAAUAAAGAUUGACGCGGGGGCGGAGGCCAACCAAUUUUUGGCAUCAGGUUCAACAACUUUAUUCUUUAUGCAGAAACUUUUAGCCGUCUGAUUAAUUUUAUCAUACAUUGAUAUUCGGUCGUUGGAUUAGAUCUAUUUCAAUUACGUGAGACAUAAUUAGCUUUUAAUUAAAGAGAAUAGAGAGUGACGCCGGGACCACCAAUUUUCUUUCCUGACUUUUGUCUAAAAAUUAUUGUGAAGUGCUUAUCUUAACCGUUGACCUGAAUCUAAUCAGAGGGCUAAAAAUUUGUGACUAGGUAAACAAACAGGCACCCAAAGUUCCAUUUAAGAUCAAUCGGAAAGAAAGUGAGCGAGCAUAAUCACAGAGAGAAAAACCUUGUUGAUUUUCCUUAAUACCUUUUCUUCUAAACCCCCCCCCCCCCCCCCGCCCCGGGGGAAAAAAACAAUAACAACCAAAAAAUAAAAAAUAAAAUAAAAGACACGCACAAACACAUUUUUUUUUUUCUAUAGAUUUCAGUUUUCUGUAGAUUUAUCCUGCCAACAUUUUUUCAUAGUCAUUUUCUGUCAAUUCUUGUCGUCCUUCCCAAAAAAAAAAAAUGUCGAUCGUUGGAGAAACCAUUCUAACUGUCACCAUUGAGAUGUUGGUGAAAAGUUGAUAUCAGAUGUGAUUCAGCUGUUCGCACGCCAAGAACAGAUCCAAGCCGCUCUUAAGGAUUGGAAGAAGAAACUGGGGAUGAUCAGGGCGGUGCUCGACGACGCCGUUGAGCAGCAGACAACGAAGCAGUCAGUGAAGACGUGGCUGGGCGGACUUGAGAGCUUAGCUUAUGACGUGGAAGACAUAUUGGACGAGUUUGCAGCUGAGGCUUUGCGGAGGAAGUUGGUUUUCGAACCCGACGAUCUCGUUCAACCUCGUGCAGGUUACUUGCGGAAACUCAUUCCUACCUGCUGCACUAAAUUCAGUCCGCAAAAUGUGAGGUUCGAUUCCAAGAUGGCGGCGAGGAUAGAGGAGAUUACUGGCAGAUUCCAGGACAUCGUAGCGCAGAAAGACCUGCUGGAUUUGAAAGAAAAUUCAGGAGGAAAGUCCAACAAAUUAAGCAGUCGUCCAGAGACCACCAGUUUGGUGAUUGAAGCCGAAGUACAGGGCAGAGAAGAAGAGAAGAAAGCAAUAGUGGAGCUGUUAUUGAAAGAUGAUUUAAGUUCUGCUGGUAGAUUCUCCGUUAUUCCUAUUGUAGGCAUGGGAGGGCUGGGGAAGACAGCUCUUGCCCAACUUGUCUACAAUGACCCAACGGUGGAAAGCCAUUUUGACUUCCAAGCUUGGGUAUGUGUCUCAGAAGAUUUCGAUGCUGUCAGAGUGACAAGAGCCAUUCUCAACUCUCUGCAAAUUUGAAAUUGGAUGUAAAAAAGUGGUGUGGAGAAGAAGAAGUGCAAUGGUUCUCAGCCCACAGAAUUCACAGGUUACAAAUGAUAUGUCAAAUCGAGUGUUCCUAAGAGGGAUACUCCAGGAAGAGUUACCAAAUUUAGAAGAAGUGUCAAUUAAAAACAACGAAGAGCUAACAUGCUUAUGGCGGGCAGGACAUGGAUUACUGCAAGACAUUGGUUCCCUUCACCAAUUGAAGAUUGCGAGUUGUCCCCAACUUGUUUCCUUGGUGGAGGAGGAAGAAAAAGGCCAACAACAGCAAGGGUUGCCAUGCAGACUUCAGGUUCUGGAAUUAAGGAGCUGCCCAAGACUGGUGAAGCUACCACAAGCAUUUCUCAGCUUUAGUUCACUUCGGGACUUGAAGAUCUCAGACUGUGAUUCAAUGGAAGCUUUACCGGAUGCGCUGAUGCACAAAGGUAAAGCACCGCUUGAAAAGUUAAUCAUUUCUGGUUGUCAUACUCUGUAAUACAUCGCCAGGGCCCAGCUACCUCCUAGUCUUAAGAAGCUGAGGGUCUACUAUUGCAACAGUCUUAGGACGUUGGUAGAUGAAGAUCAAAUUUUAGACAUCAAUAGUUGCGGUGGGUACACCUCUGUUCUUGAGCAGUUACAGAUUAUUCAUUGUCCAUCUCUGACAUCCUUAUGGUCAAAAAGCGAGCUACCCGCCACGCUUGAAAAUAUUUAUGUUGAUCGUUGCUCGAAGCUUGCUUUCUUGUCAUUGAGAGGCAAUCUAUCGAAGGCUCUUAAGCACCUUUAUAUUGUUAGUUGCUCAAACCUGGAGUCAAUAGCAGAAGGGUUGGACGACAACACAUCUCUUGAAACUAUGGAAAUUUUUAUUUGUCAAAAUCUGAAAGUUUUACCCCAUAACUUGCACAAGGCCCGCCAUCUUCGACUAUUGAGGAUAAAUGAAUGUCCAAAUCUUGUUUCCUUUCCAGAAGGAGGGCUGGCGCCUUUUAGUAAACUGACUACGCUUGAGAUAUUUAAUUGUGAGAAACUGAAGGCCCUCCCCAACGGCCUCCGCAAUCUCACAUCUCUUCAAUACUUAUUAAUACAAGAUUGUCCAAGCAUAGGAUCUUUCACUGCGAAUUGCUUUCCCACCAACCUUACUUCAGUUCGUAUUGACUAUGAGAAGAUUUAUAAGCCAUUGAUAUUGGAGCGUGGCCUGGGAUUGCACAGAUUCACCUCUCUUAGACAACUCACGCUAUUUGGAGGAGAAUGUUGCAGCUUGGUAUCAUUUCCACUGGAGAAAGAUACAGGAAAGGCACUUCCUGCCUCUCUAAAGCAUCUGUCUAUUUGGAAUUUUCCUAAUUUGGAACGCAUAUCCUCAAUUGAAAACCUCACUUCAUUUGAAUCUCUUCAGCUCUGUUGUUGUCCAAAGCUCCAGGAGUUUCCAGACAAUGGCCUGCCUAUCUCACUUUUGAGACUAGAAAUCUAUGGAUGUCCGUUGAUUGAAGAAAGGUUCGAGAAGGAUAAAGGACAAUAUUGGUCCUUGAUAGCCGAUAUACCUUGUGUCCGGAUAGAUUGCCAUUAUGUGUGAUAGAUCCCAAAGCACAGAGACAACUGUAUCCUGUUUAAAUUCACAAAAUCCAAUCCCAGGUAUGUGUAGUUAGGGAUGGCAAAAAUUCUCACGGGACGGGUAGUCUCGGGGAUUUUUCCCAUUCGGGGAGGGUAUGAGGAUAAUUUCAUACCCAAUUUUUUAUUCGGGGAAGGGACAAGGAAAUUUAAUUUCUUAUUCGGGGAGAGGACGGGGAUGAGGUGGAAUCCCCAUCCCCUACCCAUUUCCCCAUUUUAAUUUUUAAUUUAAUUUUUAUUUUUUAAAAUUACUAGUAAAUAAAUAAUAAAAUUUGAAUUAUAAAAUUAUUAAAAUUGGUAAAAAUAACAAAUAGCAAAAUAUUUAUAUUAUUAAACUUUUAGGCCUAAUUAACUAAUUAAAGUCCUAAAUUUUUAUUUAGGACAUUAAAAAGACCAGAUAGAUUCUAUUAGCCCAAAAAUUUUGUUUUAAUUUUAAAAUUCAUUAAAUAUUUUAAACUUAAAUCUAUUUUUUUAUUUAUUUUUAGAUGUUAUAAUUGUCCACAGCGAAUCACAAUUUUAAUAUCUAAUCUAAUAUUUUCUCUUGAUUUGCUCCGACUUAACUAUUGUGUUGUAAAGGAAAUAGUCCACAUUUAUAAAGUGCCCACGCCACCAUUGAAAAAGUUAAUUUUGAAUCUAAAUUUGAUUUUAUUUGUAACAAUUUUGUAUUACACUGUUAAUUUGUUCAUGAUAGUUUGUAAAAGAAGUUUGUAUCCAUUGCAUGCUGCGUUACUUACUAAUUUAAUGUAUGUGACUUUUGUAAUGAAUAUUAAUGUAAGAUAUAUUUCGAACUUUACUUUUAUUUGAAUUUUUUUAUUUUAAUAUGAUUAACUUAAAAUCGAAAACAAAAAAAUGUAUUAGUUAUUCGGGGAUCGGGGACCUUCGGAGAUCCCCUGUUAUUAUUCAGGGAGGGGAUGGAGAUUCUCUCAAAUAAUUCUGACGGGACGAGGAGGGGACGAGGACAUACGCAAAAUAUCGGGGAUGGGUACGGGGAGAUUGAUCCCCUCCCCUCCCCUCCCCAUUGCCAUCCCUAUGUGUAGUUAAUAAAUAUCCAACCAAUUACAAUUAUGUUUUAAUUAUAUUUCUUUCUUUUUAAAAAAUUAAAUCUCAUGGAUUCUUCUUUUUCUUGAUGUUCUGAUCAAGAUCCAAACAGCUGAUUACACAAUUCCCCACCUGCUCGUUUCUUUCUAUAUCAGCUUAUCAAGGCAAUUUUUUAUUUUUCUCUUUUCAUGGUGAGAAAUACUUUUAUUUAUUAUUCUUAUUUUGUUUCUUUUCUUGACAAUUGACAAAGCUGAGCUACAUCUAAGUCAUUUUCCUUUAUGAUGCUGACCACUGAUGGUUGAUGUUAAGGAAGCUCACAUUUGCAAGAUUAUCAGCAAAGCAGAGGAUCACAGCAACAAUCAUAUGCAGUUACGAGUUGAUGACAUGGCAUGCCAGCUGGAGCCUGGUGGCUAUGUAAUCAGUUAUGCAUGUAUCAAUUAGCUAUAAGCUGUUAUAGUUAGUUGAAAGGAUUAGUUAAUAAUUUGUUGCUAAUUACAACUAUUUGUGCUGAGCUUCAGCUUAGUAUAAAUAACAACAGCUUUGUACAUAUCAUUAAUAAUGUGAUUAAUGAAAUUUAGUUUCUAGAAAACACUCAGAUCUAGUUCAUAUUUUCUUAGUUGCCAAACACGUUUUUCUCGUUCUUCAACUUGGUAUCAGAGCUAGUAACAAUGGCUUCAGUCCAUCUAGCUUCUUCUUCUUCUUCUCAAGCGCCAAUUAAUCAAACAACUGUUAAUUCAACAAAUAUGACAUUCACUUUCAAUACACCUAUCAAGUUAGAUCAAUCCAAUUAUUUGAUUUGGAGAUCUCAAGUUCUUGCUUCAAUUCGCGGCAACAGACUUGAGAAAUUCAUUGAUAACUCAACCACUCCACCUCCUUCACACAUUGCUCAGAGAAUUGAAGAUGAUCUAAGAUCUGUAGAAAAUCCAGAAUUUGCAACUCGGAGAUCACAAGAUCAGGUGCUGCUUGGCUGGUUACCUUCUUCAAUGAGUGAAGGAAUCAUCAGUCUAGUCUUCAAUCUAGAGACUUCUCGAGAGGUAUGGAAAGCUAUAGAAGUUCAAUUUGGAUCUCAAUCUAAAUUUAGACUUCUGCAUUUACGAUAUAUGAUGAAUUCAACUAGGAAAGAUGAUCUGAAAAUUACUGAUUACUUCAUUAAGAUGAAAAGUAUUGCUGAUAAUAUGGCUGCAGCUGGUAGUGCGUUAAGUGAUGAUGAUUUGAUUUUGCAUGUACUCUCUAGCUUAGGUCCAGAUUAUAACUCUGUUGCUACCUAUAUCACUGGACAAGUAGGAGUAGGAAAAAUGAAUGUAAAUGAAGCUUAUACUAUGCUUCUAACUCAAGAAGCUAGGAUUGAACAACAAACUCAUAUGCUAGCUAAUACUGAUGUGAUACAAAACUUUGAGGCUAAUCUUGCCUAUAACAAAGGUUAUAAAAUGGGAAAUAUGUCAGGAGGAAGAGGUUUUGGUAGCUUUGGAUAUAAUUCUGGUUAUGGAAACAGUGGAAACAGUAACAGUAAUGGUUACAAAGGAGGUUAUGGAGGCUCUGGAUUUAAUGCUAAUAGUGGAAAUGCUUAUGGAUCUAACAAUCAGUUCAAGGCUUAUCAAGGAGAUAAUCAGAGAGGUGGAGGAGGAGGUAACUAGAACCAGAAUGCUGGAAAUAGAGGAUUUAACAAUAGCAGACCACCUGGAAACACUAAGCCUCAAUGGAAUGUCUCUAAGCCAACCUGUCAAAUCUGUUGUAGAACAGGCCACACUGCAAAUAUUUGCUGGAAACUUGAGGAAUUCAUGGCAUUUGGAGCUUACAGACCACCACCAAACAGAAAUCCAAAAUCUGCAUAUUUGGCUAAUAUGGAAGGCCCCGCUGAUACUAACUGGUAUUUGGAUAGUGGUGCAACACACCAUCUGACUAAUGAUAUCAACAUGCAUGUUUCUGAAGCUUUUACAGGUAUAUCUAAACUUGUUGUUGGCAAUGGUGCUGGAUUGGAUAUAACACUUAUUGGAAGUGCUGCAUUGAAAUCACAUAACUCCAAUAAUGCCUCUUUAACUUUUAAACUAAAUGAUAUCCUUUUAGUGCCACAAAUUACUAAAAACCUUAUCAGCAUCUCUAAACUCACAAAGGAUAAUGAUGUUGUGAUUGAGUUUACUAAUAAUUUCUGUUUUGUGAAGGACAAUGUGAGAAAUUUGAUCAUAUUGCAGGGCAAAGCUGAAAAUGGUCUAUACAAAUUGCUAUUGGUAAUAGGAAUAGUGUACUGCUGAAGAAGAUUGUACUGAAAUUCAGAAGUUUUGGAUGGAGAAGAAGAACUGAAAAUUGAGGAAUAUGGAAAUGAAGUUUCAUAAAAAACAACAUGACUUGCUAUAUAGAUUUUUCCAAAAGAAUGGAGACAUUUAAAACCCUUAUGCAAAGGACUAUACCCCAGAAAAAUACAUUUGGAUGUAUGAGACUGAAAUUUGUGUUGAUUAUAACUUCUAAGGAAGGGAAAGCAUGAACAUCCAAAUGUUCUCAAGAAUUUGUAAUCUGGAGAGAUGUGAAAUAUAGACUCAUAAGGAGAUUUCAUUGACUGAACUGGUGUAGGCAAUCUGUUUAUAAGGUAUGUGGCUGUAUGAAAAGACUCCCACCAGAAUUUAAUGGGUAGGUUUGCUUGUGCAAGUAGAGUAAGACCAAGUUCUGUAAUAUGCCUAUGCUUUCUCUCUACAAUUCCAUUUUGAUUGUGAGUGUAUGGACAUGAAUGUCUGAAGUGUAUGCCCUCUGUGUGAAGGAGGUUAACAAAGGAUCGAAAUUCUCCCCCCCAGUCUGAUUGAAGACAUUUUAUGGGUUUGUCAAGUUGUUUUUCUAUCUGGUUUUUGAAAAUUUUAAAGACUGAUAGUGUUUCACUUUUGGUUUUCAAAGGAAAGAUCCAAGUAAAUCUUAUGAAAUCGUCAACAAAGCUUAUAUAAUAUAUGUAGCCUUGUGAUGAAAUCACAGGGGCUGGUCCCCAUAAAUUAGUAUGCAAUAUUUCCAGGGGAAACUUUGUUUUGAUAUCAGAAGCUGGAAAAUGAAGUUGGUGCAUUUUUCCUAUUUGACAAGCAUCACAGAAAUUAAAGGUUGUAUUCUUAUUGUCAAGAAUGAAAGAUGAACAUGUUUUGAUUACAUGAUUCAAAAUCUUAGAAGAUGGAUGUCCCAAUCUCUGAUGCAAUACAGAAGUACUUAACAAACACUCAGAGUUUUUACAAGUAGCUGCAGUAGGCAGACAGGAGGUUUUAUUUGAAAAAAUAGAAUUGACAACUGAAAACAUUAAAAGAGGAGAAGUUGAUACAACUGACUCAGCAACAAAGUUUUGACUAUAAGCAGAAGAGGCUGUCUUAUUAGGUGAAACCAAUAGCAAUUUGUAUACCUUUGAAGCUGAAACUGCAGGUAAUGAUUCACAUUCUAAUCACCUUGGUCCUAUAUCUUCACCACUCUCUCACAACACCAUCCCAACCCUCACCACCAGCUGUUGUAUCUCAGCAAUCUAUACCUUCUUCACCAACUCAGCUCAAUCUUCCUAUACUUCUACCUGAUACAACACAAAAUACAUUAUUCUCCCAACCUCCUAUAUCUCACUCUCUGAUUCAACCAACCCACUCAUCUCAACCUAAACCAAAUCUCUCCACACAUAAAAUGAUCACUAGAGCAAAGGCUGGCAUAUACAAACCAAAGGCCUACCUAACAGAUCAUAAUAGCCUGGAACCAUCUACAGUUUCAGAAGCAUUAUCUGAUCCCAAAUGGAAAGCAGCAAUGCAGACUGAAUACCCUUAUGCCUAUGUGCCCAUCCUACAAACUAGUUGGGUGCAAAUGGGUGUUCAGAACCAAGUACAACACAGAUGGCUCAGUUUCAAAACAUAAAGCCAGACUGGUAGCCAAGGGAUUUCAUCAAACUGCAGGUAUUAAUUAUUCUGAAACUUUUAGUCCUGUAGUGAAGUCUUCAACAGUAAGAUUGAUUCUUAGUCUAGCUGUCAUGAACUGUUGGAAGGUCAGACAAAUUGAUGUGAAUAAUGUCUUCUUAAAUGAGGAUUUGUCAGAGGAUGUGUAUAUGGUUUAGCCUGAGGGUUUUGUGUCCAAAGAAGGCUACAUAUGCAAGCUUACCAAGGCUCUAUAUGGAUUGAAACAAGCUCCAAGAGCUUGGUAUGAUAAACUGAAAGGCUGUCUUACUGCCUGGAAUUUCAUCAAUUCAAAGGCUGACACAUCUCUUUUUGUUAAACAUGAUGAUAAGGGCAUUAUUAUUAUCUUGGUCUAUGUUGAUGAUAUUCUGGUUACUGGUCCUGACUCAGCAUUACUUGAAGAAUUUAUCACUAAACUAAGUAAGGCUUUUGCUCUCAAGGAUCUGGGUUUGAUAGCUUAUUUUCUUGGAGUGGAAGUAUGUUACACAACUCAUGGAAUGCAUCUGUCACAGACAAAGUAUAUUAAAGAUCUGAUCAGCAAAGCUUCAAUGCAGAAUUGCAAAGGGUCAGAUACACCCUUCAGUACUGGAUUUAAACUAGAGAAAAAUGUUCAAGGUCCUCUGGGACAAGAAUUUGAAGAACCAGCACUUUAUAGGAGCAUUGUUGGAGGGCUUCAAUAUUUGAUUCUCACCAGGUCUGACAUUGCUUAUUCUGUACACAAACUCAGCCAAUAUCUCAAUACUCCUACACUUCAGCACUGGCUGGCAUGCAAGAAGGUUCUCAGAUAUCUUCAAGCCAUAACUACUCAUGGUUUAUACAUUCAAAAGGAAGGGACACUUGGACUUGCAGGUCUAACAGGAUACUCUGAUGCUGACUAGGCAUGUGAUGUUGAUGAUCGAAAGUCUAUUGGAGCUUACUGUAUUUACCUUGGUAAUAAUCUGAUCUCCUGGUCUUCAAAGAAGCAAGCUAUAGUAGCUAAGUCAAGCACUGAAAGUGAAUACAGGGCACUAUCUUCAGCAAGUUCAGAGCUUUCAUGGUUGCAAUCUCUGUUGUCAGAACUUAACAUUGUUCAGUUACCUACUCCAAUUCUUUGGUGUGACAAUCAAAGUGCUGGAGAGUUAGCUCGAAAUCCUAUUCUUCAUUCUAAAUCCAAACACAUUGAAUUGGAAAUUCAUUACAUUAGAGAUAAAGUGCUUGGAAAAGAAUUAGAAAUAAGAUAUAUUCCUACAGAAGAACAAGUUGCUGAUGUCCUUACUAAAGCUUUGUCAUUUCCCAAGUUUAACUAUUUUAGAUCCAAGCUCAAUGUCAUCAACAGGCCAUUGAGCUUGAGGGGGGAUGUUAAAGAAGCUCACAUUUACAAGAUUAUCAGCAAAGCAGAGGAUCACAGCAACAACCAUAUGCAGUUACGAGUUGAUGACAUGGCAUGCCAGCUGGAGCCUGGUGGUUAUGUAAUAAGUUAUGCAUGUAUCAAUUAGCUAUAAGCUGUUAUAGUUAGUUGAAAGGAUUAGUUAAUAAGUUGUUGCUAAUUACAACAGCUUUGUACAUAUCAUUAAUGAUGUGAUUAAUGAAAUUUAGUUUCUAGAAAACACUCAGAUCUAGUUCAUAUUUUCUUAGUUGCCAAACACGUUUUUCUCGUUCUUCAACUGUUGGAAGUCAACUAUUGUAUAGUAAGAUGAUUUGAAACUUCUUUUAAAACUUCUCUGUCAUCUAGCUUAGAGAACUUGACUGUCCACCAAGAGUCUGGAGUCACCUGUUGCAUCUCAAGUUGAUUUGGUAUUUGUUAUUUUUAAUGAGGAAAUACUUUGCUAGAACUUUCAGAUUGAACAUUGCAGGUAGGAUUAUUAUUCAAGUCGUGACCUUCGAGAACUUGUUGCAGUUGAAUGUUUUUUUUUUUUUUUUGGGGGGGGUGGGGGGGUAAUGACAAAAAUUAUUAAUGUUUAGGAACAACUCUUUAGGGGAGAAGCAUAUAUAUCUGGCUGGCAAUUUUGGCAUAUUCAACUGUUGAUAGUAGAAUGGAUGUAUGGAGGGUUGACUUCAGUGACCACAAUUAAUUAUGUCAUUGUACGGUUAAAUGGUUGCAUUAUGAAAAGCAGAGAUGCGUUAGAAAAUGACAUGGCCUUUGUCAUGCUUAAUCUGUGCCUAUGCAGCUAUUGUAUUAUCUUGGUUAACCUGUGCCUUUUUAAUUCUUGUACUAUGACUGCCUGGUCCUAAGCAAUAUUGAUGGAAAUGACAUCCAGCUUGAAGUUUAUGUAAAUCUUUCAAAAUAAAUUCUGAAUACCCUUGGAUUUGGUGUGUACAAAGUCAAAGAAUCCAUUUAGCUGGUCCUACAAGUUUUAGACUUUGCAGGGAGGCUUCAGAUUUAUAAAUAUGUAACAAAAAAGGUGUAGACUACAUAAAAAGACUUAAAAAAAAAGUGUAUAGAAUUAUUAGCUAUGCUUAGAUAAAUUCCCGGUAAUUACCUUUCUAGUAUUACUUUUUUUCUUGUUGUUUCUUUGAGAUAUUUCAAGAAAUAUACAAUAUAUGCAAACAUAUAACUUCUUGAAAUUUGUAAUUAUAGGAUUCUGUUGACUGGUUGGUUCUAUACCUCUUUGUGGGAAUGGGCGAAACAUCUUGAUACCUUUACCAAGAUCAGUUAGUGCUGAGGUUUUGGCUAUUACUGGAGCUGGCGUGUGACUGCAUGAUCAAGAUGCGUCAAACCUUCCACUGUUCUAUUGGUUUGCCUUUAUCAUUCGGAAUCCAAGUUUGAUAUUAACAGAGAUCACAUCAAUAAUAUCCUAUUUGGGUAGAUGUGGGUGAGGAUUUAAAAUCAAAUUUGAAAUUGAGAGGAAAGAAAAGGAGCCACAAUAAUUAAACAAAAUAAUUCUGAUGAGUUUUAAUCUCGAGGAACAAUUUUCAAAUGCAAAUUUAACUGCUAGAGAAAUUGUAGCUUUUUGUCAUUAGUUAAAAGGAAAAAGAAUAAGAACUAUCCGGCCCUUUCCUUCAUGAAUGUGUUGAGGUUGCUGUAUUAUUUAGUCAGUAUUUGUAAUUUUCUUCCCUGCAGUGCUCUCUGCUUCCUGAAUUUGCUACUGAGUCCAUAUUUUUCUUUGAGCUUUUGCUUCCUAUUGCUGUUACAGGUGCAAAUCUGGGCAAGCAAUAAGAUACACCGGGAGGAAAGGUCAUCAAUGCGAAAAUGGGAUGUCCGAUCCCUCAUCACAUCUUCUUCAGAUUUGUAUGGUCCAGAAAAGUCUGCUAGUGUUGAAAAAUUACCUAGGCAUGUAAAAUUUACUUUUAAGAAUCCUGUUAGGUGCUGCAUUAUUUGGAUCACAUUACAUCUUCAGAGACCUGGUUUGGGUUCAGUUAAUUUCGGGAAGGACUACAGCAUUUGCAGAUGAACCUUCAGAACAAGAUGAUUCAGGAUUGAGAGCUCCACUUGUGGCCACAGGUUUGUCUUUGUCAAACAGAAUCAAGUUAUAUUAUUAUUGUGAUCCUUAUGAGCUCGGAAAAUGGGCAAGCCUUUCUGGAGUUUGAUCGUUAUUUAUAUGUCAGAGAAAGAGUUUUGGGUUUGAUUUUGAUUUGUAAUUUUUGUCAGUUUAUUGAAAUUUUGUUGUUGUAUAAAAGCAGAAUGUAAAGGUAUAAAAAUUCAUUGAUGCUGUAAUGUCUGUACUUUUGAGAAAGAAGAAUUCAAUGUCUUUUCUAUGCCAUUGGAUUUUCCACUGCUGGUAAAACCUGAGCUGUCGAAUGCUCUGUGAACCUUAAGGGCUAGAAAGUAAUUUUCUUUUUUUUUUAAUUCUUUUAUAUACAUAUUAUUAUUGAUAUUACAUUAGACAUUACAAUUACAAUAUUUAUAAUCGUACUAAAUAACUGAGACCAACGUCAUACAUUAACUCACGCCAUACAUUAACUCACUGAAGCACUUGUCCAAAUACUUUAAACCUCUCUAAUAUUCGAGGAGUGUCUACUCUAUUCACAUUUUGUUAGGGAGAGACUGUCUCUACUCAAUUAGUUGAUAAUUAAGAAAGAAUUGAAACUAACCUCCAUAAUGUUCUUAUGAAAGCUCGAACUCUUGCACUCAACAUUAUAAGUGCAAGGUUUCUACCAUUGAACCAAAGACCCAUUGGUGGCUAUAAAGUAAUUUUCAAGAGUGAAGGAUUUAUUAAUCGAGUUCAAAAGAUUGCAAGCUGGUGAGCGUUGGCAUUUAAAAAUCAAUUGUUAUCCUCUCAAUAAUCUCUCUCUUCUGCCGACACCCGAAGCUCAGAAACCCGUUGUUCCGACGGACGUGUAACACUUCCAGAAAUUAGCCUUUUCUUCUAUAUGAAGGUUGAUCUCUCCUCCUGCAGUGUUUUCUUUUUCGAGUGAAGGUGGUUUUCUACUUACAUAUGUCGGGGGUCUUACAAUAUCUAAUGUGUGAAAUUUCUUUCUCAUUUUACCAUAAAGAAAAUGUCAGUAAUGAUUUAAAGCUCGAGUCUUAAAUUAUCUUAAAUUAAGAAUCUCUCAUUACAUUGUCAACCAAAAAGACACUUACAUAAGAAGAAGAAUUUGUCAGUUUGAUUUUAUUUGUAGAUCCAACAUUUCUCAUAUCCUGAGUGCCUUUCCGUAUCAAAUUAAAAUAGUAGUAGCAAAAUCGUAGUGCACAUUUAAUUAACCAACUAAUAGUCUAAGCAAAGAGAGGAUUACAAGUUCACAACACCAUUACAAAGGAUUCAAAAUCCCCGCACGAAAACAUCAAUGUACAGUUAUAAACAACCCGAAUUGGACACAAGAAAAACCCUUCAAUGGAUUGUUUGCCUUCCCAAUGCUAUAUACUGUGCAAACUGCGCACUGGCCAAGAAAAUGUUUUCAAUUUAGUGUACUUUCAAAAUGCUUAUUUUCUCAGAAUAUUAAAAAAAUAAAAAAAUAAAAAAAUAAAAAGAAUUCUUACAUGUUUCAUCAGCAUGAUUAAAAUCAAAGAAGAAAGCGAGACAUAAUGUCUCUGACAUAAUAAAAUUACAAAAAUUUCAAAAAAAAUGUUAAAACAUGUAAACAUGAAAGUAUUUUCAAAAGCAAAAUGGAAUACAUAGAUAAAACAUCAUCUUAAACAAAUCACAAUCUAGAAUUAGAGCAUUUUUGACAUACCUAAGGAAAAAGAAUACGUGAAAAUGGGUGACUCAUUUGCUAAGGAGUGUUGAUUUGAUUGGCUCUGCAAAUUCUCUUGGGGCUCAGUUCCAAUUCCUCUACAUCCAAAGUUCCACUCGCGCUUGGCAAAUCAUCCAAUUUCCAAACUUCGGUAGCAAAAUUGAUAGUAAAAGUGUUGUCUUUUGUUUCGCUGGGAUUUGCAUAUACUGGACAUAAUCCGCAACGUUUUAUCUUGUAAAACUUUCGCUCAGCGAAGAACUUAAAUGUGGCAAUUGUAUGAUGGUAACCAUCAGGAAACCCAACAUUCAAGCAAGGUUUAAAACCAAGUAUGACACGAUCUGAAUCAAUAAGGUCUUCAAUAUAGCGCGAAUUGUAACCCAGAUCAACAUGUUUGGUUUCAGAGAGAGUCUUUAUUUCUAAGUCGAAUUGAAAGCUGACGUAAAAAUAACGAAAACAAUCAGAAUCAACUUUCUUAGAAUCAAGAACAGCACAAAAAGCAAACCCGAUUAAGUUUCUGCAAGAAGAGUGCGGUGGCAGUUGAAUACAUAUCGAAGAUCCUGAACUUUGAUUGCUAAACCAGUCAGGAAUUUCGCUCCCAGGUAAAACAAUUAGGGAUCCCCUGAGUUCAGAAAGUUUCUGUGAAAGGACAUUUAAAAAAAGAAAAUUGUAAAAUGAAAACCAUUGAUUUCAGAUAUAAGAAAGAGGGACAGAGUAAACAAGAGAGGGAAUUUGAUACCUCGUUGAUUGCCAUUUCAUAGCCCAGUCUCAGUGAUGCAAUUGCCAUAUGCCGAAUUCUUAGUAGUGAAUCUGCCAAAAUCUUGUUGUUUGCUUUUCCAUUCAGUUUCAAGCAGUUAGUAAACUCAAAACAAAUUGCUGCUGACUUCAGAGAUUCUGGUGCCCAUUGAAGGUCAGGAGAGUGUUUGGAUAGCUUUUCGAGUACGGAUGCAUCUAGUUCUUGUAGACAUAACAGAAUCUCUGGCAAAGAUUGAAGCCGGUUGCAGUUCCUUACAGUUAGUAACUGUAGACACAAUGGAAGUUCUGGUAAUGACCGAAGCAUGUUACAAUCCUCCAAGUUAAGAUAUUGUAGACACAAUGGAAGUUCUGGUAAUGACCGAAGCAUGUUACAACCCGUCAAGUCAAGAGAUUCUAGACAAAAUGGAAGUACUGGUAAUGACUGAAGCAUCUUACAAUCAAUCAAGUGAAGAUAUUUUAGGCACAAUGGAAGUUCUGGUAAUGACUGAAGCAUAUUAAAAUCCUCUAAGUGAAUAAACCUCAGCUGCGACAUUUGCUUGAUAAUUGCAGGUAAACUCUCAAAGUUAUUUCCACUUAGAUACAAUAUUUCCAGUGAGGAUAGAUAGGCAAUCUCUUGUGGAAUUUCCCUUACAGCAUAGUCACUUAUAUGUAGAAGUCCCAUAGCAGAUAAACCUAAUAAAAAUGUUCGAGGAAAUGAUUCCAAACCUUUGCAGUGAGAGGAGUCAAGACUUCUAAGCAUGUUUGACAAUGCAACAGAGGAUGGUAGUUGACUAAUAGCUGAUGCAGCUGCUAAGAUGUAAUACAAAUAUUCUAAAGAGCCAAUGUUAUCCGGUAAAUUAUCAAGUUUAGAGCAAUCUUCUACGAACAAUACUUCAAGCCCCGGUAGAUUUUCAAAUGACGAUGGCAGCUCUGUAAUUGGCGUCCUGUCUGAAUAGAUGCGUUUUAAAUGUUCCAUUUUCUCCAAGAUUUCUGGGAAAUGCUCAAGGUUCAAGCAGCCAAGAAGAAUAAGCGUAACCAAAGAUCUCAAUUUACAAAAGCUUGUUGAAAUCCGCUUCAGCCGUUUGCAACCCCUCAAAUCCAACACUUCAAGAUCAGUUAGACACUCUAUUGAUGAUGGAACUUCUUCUAUUGCAGACUGGCCUAAGUAUAGCCGUGUAACUUUCCCAGAAAUUUGUGGAAACUCUAUGAGAUUAACACAAUAGGAGAAAUUAAUAGUUACUGGACAAACAAAAUGAAGAUUGCUUGGAAAAGACCUAAGACUUUGGCAGCCCUUAAAAGACAACGCACUGAGAUACUUGAAAUUCUGGAUAGAUGAGGGAACACAAGCCUUUUCUCCUUCCCAAGGUUGCUCAACUUUACUACAACGCAAAUUCAGUUCAACAAGGUUCUUUGGCUUGAAAUUUGAUGGCAGUGUCCUUAAUGGAUAUGUGUCCCAAUGAAGAUAUCUCAAUUUUUUAGGAAGAUAAUCUAGGCCAUUUGGAAGCUGCACUUUAGAGUAUGAAAGUUGCUCUUCAGUGCUCAUGCUUGGAAGCUUUUCAAUCUCAUAAAACUUAGGUACAUAAAAUUUGAACAAUCUCAGAUUAGACAUAUUUGUGAAGGCUCUGGGGUCUAAAUUGAUGCCUUUUAUUUUGGACAGAUCUAGAAAUAUGCCUUCAAUUGCAUCGGUCCCCUUAUAAAAAAAAAAACAAAAACAAAGAAUGGGUAAGCCUAAAACAGAAAAGAAACAUUCGUAAACUUUAUUAACUAAGAGCUCCUUAAACAAAACAAAUUCUACAAUCUUUGAUUUAUUUUUUAAAUAUAUUAAAUAUCUAUAUGCGAGAAAAGAAAAUUUUGGGGACCAUUGCAAAAUUAAACUAACCGAAAAAAAAAAAUCAAAAUUUCUCUAAUUUACAAACCUGUUAUCUUAAUAUUUAGAAGUUGAGAAGACAUGGCUUAUUUGAUUGGUAUAAGAUUUCGAAUUUUUUUAGAGUCCAUAGAAUCCAAAAUAUUAGUCCAAAAUUAGGGAAAAAAAUGAAAGAUUUUUUUACCACUAGCUAUAAUUGUAUUCAAGUCAAAUUGAGAUACGACCCUUUUCGAAAGAAUUUAUCCGUCUUACAGCCUCCUUAAGAUACAUUUAAGCUAAAAGGAGUGAUUGGAGGCAGAACUAGGUGGGCCAAUCAGUCCAUUUUAUUAGCGAUUGUUGCUUAAAAAAAAUGAUACUCUAAAACACACUUACUUUUUUUGAAAAAAAAAUAUAAUUAUAUUGAAAUAGAACCAGGUGGGCCAAUUCUCAUGGCACUCACUUUGUUCUUACACACUUCACUAAAUUUGAAGAAAAAUAAAAUUAUACUCUUCACACUCUUAUUCAACAUUUCAAAAUUGAUAAAAUCUGGAGUUUUCUUUAAAAUUUUAAAAUUUGAAGACUUGUUCUCUUGACACCCUCAGUCAUUAAUUUCACCUAAUUAUGGUUUUGAUGAUUUUGGUUGUUUUGUUCAUAAAAUAAUUUUACUAAAGGAUGUUCUCGUAAUAAUAAAAAUUAUAAAAAAAACAUAGGUGUGCUGGUGUGGUUGGGAAAAUACGAGUGCAGAACUCGAAACAAAUAAAAGAUGUAUAAAAUAAUGGAGGAUUCUUACCUUAUUAUGCUUUAGUACGCGGCUGAUUUCCUUAGGAUCCCACAACCUGCUGCGUUUGCCUGGCUCUUUCUCAGAUUCUUGGCGAACAAUCUGUCGCCCCAUUUCUUGCAAUAUAUCAUGCAUGUUCAAGAAAUUACCUGAUAUUGAUACGAGUGACUUAUCAAUAAGGAUAUCCAGCACAUCAGACUCAGAAUCAUCAAGAAUGCUUGCCACAAAAUCUUUAUCCUCUCCCUCAAAGAAACACGCAAUAUCUAGAAAUAUACUCUUCACCCUGGGCGUUAAUUUGUUAAAACUAAUCUUUAAUAUAUCAUAAAUAUCAUGAAUUUCAGAUUCACAAAUCCGAUUUAAGUCGUGCAAUACUUUUCCCCAAUGGCUUUUCCUCUUGAGGCACAGGGAGGAACCCAACACUUCAAGAACUAAUGGAUUGCCUUUGGUAUAUGAUACAACACUCCGUGAGUGCCAGUUGAGAUCUUCAGGACAAUGAUUUUCUUUAAAAGCGAAGUUACAAAAAUGCUCGAAAGCCUCUUCAAAUUCCAAUCCAUUAACCCUAUAUAUUUUCUUCUCCUCCCCUCUAAAUUUUUCGAGGACUCGUUUGUCUCUGGUGGUUACAACAAUUCUACUUCCUUGACCAAAUUGAUCAAGCUCUCCAAUCAGACGCUUUAAUUGUCCAACUUCAUUCACAUCAUCGAGUACUAUCAACAACUUCAUGCGUCGGACCCUCUCUUUAGUAAAAUGUGGAAUAUUGGGACCAGCUACUUCAAGUUUUUCGCUUAAUGUUGUUGAAAGCAUUUGCUUUUGGAGAUGUUCUAAUCCACCCGCCGUUUCUGAGUUUCCCCUAACAUCUGACACAAAGCAACUACCUUCAAAUUCAUGGGAGAAUUGGUCGAAAAUAGCUUUGGCAAGGGUGGUUUUGCCGAUACCACCCAUGCCCCAAAUUCCAACAAUUUGGACGGUAUCCGAUGAAUCCAUACACAGAAAUGGUUUAAUCUGCUCAAUUCGUGAAUUUAAUCCAACUAGGCCAUUGGAUGAGUCCGUUGAGACUGUUAUUUUUUCCAACUUCUUCAAAACAUCUUCGACAAUUUUGUUUACAAGUUGCGCAUCAUGCCUAAUACAAAGGUGCAAAGAUGCAAAAACAUUGAGUCAAAUCGGGCCAUGACAGAAACAGAGAAAAGAUGAAUUAGGAAAGAGAGUUACCUGAAUUUCGCGGAUUCGUGGCCGGCUAGAUGGGAUGUUUCUGUCAGUGCAUCCCUCCACUUCAGAACCAUUUCUGGUUUAUCUUGGAACUGUUUUUUGAGCUCAUCAAAACCGUCUCCAAAAGUUCCAUUUUGAUGCCGCACAUCAGAUGGACUUACUCCAUAGAAAACCGGAAUAAUGAUUUGGCCCUUCAUCUUCUUGCAUUCAAGAAUCUUGAGAAGUUCAUGCAGGCACCAUUUUGAAGAAGCGUAGUCCUUUGAGAAAAUGACCACCGAAAUUUUUGAACCUUGGAUUGCGUUCAAAAGGGCAGGUGAAAUCUCAUCUCCUCGCCUAAGCCCUUCAUCAUCAAUAAAUGUUCUGAUUUUCUUUCUUUCAUACAAAUUAUCAUAGAGAUGGCAAGUAAAGCUCGUACGAGUGUCCUCCCCUCUAAAGUUGAGGAAGACUUCAUAAUUGCCAGAAGAAGAAGAAGAGGAAGCCAUGAAGGAAAUUUUAGAAAUUUUGGUGACAGAAACAGAGAAUUAUUCUUGGAAGUUGAGAGAGGAGAUGUAAGAAUGAACAUGUGUGAAGAUUCUUGCGAGUACAUAGUAAAUAAUUGAAUGGCUGGAGCUUUCUUAGUUUCCUGGAAAUUUCCUGGAGCUUUCGUAUACAUGAUUUGUCAAGUCAUGAAAUAUAAUCAUGAUAAUGGGGCAGACCAGGAAGAAAAGCAACAAUUCAAAUAUUUGAUUCGACCAAUAAGGGAAGGAAAAGCAAAGAAAGGAAAUGUUGAAAGUAGAUGUAGGGAAUUAUAAAAAGCAAAAGGAAAAUGGAAUUUUGUGCAAUUUCAAUAUGAGAACCUAUAUUGGGAGAUAUUAUAAUCGAAUUAAAACUUAAAAUUUCAAUAUUAUUAUUCUUUUUUUAAAAAUUGAGAUAUCAGAGUAAUAUCACAUAGAAAAACUUGCCCACGGUAAGCCAAAAGUCUAGUCAACCACAUGCAUAAAGCUAACUAGAACAAGAGAACAGAGAAACGCGUGGGUCCCUAAAAGAAAAGGCAAGCACAUAAAUAAAUGAAAAAGCCAUGACGUUUCUAUUUUACAUGUCAUUCCUAAUUUUUGUAACACGGUGUGGCAGCAUAUGCACAAUCAAAUGAAGCAAAAGGGGUUCAACUAUCGUGGCAGAACAUGGACGAGGACGCGUGAUGAAUAAUUCCUUCGAUAAAACGAAAAACAAACGCAGAGAAAAGAAUUUCUUACAUGACAAGAAAUCAAAGUAAUGUGAAGGAACAUGAUGAAGAAAUUGCAGACCGAUCAAUUAUCCCCAUGGACUCCUAUAAAUUCAACCAAAAUAACAAUUCCAAUAUUACCAAAUUCUUGAGUUAAAUUUAUUCAAUGCUUUUAUUUUUGGGGGAAAUUAGAACCGCGGCAAGUAUAGAAGACAUUGAGGUGUAAAGCAACAUUAAUUUCAUGGGUUAUGCCUUAUACACAUAAUAUAUUUUCAGUCCAAAUUCAACUAUGCAAAGAGGCUUGAGAACUUAAAAUUAAGCACAAACUAAACAGACGAAGUAAAUACAUGAUUAUGCAACAUAACAUUAAUUCUCUCAAUUUAUAACUGUUUUUGCUACAUGAAUCUUGCACAGUUAAUCCUAAUUGAAUUCUAAAAAAGAACGAUUGGAACAAUGUUAUUUCAAAAACGUACGUUCAUAAGCGGGUCGGUCAGCAGAGUAGAAACCUUGGAUCAGGGUAUCAACUUGGAAACCAAAUUUCUUGUAAAGAUUCACAGCGGGAGUUCUCAAAGGAUCAACAUGAAGCGUUAUGCAGAGCACAGUUCUGGUUCUGCAUUUCUUAAUUGCUGCUUCUAGCAGUGCCUCUCCGUGACCUUGUCCCCGAUAAUUCUCCUUCACUAAUUAAGUUAACCCCAAAACCCAUUAAUUUCAUGUCAAUUAAAAAGAAAAAGAGAAUGAAUAACUAACAAAUAUUUCUUUGAGGACUUUUAUCAAACAGUUGAGAUGGCGGGCAUGCAGUGGAAAUUUCAACAAUGGGGACAAAGAUAUGGGACCUGCAAGCUUGGUGAUAGAAGCAGACAAGGAAGUAGGCCACGCGUACAUGACGUGGCCAACGACUUGUCCGUGAAUCUGAAUGUAAAGCAGGCCUGAGUUCUUCUUUUUCAGUUCCUCAUCAAAAGAUCUUGCCAGUGAUUCGUGCUUGGGAAAAAUCUUCUUCUCCAUCUUCACAAUCUCGUCCACUACGACAGUCCAGUUCGUUGAGUUUCUCUGCAGCUCCGUGACGGUUCCAUUACUCCCCAUGGCACGUGGCUUGUUGCAACUUACAGCUGAUCCAGCACGUAUAGAAAAUUAGAAAUGAAGCCUCCUAGCAUUCUUUCGAACAGGCAAAAAAAGUCAAUGGACAUAGUGGUGCCAUGUGUGGAAAUGUUAAGAAGAUGAUGAAGCCCCCAAGAGGCCAGCGUGGCGUGGCAUUGCACCUCAUCAUUUUUUUAAUGCUAAUCUGUAGAGCGGCCCAAAAUGCCGGCACAAUAUAUAGCUGGCAAAGCCCACCCAAGCCCAACUAUUUGGGCCAACAUAUCAUAAAUUAAUACAAAUAUAAAAUGCACGGUACAACGCAGACAAAGAUGAUUUGUGCAGAUAUGUGCUUCCUUUAUGGGUUUAAUUAUAUUGGUACCGCUCUAAGGUAGAGUAUUCUUUCAUAACUACAUGAUUAAAGUCAUAAUGAAUUUUUUAUUAUUUAUUAUUUUGCGUGUGUGAUUGAGAUUCGUGAUCCACCAUAGAUUAGCUCCAACAUAGCAGUAGCCUUCUUUUAUUGCUCAUCAUCUUUAGCAAACAGUCAUUGGCUUUGGAUGUUGCUACAAUUUAUUUUGCAUAAUUGACAAGGAUAGUCGAUGUGCAUAAUGUUGGAAAUUUUAUUAUAAUAUAUCAAAACACGUAAUAAUUGUUUAACUAUAUUAAUACUGGAUUAAUUUGACGAAUUAUGAAAUGACAGUAGGCAUUAUAUUUUAGAGGAAAAAUUAAAUAUAACAACCUAAAAAGUAGGGAUAAUCUCUUAACCAAACUAAAGAUGUAGGACAUCUAAAAGUAAAUUUAGCUAAUGUGUAGUACAAUUACAACAUCUUAGAAUAUGUCAAAACUUGAAGUGUUGUUGUGUUGAAAUAAGUUCCUAUACUAUUAUGGACAUGUAUGAGAUGUACUAAAAACAAAUUAAAUAACCCACAAUAGAUAUGACACGACCACCAAAAGAGACACACUAUUCUCACUAGGUAGUUGUAACAAGAGCGAAAUGUUUUAACCUAUAUCUACAUGCAUUACUAGAAAAAAAGGUCUUUAUUACAAGUAUUACCUACCAUCUAUCAUGUUGCACGAUAAUUGAGUGACCGUCAUUGAUUUCGGUGUCAAGAAAAUAAGAUGAUUGUUUACAUACGUCAUUUUAUGUAUGACAUAUUAUCUGAUACUAUUUUGGUCAUAACUGUUUUGAUGAAAAAUUUCGCGUAUGAUUAAUAUUUGUCAUAAUCACUUCCAUGCAUGACUAAUAUGUAUCAUAAGAUAAUGACAUAUACAAAUAAAUUUGGUGGGAUUCCAAAAUUUUAAAUGAAUUUUGUUGUGAAUUUCAAAAUUUAGUGGAUAUUCAUAUUUUUUUAUUCCAUUAUUAAUUUAUUCCAUUUGUUAUUAUUUGUAUUUAAUUAAACAAAUAGUUGAAGGAAGGUCCCACCCUAACAAAAAGUUGAUGGUUGUUAUACACUAUAAAUAAGAGCGAUAACGUCAUUAUCUGCGCAGACCAAAGAGAAUUUCAAUAACUAAGUUAAUUUUAUUUAAAUAAAAAAUCUCAAUUAUAUACACGAAAGCUCGGCACGUGUGUCAGUCGCAUAUCUGAUAAUAUAUAUACACACACAAACACAUACACACAUAUACAUAUACAUAUACAUAUAUAUCUAUAUAUAAAUUUUAUUUAUAAUCUUGUAAACUGAAUUUUAUAAAAUUAUAAAAUAGUAAAAGCAUUGUAAACACUUCUCAAAUUUUAAUUCUAAAUUUUAAUUUUAGACCUGAAUAUAUACCCACACAUAUGGCAUAGGUAAUUCCUCCAUAGACUCUAGAGUUUGGGUUAAUUUUACUUCCAAGAUUAUUCAAAAUAGUAUUUUUAAUUUAUAUAGUUUAAAUAUUCAAACAAAUCUAACAUAUAACAAAGAUACACACACACACACACACACACACACACACACACACACACACAACAUGUAAAUUAAUAUUAAAUGUAAAAUAAAAUAUAAGUGUGCAAAUGAAACAUAAGACUUGUGAAUGGAAGGUAAAACAAUUAAAUCAACAUAAGAGUGGUAAAUUGAUAUAUUACCGGUAAAUAAAAUAAAAGCUUAUAAAUAUAACAUCAAACUUAUAAAUCAAUAUUAAGUGUAAAAUAAAACAUAAAUGAUGUAAAUGGAAUAUAAGACUUGUGAAUAAAAGGUAAAAUAAGUAAAUUAAUAUAAGAGUGGUAAAUUGAUAUAUCAUUGGUGAAUAAAAUAAAAUUUUUUAUUAAUAUAACAUAAAACUUGUAAAUCAACAUUAAAUAUAAAAUAAAACAUAAAUUAAGUAAAUAAAACAUAAGACAUGUAAAUAGAAUAUAAAACAAGUAAAUUGAGAAAGGAGUGGUAAAACGAUAUAUUAGUAAAUAAAACAUAAACUUACAAAUGUUACAUAAAACUUGUAAAUCAACAUUAACUAUAAAAUAAAAUAAAAAGUAAGUAAAUAAAAUAUUAAACCUGCAAAUAGAAAGUAAAACAAAUAAACUAACAAAAGAGUGGUAAAAUUAUGUAUUAUUGAUAAACAAAAUAUAAACUUACAGAUGAAACAUAAAAAUUAUAAAUCACUAUUAAGUGUAAAAUAACAUAUGAAUUAUGUAAAUGAAAUAGAAGAUUUAUAAAUGAAAUGUGAAAUAAGUAAAUAUUAUAAGAAUUAUUAAGAAAAUAAAACUUACAAAUAUAAAAAUAAAAACUCACUACAAUAAUGAUUACCUUAUAUAUUUAUUGUUUUUAUUUCUAAAUUGAAUGAUGAUAAUUUUGGGUCUAUAUAAUACAUGUAAUGAUAUUUGUGAAAUUUUAUUAAGGAUAAAACUUAUUUCUAAAAUCAAAUUUUGAAAAAAAAAUUUCAUAUUUUUCAAAAUUGUUUGCAAGAGAAGUGAUUUUGCAUCCUAAACCUGCUUGACAACAACCCUAAAUAAGAUUUUUUUUUUUUUUUUUGGCUUGAUUCACAUUAAGAAAAAUAAUUUUACUUAAUUAACUUGUAUAUUUAACAAAUAAUAUGACGGAAAAAGAAAAAAAGGUUUAUAAGUGUCCUAGCAUGAACAUAGAAUUUAUGGUUAAACCAAUUUAAUGAAAUUUAUUCCAAUUGUCUUCAAUAUAAAUUAUUUGUUUUCAAUUGAACAGCAACUUUUUUCAUUACUUAAAUAAUUAAAAAAUAAUUUUUUUUAAAAUUAAAGUUUCAUGCUAAUUUACAAGCUUAUGUUAUUUUAUAAGUAACACUAAUUUACAGUUCUUAUAUUAAUUUACUUGUUUUACCUUUUAUUUACUAUCUUUAUAUGUAAUUUAUGAAAUUUAUAUUUAUCACGAUAUUGAUAUCGUAAUUUUAAUCACGGUAUUGUAGAAUUUUCCUUAACGACAAAUAUGAGCUUGAUAUCGUCUUUUCAUCUGCAACUUCCUUUAUUUAUUUAUUUAUUUAUUUAUUUUGAGAGAGAGAGGGCAACUUCCUUUGAUUCAAAAUUGGGAACUUUUUGGCCUUUCAACUUAGGCUAAUGUUAAUUGCUAAGUUACACACAUGUAACUUACAAUCAUCUCACAUGAAUAGUGAAUGGUGUGGGCUCACUCACUAUUUAUGUGAAAGAGUUGUAAGUUAUAUGCGUGUAACUUAGGGGGAUCCUUCAACUUAACCUUACUAAACAUCUUCGAUCCUUUCACUAAAUUAAAGUUUUCUCAGUCUCCUUGCCCAUGUCAAAAGACUAAAAUACCCUUUAGGCAUCAAAAUUUCUCAAUAAGACAUGGAGAUGAAAAGAAUUUAUUAUGUGACUGUUCUAAUGCUAUAUUGAUGGUGUGUAAGACAUUACAAUUGUAGGAAGAAGAGGAUGAAGUCAUGAAACACAGACGAAUGAAAUUAAAAAUCUACUUUUUUUAUUUUAAAUAUCUACUGUUGGGUUAUACAAGAUCAAUAGAUGAGAAUUUAUGUCAAUAUUUGAAAUUAAAAAUUUUAAUUAAAAUGGCUAGUCCUUUUUUAAUACUUUUUAAAUAAAUUCUUCAGUGUAAUAUGACAACUGAAAUUUGUACAAGGUAAUCUGAAAAUUAAACGAAUCUAAAAUCUAAAAAUAACUUUCAAAAACGGAUGAAAAUCACUGAUUAAGAAUAAUAUAUUAUGUGGUUGAAGCUUUCGUUUUAUCAAUCUUCUUUCUACCAUUGAUUUUCCCACGACUUUCCGGUUUCAUUUCUUGAAUCUCCAUGGAAACUUUCAAUAAACCAUAAAAUAAACUAGCGGUGUUUGGUUUUAAGAAAGGGAAUGAGAGGAAAAUAGUGAAAUGUAAGGAAAAUGAGAAAAGAGGAGUGAAAAAGGAUAGUGAAAUUAAAUUUCAUUAUUUAGUUUGACAUAAAAUUUGAUAGGGAAAAGAAUUGUAAUUUUUUUCUUUGGAUAAAUUUAUCCUUUGCCUUAAAUAUUAAAUUAUCUAUAUUAGUAAUAAAAUAUAAUUUAAUAUUAAUACCAAACUUUUUUAAUUUCAAAAAGUUCUAAAACAAUUCAUGAUUUAUAUUUAAUAUAAAAUAUAAAAAUAAUUUAAUAUAUUAAACUAUUUAAUAUAAUUUAAUAUAAAUAAAAGCUAGACAACAUAAGUCAACGCCGGUCAACAUAAGUCAUCACCGGUCAACAAAAGUCAACAUCGGCCAACACAGGUCAAUGGAAGUCAAACGCCGGCCGGAUAUUUUCUGACAAAAUUCCGGCGAGUUCCGGCUGAGAUCCGGUGUACCGACGGUGGUUCGGCGAAUUCCGGCGGUUGUCCGGUGACCUUCCGGAAAGGUCCACAUGGAAGUCCAUUUAUAAUGUUAAAUCAAUAAAAUAAAAUUAUAAAUAAUAAUUAUUAAUGACAUUAAAUAAAUUUAAAAAAUGAAAGGUUAUUUUGAAAAUUUUAGUUUCUAAUAUAAGAAAAUUUUAAAUUAUUCACUGCUAAGUCUGAAAUUCAAAUUCUACAUUAUAAUGAAUAUUAAAUUCAAAUGGAAAUUAAAUUCUUAUACAUUUUCUCAAAUUAAAUAAUAGAAAUAAAAGAAUUUUAAAUUAUUUUUCUCUCCUACAUUCUCUCCUCCCAACCAAACACCAUUUAAUGAAUCAUUUUCUGGAACACAACUAUAAUUUUAAUAAAUGGGCGGACCAUCUAGAAUAGUAUAUAUAAUUCUGUUUAAUUAAUAAGUUGAAAAAACCAUCAAGAGAAAUUCUAAUAUUAUGAGCUUGACACAAAUUCUUCACUAAUUCCAAAAUAAGGAGUUGUUUUAUAAGAACUGUGGUGUCUAUGUUUUCUAUACAUUUCGCUGCUAACUUUAACCAAUUACUUUAUUUCAACUUUAUUUUCUGGCGGGCACUAUAUGGUGGGUCCAAAAUGGGACCUACAAUAAUCAAUCAUAAGAUUUAGUACGGCUAUCAAAUAGCUAGUGCUAUUUUGGGUUUGAUGGAAGAGAUUGAAUAUUUAAUUUUAACUUAACCAUUCAACUAAUUAGAAAAUAAAUAAAAUUAAAUGAAAUAUUUAGAUAUUAAUUUAAAUAUUAAUAUCGGGAUAUAAAUUAAUUAUAAUAUAGUUCAUUACAUAAAAUUGAUUAAAUUAAUAAUUACACACGAACAUAGAUGUAUAUGCGUUCCAAUUUCCAAAGUGCUCAAAGCACUUUUCUCACCGAACUUUCCUCUGAAUUUCCCAUAGCUGACUCCUUUGUUUGCAUUUUUGGAAAUUUUUAGGAGCUUUUUCUAUUUAGUAUAUUGUACAUUUUUCUUUUCAGGUGAGAUUAAUUUAACUUAAAUUAGAAAAUCUUAUCUUUUUUUAAUAUUAUUUAAAUAAAAUCUGUCUAUCUUUCAUUUUAUCUGUCUACUUUCUACCCAUUAAUUAAGACUUUUCGAUUUCUUUUUGCCUAAGAUUUUCAUUGACUAUCUUUCAAUAAACCAUAAAAAUUACUGUGUCAUUUAUCGAUUAGAUGACCAUAUUUCAAAAUAUCAACAAUAAGUUGCUCUUAAAUAUUUCAUUAAUUGUUGAAGAAUUGUGAUCAGUGUGGACAUCUACAUAAAAAUUAUAUUGAAACACAGCUAAAAGAUAAAAAAAAAUAAAAUAAAUAGCAAUACACUAAAAUGUUUUAGUUGUCGUUAGUUUUCAGUUUCAUUACUUAAGUCCCACGUGCAUAAGUCACGUGACUGAGGUCAAAAAAAUGAUUGUCACAUUAAAGUUCGAGGUACCGAGAGGGGUAAUUAAGGAGUGGAGCUAUUGACACCCCUAGAUUAAUCUUACAAAACCCCACUUUAAAUAAAAUUACAAUUAAGGACAAUUGAAAAUUAAACAAUUAUAGAUUUUUUUUUACAGUAAAUUACUUAAUUCAUAAUCAAUCCUUUUUAAAAAAAAAAAAUUAUAUGUUACGUCCUAUCUAACUAAAAUAAAUUGUACAAAUUUAGAAUAAUCUAUUAUUCUCUUUUGAUUUCUUAUUGAUUAAAUAUUUUUAUACUUAAAAUUGCUUUGAAAUUAUAAUUUGAAAUAUGUGUUAUUUCAGCCAAUGAUUAAUACAAAAAAAUUAUCACCCAUAUAAUUUUUUAAUUUUUUUGUAGGGUAAUAAUAAAAUUGAAAAUAAUUAAAAAAAAUAGCACAAUAAUGAGUUUUUACAAUAAAACAAAUCAAAUAAAAAUUGAAAAUUUAGAAAAGUGUAUCUAAAAAAAGGGGCAUUUUUAAAAAUAAAAUGAAUAUAACUAAAAAGGAGGUUUUAUGAGGGGAUUAGAGGGGUGCCAAUAGUCCAACUCUUAUAUUUAAAGCUAUUUUGACUUUGUAUUUCCAAUGAUAUAUUUAUUAGGUAAUUUUUAAUUGAGUCAUUAUUUGUAGAAAAGUUUUCUGAGGCCAGAAGUUUAUAAAAUGAAUCAAUUAAAUCCCUCUAAGUAUAAAUUUAUGUCAUUCAAGUCUUUAACUUAAUUUCUUCAUUAAAAUUAUUAACAACAUCUAGGACAUUUUAGUUAAAAAACAAUUAAGCACCUUCUCAUUCUUUAUUUUUGACAAUUGACAAUAGUUUAAAGUAAAUUCAAGUAACCUAAAUUAAUGUUCUUUUAAAAAAAAAGGUUAGUUAAUGUGCAGGCAAGCAAUAUCACUUCAUGAACUGCACAUGUCUGAUUUCUUUUGAUACAAGUGGAUUUCUUUUAUAUAUAUUCAUUAUGUUAUCAAAUGAAUUAAUAAAUUGAUGAUCCUAGUGAUGUGUAGGCAACCAAUAGGACAUCACUAGUUAUACAUAUUUGAUUUGAUCGUGAAAUCCUAUAGAUUAAUUGUUUUUAAUAAAAAGAAAUUGAAGUCUUUUUUUUUUUCAUUUUUGGAAGGCAUGGAAUUAGCCCACAAUCUCAAUAAGUAGAUGUUAAUGAACAAGCAGUUGGCAAUAAUUCUGAACAUGCGAAUUAGACUUCAAUCAAUGUCGCUCAACCUGUGGGACAACAUACACAAAUUUUAUGGGUUGUACCUCAACCUCAAAAUGAAGAACCUAUGUUUUCGACAAGGAGUAGAAUAGUACAAUAUUUGCCUUGGGCUGGCAUUUAAUUCUCCAUCAUAGAAUCUAGAAGACAAUUAUCUAUUUCUUGUACUUGAAUUUCAGUUUACCUUAAUGUUGUCAAGGUGUUUGUUAGUUUCAAUUUAAUUGACUUUCAUACUUUUAGUUUCAUUUUUAGACCGAAUGUUAUUGUGGCUUUUCUAAUAUUAUAUUCAAUACAUGUUAUUUAGUUUAACAAUCAUCAUAUAUCUUAUAGACGUGAUGGAAUUAUAUGGAUAGGAAAUUACAUUUUCAUGUGUAAUUCCAAGAGUUAUGAUGGUUAUGUUUUUUAAUGGUGCUCUCUAUAUUUGAAUUAGUUUAAAAAAACUGACUAAAGAUUUUGUUUAAAUUGUUGCAGAGUUUUGUUCCCGGUUGCUCAAAUGGGUAAAACAGGCUGUUAGACUCGAAAAAAAAAAAAUUAAUGCCUAAAGGUAAAAUUGUACUUAAAGUCAUUAAUAUGAUAUAUAUGGGAAUAUAGUUAUCUUUUUAUGUUUAAAUUAACGUUUUCACUAACUUUUAUGACAAAAGAAUUAGCUGAAAAAUCUGAAAGAUAUAAAUUUAUAUUUAAAAAGGUUUAAUUGAUUCAUUUUAUGAACUUUUGGUCUUUGAAUUUUUUUUCUAUAAAUAAUAAGGACUCAAUUAAAGAUCACCCUAUUUAUUCUUGGCUGUUUAAAAAAACAAAAGAGAUGACUAGAGUUGAUCACUUUGACUAUAACGUGGGUCAUAUUGGUUGUUCUUAUAAUGGCAUGUCGAAUUUGGGAUGACUAUUACGUUGAGGGCUUGAGGUGGGAUUUCUUUCAGCUUAAAAAAAAAAAGUAUGCCGCCAAAAUUUUGCUUAGAAAGUUAAAUGUACCACUGUCAAAGGACAAUCUCACCUCUUACCAUUAACUUCGACCGUUAAAUCUGCUAUAUUUAACUAGUUUUGACCUAUGCAAUAAUUUUUUCUUAUAAGUUGUGUCAUGUGUGGAAGCUCUUUUCUAAAAAUAGAAAGGUAAAUUUGUUUUUUUUUUUUUCGGUAAGAGAUGGAAGUGGUUUUCUAAAAGUAAAGAGAUGAACUUGUUCUUUUCUUAAAAGUUUCGGGGCUAUAAGUCUCUUAACCUAAAGUUAUAAUUAUAAUUGCACUAAUAAUACAAUAAAUUUUUUAUAAAUAAAUAUUUAAGAAAUUAAUAACUUUGGGUGAAUAACAAACUUCUCCUCCCCCCCCCCCCCCGGAACUUGCACUAUAUUAAAUUAGUAAAUUUAUUAAAUGCAUAUGAUAAUAUAUUUUUUAAAUUCAUUAAGGCCCAAUGAAAAUAUAAAUUAAUAAUUAAUCAAAUACAAAAAUUAAUAACUACUAAAAUAUAAAAUUUAUAACAUUAAAGAAAUUUUUGUUUUUCUUACAACUUCAAUCAUCUAAAUUAAACUCUUUGCAAAUAUAUGCAUAUAGAGUUGUUUUUUUUUAAUCCUAAAUUGAAUUCAAUCUCCUUUCUUAAUUUUUCUUUUUUUUUUCUAGAGCAUACACCACAUUUAGUAUAUAUAAAACUUUUUUUUUCAUGUUUUAGAAAGUAGUUAUUUAAGAUUAUUAUUGCUUGAAAGACAUCUUUUGUAUAAACAUUUGGUAAAACAUAAUUAUCAUUUGAAUCAUGAUUGUCAUCAACAGAGUUAUCCAAUACCCUUUUAAUAAUCUGUUGAAUCAGUGAGUGAUUCCAUCACUACAUCUAUGCUAUUAUGGAUAGUAGUCAUCGGAGGAGAUGUCGUUGACAUGAGGAAGUACGAUUUGUGUUUAUUUAAAAGUAAAAAUAUUGAUAAAACUCUUCCUAAAAAUAAAAUAACACAGUUCUGUUUCUAAAUUAAUAAAUAUUCAUUUAUCAACAAAUUAAUAAAUUAUUAAAAUUUAUAAAUAAAUAACUUCUCUAAAAUAAUUUUUUUUCUUAGUCCUAGCAAGUAGCAAUGUUAUUUUAUAGAGGUUUUAUUUUAGUAAUAACAAUAAUAUAAUAAUAAUAAUUAUCAUUAUAUAUAAUAUUUACUAUUAUGAUAGUUAUCAUUAUAAUCAUGAGAAGAAUUUCAUUAUUUUAAAAGGGGCAAAUUUUAAUUUUUAAAAACUAUGAGAAGAAUUUCAUUAUUUCCAUUAGUUUCAUUCUCAUACACACACACACACACACAUAAAGAAAUCAAUUAUUCACAUUUCCCUAUCCAACAAAUAAAUACUGUAAAUUAUUAUUUUUUUAAAAGAAAAAUAUCAAAACGGUGUGGGUCCCAGCAUAAUCCUUCUAACCUACCGGCUCCCUGUCGGAAAAAAAAAAAGAGAAAAUGUUUUUAUUAAGAAAAAAACAAAACAGAACGUAGAAGUAGGAGCAAGCAGGCCGCGUGGCAAACCCCUGUGGGUACCACCAUACGACUUCUAAGUUCUCACCUCCCUGCUUUUCCUCCCGGGCUUGUCCUUCCCUGGGGCGGUGACAUGCGUACCCACAAAAAAAAAAUUAUCUUUCUGUAUUUUUGUAUUAUUCUUUUUCUCCGCUCAUUUUGAAUUACACUGGCAAGUAUAAAAACGACACGCGUCCCACCUAAAGUCGUGAAUGUGAAAGAAGAUUUUGUAGGACUGCCGCACUAUUUGAGCAUGCCGUAUUGAAUAACGAAGCAGUCAGUGAAGACGUAGCUGAGCGGACUUGAGAACUAAGCUUGUGACGUGGAAGACAUAUUGCAUGAGUUUGCAGCUGAGGCUUUGCGGAGGAAGUUGGUUUUUGAACCAGCCGAUCUCGUUCAACCUCGUGCAAGUAAGUUGUGGAAGCUCGUUCCUACCUGCUGCACUAAAUAAUGUGAGGUUUGUCGUUGUCAAACAGAAUCAAGUUAUAUUAUUAUUGUGAUCCUUAUGAGCUUGGAAAAUGGGCAAGCCUUUCUGCAGUUUGACCGUUAUUUAUAUGUCAGAGAAAGAGUUUUGGGUUUGAUUUUGAUUUUGAUUUGUAUUUUUUGUCAGUUUAUUGAAAUUUUUUUGUUGUAUAAAAAUUUUAAUUGUCCAAUGAAAACCUAUCCAUUUUUGUCAAAUUCAGAUACAAAUACAGUUUUAAUUGUCCAAUGAAAAUGUGUCAUCAUCAGUGCAACCAGUUAAACAAUCCUUGCGUUGACAUUUUGACCGGAGGGGACAUGUUUUCUGAUCCUCUUUCUGAGUUAGUGACCAGAAAUAUUGUACCUGAAGGGGCUACUUGCUUGAUUUCUUGGACCAACCUGUUGUCGAACAUCAUGGUGGGUCGAAGCUGAUAAAAAAUCUUCUUCUACACAGGAUGGAAUAUUUCCAGCUAGCAGUGCCCUGCAGUACGUAAACUGUCUAGAGUGGCAUGGUAUAGUACUGCUCUUCUUGUGUUGUUUUCAACUUUAAUGUCAUACCAGGUUCAUCGUGUUUAUGGAGUAAAUUCUAGAAGUUCAACAAAUUUUGCUUUGCAAAAUGUAUAACUUAUUAAUCAGAGUCCUGUUAUGAUGAUUUGACGCUGACUGAACAUAUUCUGUUGGUAAUUUAUUUGCACUUUUCUUGGUUGAAUUAUUUGCUGGCUCCACGCGGUUACUAGGCCAGUAUUUUUAUGAUUUAUCGAUGGAAAGGUCUUCACAUAUUAAAUUCAACCUCAUAAGUGUAAGACUGACUGAUUCUGUGCAAAUUUUCAGGAAAAGAAACUAGACUUUAUGGAAGCAAUGAAGCUGAAAAGGAUAGACCUUUAUUGUCAAUUGGAACUGAUCCUGCCUCUAUAAAUCCAAAUGGAUUGCUUGAUGAAUCUUAAAUAGGAAGACCAUGUAGAGUAGCAAGCAAUCUUGCUUUACUUGGCCAAGUUUUCCUACAAAUAUUGUCAGUGCAAUUGGCGUUGAGAAUAGUGAUGAUAGUGUUUUAGACUUCUGGAAUAUUACUAGAAUCAGAGAGGGUUGUUCUGGUGCCAGGUGCGAUGUUUGUGCAGAAACUAAGGUGCCUGCUCGUGCCUCCUUUACUGUGUCUUCAGUUGGAGCUUCACAAUCCCCUUUGUUGUAUUCUCAAUGCAGAAGAAAGGUUUGCAGAGUUUGUUGUGCAGGAAGAGGAUCUCUACUGUUUUCAAAUUAUAAAUCAAGGGGUGUAAAAUGGCUUCUCAAGUCAGGGUGGACCAAGCCAUGGCAGCCAAGUUGAUGUAUUUACCAGUCGUUCACUAUCACUGGAUGGCAUAAUCUGUAGACAAUGCUGCCAUGAGAUUGUGCUUGAUGCAUGUUGGGCUAUGUUAGGUUCUUGACUAGCUUGGGAAGAAGUGCCGUUGCAGAAAAUGCAGCUUAUAAUGCUUGGAACGAGGUUGUUGGAUCUUUCUUAAAGGAUAAUCUUUCUGAAAGGAUUCAGUCUUAUGAUAAUGAGCAAGCUGUCAAAGUCCUUCACCAAUUAUAUGGAGAGUCAUUUUGUAUCAGUGAAAUCCAAUAAAUGAAGGAAUCACUUGCUGAAUUUCCAUUUGCUAGCUUUUUGCACUCGGUAUGUUCUUGGUUUGUACUCGGUUCUCAUCAAAUUAUGUUUUCCCUUUGCCUCUUUAGGUUAAAUUUAUUUUCCUGGUUAGAAUCUGUAGAAAUAUAUUUUAGCAUUUAAGCUUUAUGAUAUAUGCCCAGAACAUUCCUCUCACUUAUCCAUGGAAAUCCCUGUCUGGUUUAAUUUUCAAUUGAGAUAUUUUUGUGGACCCUGAGUGGGUUCCAUAUGCUAAUCAUCUUUAAGGUAAGGCGAUGGAGAAUGCCUUGAGAAGCUAAAAACCUAUUACAAGGAAAAGCUCUUGCAUUGUUUUGUGCAAUCUGUGUGCUACCGAGUCACGUCUCUAAUAAUUUCAAAGUUUGCUUGAUUGGAAUUUUUUAUCUUGGUAUGAUUGUUUAUUUUAGAUUCCUUGGUGCCACUGUAGGUAUGGCUCUCAUUCAUGGCUUCUACUUCAUCUUCCAAUCCUUCAACUACUGUUACUCUUUCUUCUACACUUUCUUUGCCGAAAUCUUGCACUUCUCAUACUGCCAACAAAAUUAAAAAUCUUGUAGAAUACUCCUACAUCCCUGAAUCCGCCCAAAUCAGUGAAUCUUCUUACCCUCUCAUCAGCCCUUACCACCUAUACAAACGCCCCAGUUCUUUUACCCGUAGUAUCCGUACUCUCAUAACCACCCGAAGACCUCACCCUAAAGAAUAUAUCCAGUCUUCUCGCUUGGAUCAGUGUUCACUCCAAGCAACCCCUGCUGAGCAAUAUGUCACUCUUGAAAUACCCUCAGAGUUAAUUUCCAACUGGAAACGAGAAUGUUACACUCAUCUCCAUCUUGGAGGUAUCAGAUUAAUCCUUACCCUUCAUGGGCGAAAAGGAUUACCGGUUACAGCUCGCCUUGCUAUGCUUGAUACCCGGUUUAAACAGUACCCAGAUGCUGUUAUUGGCACUGUCCUCACAACCCUUCAUGCAGGAAGUGUGUUACUCACUUUCUAUCCCAACUUCAACCUUUCUCUCCAAGAUCCCAACUUGCCCACAACCUUGAAGGUCCAAAUCCAACUUCAAGGUGUUGAACAAAUUUCUUCUGCCAAAAUUGCUACAUUACACCACCAACUGGUCUAUAGGCUUCAAAAUCAUGUCUUAGAUCUACCCACACCAGAACACCACUCUGACACCCUCAUGGUGUUAGCAGAAUCUGACCAGAUCCCGACAAUCAUCCAGAUCCCACGACAAAUUCCUCGUCAUGAGCUCAUCAAGCUUAUGCCUCUUGAAUGGAUCUCUAACUAUGAACAGUUCCACAAUAAUACAGCUCCCAUUCAGACAUCCGAAAGUAUGUUUGAAAGACGACAAGAUGGAACAGUCAGAAUGACUUUUAAACCACCUCCCAGUGCUCCACAAGAGCCUCCUCGGCUCUCCUUUACUUAUUCCUCAAUGAUCACAGCUGUUCAGACAGCCCAAGAAGAUCUGCCCAUUACAGGGUUUAAUUCUGAAGGUUACCCUGUUUAUCCAGCCAAACACAAUGGCCAUUUCCUAUGGGAUGCCCCUGGUUCCGGCAUGUGUGACCCAAAUUGUCCCUGCUGGGAUGAUUGGGAAGAAGACGAUGAUUAUGCAACCACAAGGAAAAAGAAACCCAAAAAGAAAAAACCUUCUGUCCCAUGUCACCACUGUGACGCCAAACCACCAUCAGAUCCUCCACCUCCACCAGCUCCAUUACCCAUCUAUCGAAAAGAACUCAAAUGGAUUGCCAAACAUUGCAAAUCUGAGAUUCCAUCACCACUUUCAAACCCAACGCCUAUCGUCCAACCACUGGCUUGUAUGAUGCUUUCCUCUACCUCUUCUGAUUACUCUUCUUCCUUUCCUUCUUUGGAACCCCACACAGAUCCCCAACGAAAUGUUGUGUCAAAACCCUUUAUCCCUUCACCUAUUACCUCUACUGGCCACCUGGAGCCCCCUAAACCCUUUGAGUCAGUCCUCAACUGGCAAACUCAAAAUGCCAGGGCCCAAAAUGAUACUUUGUUGCAUCUCAAUUCAAAAGUUGAGAACAUCAGUUUGCGAACUGAACAGAUUGAGAAAAAAGUUGACUCCAUCACUGCACAGAUGCAGCAGAUUUACCAAAACCUCCAGUCCAGAAUUUCUCAACUUGACUCUGAGUUACGAGCCAUGCUUGCCCAUCGUUACUCAGGCCCCGAAUUUGACCAAAAAGAAAGGGAAAUCAGACGCUUAAAAGCUGAACUUGCUCAGAUUGAAUCUGAAAAACAGAGACCUACCCUUUUCACCACUUCACCUCCUAUCCCUUCCAUCGGUCCAACUUAUCAUCCUUUUGCCUCUAUGCUUUCUCCUAUUAAACAGUAUGACCCUUCCAAGUUAUUUGGUAUGACUCAUACUCUUUUCAGAGACAAUCAUUUGCCACCACCACCUAAACCUAAACCUAAACCCAAACCUAGACCGCAGCCUCGCCCUGCCCCUCUUCAUCCUUCCUCAUUGACCAUCCCUGGCCAACCAUCUCCUAGUUCUACACCGGCAUCACCACCAGCUCCUUUAUCAGUCCCUACCCAAUCCAAGGAUAAAGAACCCAUGCACCAAUUUACUGCUCACACAGUCACCCAUUCAUCUACUACAGUCGAUUAAACUUCUGAUUCAAAUCCAGCUGUUUCAGAUAGCCCUACCGAAACUGAUACAGAAUCUUCAGUAUCCACCAGUGACUCUGAAAAGUCCUAUGCUGAUAUCACCAAAAUCCUGAUGGCUCAACCUGAUCAACCUACCCAAGGCCAAACCUCUCAUACAGAACCAUAUGUUGAUAUUCCCUCCGAAGUUGAAGAAGAAAUGCCUGAAUCUUCUGCCACAAACCAACCUUCUCCAGCCCAGACCAAUCCACCCAGUCACAAAUCGUCAAAUGGUCCAUGGUUCACAUUUGAUGAUCUUCCAUCUCAUAAAUGGUGUGACCGACUCAAUGAAAUGUCUGCCUGGAUUGACCUCCAGAUGCUAAGACCAGGAGCAACAACUCAAUCAGUCCUUAGAGAAUUUGCUACUCGUUUCACGGGUGCUCUAAGAGAUUGGUUUAAUUCGUUAGGACAAUACCGCCAACUAUAGUUUGUUGAUCUCCCAGAAGUCUCAAGUGCUCUUGCUGUACUUCAUGAUCAAUUCCUUGGAGACCCUUCUGCAGUCUUUGAAGCUGCCAGACGAGAUUAUCUCAACAUGAAAUGCUGCUCCCUCAAUGCUAAGGAUCUUGACUUUCAGUAUAAGGGAAUGUCCCUGCUGUUCUAUAAGCUUAAUGGAUUCAAUGAACCGACAUUAAAGCAUGUCUUUCUGGCUUCCCUCCCCGAAGAACUCCAACCCAACAUCCAGAGACAACUCACCGCAUCCAAUCUUUCCCUAGACAACAUCUCUCUUGGCAAAAUCUUUCAGCUUGCCAAAACUUGUCUUGACAAACUUUGCGAGCAAAAAGAGUUUUUCAAAGAACUGUUGAAAGACAAAGAACCUUUCCGAAGUGCUUGCAAAAAGCCUUAUUUGCAGAUCAAAUGCCACAAGAAAAAAGAUUGCGAUUGCAGUUCAAAGAAAAAACGGCAUUUUCAGAAAUUCAAAACUCCAGAAUUUUCAUCCAAACCUCGCAGAUCGCGAAAGCCCUACCGAUUCUUCAGAAAGAAAUCUUCCUCCUCCAGAGAAUUCAAACGAAAGCAAUCAAGCAGAUGUUUCAUCUGCAAGAGAAAAGGCCACUAUGCCAAAUAUUGUCCCAACAAAAGAGAAAAAUCCAUCCGGUUAGUUGAGCAUCUUCAAGCAACUACCGACUACUCUCCUGCCAAAGAUGAGCUGGAAUUCUAUUUCUCUGAACAAGAUGAACCCAAUGAUGAAACAGUGUUCGCACUACAGAAUUCCUCUGAUUCAGACAGUGACCAGUCUCAAGUGAUUUUCCAUCAACAGUCACUCUCCCUUGAUACUACAGUUCCUAUCCCAUCCAUCAAACUCCAGAUCUUACCCUCAAAAUUCCAAAGGUCCAUUCCAGCAAUUGGUCUUAUAGAUACUGGCGCCAAACGCAGCAUGUUAAACCCCCAUAUUCUUCCAUCCGAAUAUUGGACCCAGUCUGAAGAACAUUUCAAAGCUGUCAAUGGCAAACUCUUCACCACCUCUUUGAUUACCAAGAAACCCAUUGGCAUUCAAAUCUUCCCAAAUUAUGUCAUUUGGACCAAAGUUAUUGGUUCAACUCUUCCUAAUAAGGAUAUCUUGUUAGGAUUUGACAUCCUUCACCAAACCAAACACCUCCAAAUCAUUCCCACUGGAAUCCGUGUCAAGUCCAUGUUCAAACCAUUCACAGACAUUCUGAAGCUCUACAAUUUGUCUGAAACUCCCCAGUCUUACCAGGAUAUCUCAACCAAACUUUUGAGUUUCUGUCCAGAGUCCCAUUCUGAGUUCACCCAUCCAAAUCCUUUGUGGAAAAAUAAGUCCUUCUUCAUUAAGUUACCCUUCAAACUAAAUGAAGACAUCAACCCGACCAAAGCUACUCAUCCAGGAAUGAGUCUUUCUGACUUACUCCUAGCCCAACAAGAAUGUUCACAAUUGUUAGCCCAAGGUUUAAUUGAGCCCACAAGUUCUCCAUGGGCUUGCCAAGCCUUUUAUGUUGAAAAGCAUUCUGAAAUUGUCCGAGGAAAGAAACACCUAGUCAUUGACUACCAGCCAUUAAAUAUGUUUUUACAAGAUGACAAAUUUCCUUUACCUCGCCGACAAAGCAUGUUUACUUUUCUAAAAAAUGCCCAGAUCUUUUCAAAAUUUGAUUUAAAAUCAGGUUUCUGGCAACUAGGCAUUGAACCCUCCGAACGCUACAAAACCGCUUUUUGUAUUCCCAAUGCCCACUUUCAAUGGACCGUCCUACCCUUUGGUCUCAAAACUGCCCCAUCCAUUUUCUAAAAAUCCAUGGUCCAAAUCUUCCAACCCAUUUUGCAUCAUGCAUUGAUUUAUAUUGAUGAUAUCUUGCUUUUUUCAGGCUCACAUGAUGACCAUCGCCAGCUGUUAACUCAAUUCUAUGAUAUUCUCCAAAGUCAUGGAAUCAUGUUAUCGGCCAAGAAAAACAUCAUUGCUACAGAUAAUGUUGAAUUCCUUGGUAUGAUCAUAAAAGAUGGACACUAUCAGCCAGGAAAACACAUUGCCCAAGAAUUGCUUCACUUUCCAUAUCAGCAACUUUCCAGAAGGCAAAUUCAACAGUUUCUCGGCAUCAUCAACUACAUCCGUGAUUUCAUCCCCCACGUGGAUCAUUACACUCACCAUCUCUCGUCUUUAUUGAAAAAGAAGCCCCUAGAAUGGAAUGCUGACCACACAUUUGCUGUCACUACCCUAAAGCAGAUUGCGCAAAAUCCGCCUCCUUUAAAGUUGAUUACAGAUGGCAAGCGCAUCUUACAGACAGACGCAAGUGAUGAAUCAUGGGGUGUCAUACUCCUUGAAGAAAUCAACGGAAAAGAACACUUUAUCGCUUACGUUAGUGGACAUUCUUCUGACACACAGAAGCACUACCAUAGCGUGUUCAAAGAAAUCUUAGCGGUAAAGAAUGGCAUCAAAAAGAUUGAGUAUCAUUUGAUUGGACACCAUUUUCUCAUCCGAAUGGACGGCUCAGCCUUCCCCAAUAUCUUUCAUUCCAAAGGUAAAAUUGUUCCCGAAAAAAUGUUACUCAGAUUAAAAGAUUGGUAUUCCAAAUAUGACUUUUCAGUCAAGCAUAUAAAGGGAUCCCAGAACCUCAUCCCUGAUAUCAGAGCAGUUAAGAGCGAAGUCUGUUUUGGUUGAGAUAUCUCAGGUUAUACAACCCACGUACACUCUUAACUGCUCUGAUAUCAGGGAUGAGGUUCUGGGAUCCCUUUAUAUGCUUGACUGAAAAGUCAUAUUUGGAAAAUCAAUCUUUUAAUCUGAGUAACAUUUUUUCGGGAACAAUUUUACCUUUGGAAUGAAAGAUAUUGGGGAAGGCUGAGCUGUCCAUUCGGAUGAGAAAAUGGUGUCCAAUCAAAUGAUACUCAAACUUUUUGAUGCCAUUCUUUACCGCUAAGAUUUCAUUGAACACGCUAUGGUAGUGCUUCUGUGUGUCAGAAAAAUGUCCACUAGCGUAAGCGAUAAAGUGUUCUUUUCCGUUGAUUUCUUCAAAGAGUAUGGCACCCCAUGAUUCAUCACUUGCGUCUGUUUGUAAGAUGCGCUUGCCAUCUGUAAUCAACUUUAAAGGAGGCGGAUUUUGCGCAAUCUGCUUUAGGGUAGUGACAGCAAAUGUGUGGUCAGCAUUCCAUUCUGGGGGCUUCUUUUUCAAUAAAGCCGAGAGAUGGUGAGUGUAAUGAUUCACGUGGGGGAUGAAAUCACGGAUGUAGUUGAUGAUGCCGAGAAACUGUUGAAUUUGCCUUCUGGAAAGUUGCUGAUCUGGAAAGUGAAGCAAUUCUUGGGCAAUGUGCUUUCCUGGCUGAUAGUGUCCAUCUUUUAUGAUCAUACCAAGGAAUUCAACAUUAUCUGUAGCAAUGAUGCUUUUCUUGGCCGAUAACAUGAUUCCAUGACUUUGGAGAAUAUCAUAGAAUUGAGUUAACAGCUGGCGAUGGUCAUCAUGUGAGCCUGAAAAAAGCAAGAUAUCAUCAAUAUAAAUCAAUGCAUGAUGCAAAAUGGAUUGGAAGAUUUGGACCAUGGAUUUUUAGAAAAUGGAUGGGGCAGUUUUGAGACCAAAGGGUAGGACGGUCCAUUGAAAGUGGGCAUUGGGAAUACAAAAAGCGGUUUUGUAGCGUUCGGAGGGUUCAAUGCCUAGUUGCCAGAAACCUGAUUUUAAAUCAAAUUUUGAAAAGAUCUGGGCAUUUUUUAGAAAAGUAAACAUGCUUUGUCGGCGAGGUAAAGGAAAUUUGUCAUCUUGUAAAAACAUAUUUAAUGGCUGGUAGUCAAUGACUAGGUGUUUCUUUCCUCGGACAAUUUUAGAAUGCUUUUCAACAUAAAAGGCUUGGCAAGCCCAUGGAGAACUUGUGGGCUCAAUUAAACCUUGGGCUAACAAUUGUGAACAUUCUUGUUGGGCUAGGAGUAAGUCAGAAAGACUCAUUCCUGGAUGAGUAGCUUUGGUCGGGUUGAUGUCUUCAUUUAGUUUGAAGGGUAACUUAAUGAAGAAGGACUUAUUUUUCCACAAAGGAUUUGGAUGGGUGAACUCAGAAUGGGACUCUGGACAGAAACUCAAAAGUUUGGUUGAGAUAUCCUGGUAAGACUGGGGAGUUUCAGACAAAUUGUAGAGCUUCAGAAUGUCUGUGAAUGGUUUGAACAUGGACUUGACACGGAUUCCAGUGGGAAUGAUUUGGAGGUGUUUGGUUUGGUGAAGGAUGUCAAAUCCUAACAAGAUAUCCUUAUUAGGAAGAGUUGAACCAAUAACUUUGGUCCAAAUGACAUAAUUUGGGAAGAUUUGAAUGCCAAUGGGUUUCUUGGUAAUCAAAGAGGUGGUGAAGAGUUUGCCAUUGACAGCUUUGAAAUGUUCUUCAGACUGGGUCCAAUAUUCGGAUGGAAGAAUAUGGGGGUUUAACAUGCUGCGUUGGGCGCCAGUAUCUAUAAGACCAAUUGCUGGAAUGGACCUUUGGAAUUUUGAGGGUAAGAUCUGGAGUUUGAUGGAUGGGAUAGGAACUGUAGUAUCAAGGGAGAGUGACUGUUGAUGGAAAAUCACUUGAGACUGGUCACUGUCUGAAUCAGAGGAAUUCUGUAGUGCGAACACUGUUUCAUCAUUGGGUUCAUCUUGUUCAGAGAAAUAGAAUUCCAGCUCAUCUUUGGCAGGAGAGUAGUCGGUAGUUGCUUGAAGAUGCUCAACUAACCGGAUGGAUUUUUCUCUUUUGUUGGGACAAUAUUUGGCAUAGUGGCCUUUUCUCUUGCAGAUGAAACAUCUGCUUGAUUGCUUUCGUUUGAAUUCUCUGGAGGAGGAAGAUUUCUUUCUGAAGAAUCGGUAGGGCUUUCGCGAUCUGCGAGGUUUGGAUGAAAAUUCUGGAGUUUUGAAUUUCUGAAAAUGCCGUUUUUUCUUUGAACUGCAAUCGCAAUCCUUUUUCUUGUGGCAUUUGAUCUGCAAAUAAGGCUUUUUGCAAGCACUUCGGAAAGGUUCUUUGUCUUUCAACAGUUCUUUGAAAAACUCUUUUUGCUCGCAAAGUUUGUCAAGACAAGUUUUGGCAAGCUGAAAGAUUUUGCCAAGAGAGAUGUUGUCUAGGGAAAGAUUGGAUGCGGUGAGUUGUCUCUGGAUGUUGGGUUGGAGUUCUUCGGGGAGGGAAGCCAGAAAGACAUGCUUUAAUGUCGGUUCAUUGAAUCCAUUAAGCUUAUAGAACAGCAGGGACAUUCCCUUAUACUGAAAGUCAAGAUCCUUAGCAUUGAGGGAGCAGCAUUUCAUGUUGAGAUAAUCUCGUCUGGCAGCUUCAAAGACUGCAGAAGGGUCUCCAAGGAAUUGAUCAUGAAGUACAGCAAGAGCACUUGAGACUUCUGGGAGAUCAACAAACUAUAGUUGGCGGUAUUGUCCUAACGAAUUAAACCAAUCUCUUAGAGCACCCGUGAAACGAGUAGCAAAUUCUCUAAGGACUGAUUGAGUUGUUGCUCCUGGUCUUAGCAUCUGGAGGUCAAUCCAGGCAGACAUUUCAUUGAGUCGGUCACACCAUUUAUGAGAUGGAAGAUCAUCAAAUGUGAACCAUGGACCAUUUGACGAUUUGUGACUGGGUGGAUUGGUCUGGGCUGGAGAAGGUUGGUUUGUGGCAGAAGAUUCAGGCAUUUCUUCUUCAACUUCGGAGGGAAUAUCAACAUAUGGUUCUGUAUGAGAGGUUUGGCCUUGGGUAGGUUGAUCAGGUUGAGCCAUCAGGAUUUUGGUGAUAUCAGCAUAGGACUUUUCAGAGUCACUGGUGGAUACUGAAGAUUCUGUAUCAGUUUCGGUAGGGCUAUCUGAAACAGCUGGAUUUGAAUCAGAAGUUUAAUCGACUGUAGUAGAUGAAUGGGUGACUGUGUGAGCAGUAAAUUGGUGCAUGGGUUCUUUAUCCUUGGAUUGGGUAGGGACUGAUAAAGGAGCUGGUGGUGAUGCCGGUGUAGAACUAGGAGAUGGUUGGCCAGGGAUGGUCAAUGAGGAAGGAUGAAGAGGGGCAGGGCGAGGCUGCGGUCUAGGUUUGGGUUUAGGUUUAGGUUUAGGUGGUGGUGGCAAAUGAUUGUCUCUGAAAAGAGUAUGAGUCAUACCAAAUAACUUGGAAGGGUCAUACUGUUUAAUAGGAGAAAGCAUAGAGGCAAAAGGAUGAUAAGUUGGACCGAUGGAAGGGAUAGGAGGUGAAGUGGUGAAAAGGGUAGGUCUCUGUUUUUCAGAUUCAAUCUGAGCAAGUUCAGCUUUUAAGCGUCUGAUUUCCCUUUCUUUUUGGUCAAAUUCGGGGCCUGAGUAACGAUGGGCAAGCAUGGCUCGUAACUCAGAGUCAAGUUGAGAAAUUCUGGACUGGAGGUUUUGGUAAAUCUGCUGCAUCUGUGCAGUGAUGGAGUCAACUUUUUUCUCAAUCUGUUCAGUUCGCAAACUGAUGUUCUCAACUUUUGAAUUGAGAUGCAACAAAGUAUCAUUUUGGGCCCUGGCAUUUUGAGUUUGCCAGUUGAGGACUGACUCAAAGGGUUUAGGGGGCUCCAGGUGGCCAGUAGAGGUAAUAGGUGAAGGGAUAAAGGGUUUUGACACAACAUUUCGUUGGGGAUCUGUGUGGGGUUCCAAAGAAGGAAAGGAAGAAGAGUAAUCAGAAGAGGUAGAGGAAAGCAUCAUACAAGCCAGUGGUUGGACGAUAGGCGUUGGGUUUGAAAGUGGUGAUGGAAUCUCAGAUUUGCAAUGUUUGGCAAUCCAUUUGAGUUCUUUUCGAUAGAUGGGUAAUGGAGCUGGUGGAGGUGGAGGAUCUGAUGGUGGUUUGGGGUCACAGUGGUGACAUGGGACAGAAGGUUUUUUCUUUUUGGGUUUCUUUUUCCUUGUGGUUGCAUAAUCAUCGUCUUCUUCCCAAUCAUCCCAGCAGGGACAAUUUGGGUCACACAUGCCGGAACCAGGGGCAUCCCAUAGGAAAUGGCCAUUGUGUUUGGCUGGAUAAACAGGGUAACCUUCAGAAUUAAACCCUGUAAUGGGCAGAUCUUCUUGGGCUGUCUGAACAGCUGUGAUCAUUGAGGAAUAAGUAAAGGAGAGCCGAGGAGGCUCUUGUGGAGCACUGGGAGGUGGUUUAAAAGUCAUUCUGACUGUUCCAUCUUGUCGUCUUUCAAACAUACUUUCGGAUGUCUGAAUGGGAGCUGUAUUAUUGUGGAACUGUUCAUAGUUAGAGAUCCAUUCAAGAGGCAUAAGCUUGAUGAGCUCAUGACGAGGAAUUUGUCGUGGGAUCUGGAUGAUUGUCGGGAUCUGGUCAGAUUCUGCUAACACCAUGAGGGUGUCAGAGUGGUGUUCUGGUGUGGGUAGAUCUAAGGCAUGAUUUUGAAGCCUAUAGACCAGUUGGUGGUGUAAGGUAGCAAUUUUGGCGGAAGAAAUUUGUUCAGUACCUUGAAUUUGGAUUUGGACCUUCAAGGUUGUGGGCAAGUUGGGAUCUUGGAGAGAAAGGUUGAAGUUGGGAUAGAAAGUGAGUAACACACUUCCUGCAUGAAGGGUUGUGAGGACAGUGCCAAUAACAGCAUCUUGGUAUUGUUUAAACCGUGUAUCAAGCAUAGCAAGGUGAGCUGUAACCGGUAAUCCUUUUCUCCCAUGAAGGGUAAGGAUUAAUCUGAUACCUCCAAGAUGGAGAUGAGUGUAACCUUCGCGUUUCCAGUUGGAAAUCAACUCUGAGGGUAUUUCCAGAGUGACAUAUUGCUCAGCAGGGGUUGCUUGGAGUGAACACUGAUCCAGGCGAGAAGACUAGAUGUAUUCUUUAGGGUGAGGUCUUCGGGUGGAUAUGAGAGUACAGAUACUGCGGGUAAAAGAACUGGGGCGUUUGUAUAGGUGGUAAGGGCUGAUGAGAGGGUAAGAAGAUUCACUGAUUUGGGCGGAUUCAGGAAUGUAGGAGUAUUCUACAAGAUUUUCAAUUUUGUUGGCAGUAUGAGAAGUGCAAGAUUUCGGCAAAGAAAGAGUGGAAGAAAGAGUAACAGGAGUUGAAGGAUUGGAAGAUGAAGUAGAAGUCAUGAAUGAGAAAUUCUCUCUGCGUGUGAAGUCUAAUGAUCAAAACAGAAUAAAGUCAUAAAUUAUACCAUUUUGAGCAUGAAAACAAGAAGUAGAAGCCAUGAACAGCAAAAGAUUCAACACCAGUUUUGUCACCGCUUGCUCCAUUAAAUUCUGGAUUAAAGCAAUCAUAUCGGAGAGCUCCUCCUAGUACUACUAUUGUUGAAUUUGUUUUUGUUCUUGGUAUUCUGAUGUUAGUGAGGUUAUCUUGCUUGUUAGUCCUUGUGGCUAUUCUCUGGCUACACUCCAAUGGUAAGUACAAUAUAUAUCCUUCUUGUUCAAUAAAUUUGGUCAUAAGCCAAGUGGCCUUAGUAAUGAAGCCCAAUAACAUUCAACUUGUGAAUAUUCAUAAGCAAACACUCAACAUAUAACCUCAGCAAAAGUUCUCCAUGCUAUGGCAAUGGAAGGCAUCUUUUUACAUGUUUGAAGGAGUCCCUGUGUCGUGCCAUUGCCAAAGAAAAUAAAAUAGCCUGGGCAUUUAGUUUCAUGUAGGGUAUUUUCUGAUAAUCAACUUUCCCUUAUAUUAAUUGCUGAUGUCAAACCAAGUAAGAAAAAUUUUGUUGCUCAUCAUUUAUGUAUAUUUUGGUAAAUUGUAAUUUUAAAUCCUCAACCAACUUCCCUUUGUGGGUAAUAAGGUAGUCCACUCUUUGAUAUUUAUGAUUGUAGAUCACGUUUCUAUUGGAUUGCCUUUAUCAUUCUGAAGCCAAGAUUGAUGUUAACAGCGAUCACAUCAAAUGUGGUGAAGAUCUGAAAUCAAAUUUGAAAUUGAGGGGAAAGAAAGAAAAGGGACCACAGUAAUUAAACAAAACUAUGAAAAUUUAGGUCAGAUUAGUUCAGUUUCGAUUCUAAGAAGCUUUAAUCUGGAUGAACAAUUUUCAAAUCUCCAAUUUAGAAUUGCUAGAGAAACUGUAGCUUUCACAUUAGUAAAAAUAAAGAAACAAUUGGAACUAUCUGGCCCUUUCUUUAUUGAAUGUGUGUGUCCAAGGUGCAGCGUCACUUAGUCAAUUGUUGCAAUUUUCUUCCCUGUAGUGCUCUCUACUUACUGAUUUGCUACCAAGCUCAUAUCUUUCUUAGGCCUUUUGCUUCCUAUUGCCGUUGCAGGUGCAAAUUCGGGCCAGCAAUAAAAUGCACUGGGAAGAAAAGUCAUCCAUGGGAAAAUGGGAUGUCCGAUCCCUGAUUACAGCUUCUUCAGAUUUGUAGUUGAGAAAAGUCGGCUAGUGUUGAUAAAUUACCUAGGCAUGUAAAAUUUACUUUUAAGAAUCCUGUUAGGUGCUGCAUUAUUUGCGUCACAUUACGUCUUCAGGGACCUGGAUCGGCAUCGGUUAAUUUAGGGAUGGACUUCAGUCUUUUGUCUGUUGAUGAAGACGAAAACCCGUUUGCACUAUUAGAUUGACGUGUUUCAUUUGGAGGAGCAGUUGAAGUGAACCAUGUAUUCAUGCCAAAAGAAUUGGGGCUUACCUCAUCACACAGCUCUGAGUAGCUAAAUAUUGGAAACUGGUUGGAUAGAGCUCCCCAUAUGAGUAGAUUCAAGGUAUUAAUUGCUUUCACUCUUUGUUCAUUCAUAAUUCCAGUUUUCUGCCAGAUGCUUUACAUCUGAUAAACCUCCUUUCUCUCUGCAGGUCCCAAUUGAGGCCGAGAUAUUGACGGACUACGAUCUCGUCUUGGAACAAUAUCUACCUCCCUCGUCACCUUUGCUUGCCGGAUUCUGUGUAGAUGCUUUCAGCGCAAUAAAACCUGGGGUUGCACAUUCACCUUCCUCAGAUUCAGAUAUCUGGGACAAAUCAGUAACAUUUUUAUAAGACAGGUACAUCUCUGAAGCUGUGUUGUACUUACCAAGUAUCCGCACUCCAGGAACCACAUUACAUGGUCACUAUUGCAGAAUAUUGACUACCGCAGGCUAGAGCCGGAAUGCCAAUGUACUUUGAUUUUCGACGACCGAUACAGUCCUGCCGAGUUUCAUUCAAGCUUCUUGGAGAUGUUACAGCAUUUGCAGUUGAAC
rnacentral:lncRNA from 1 species